ACUAAGCUUAGUUUAGUGGGUUUUUUUUUUGUGAGGAGAGCAAUUAGUUCAGUAAAGAUGCAACCAGACCUCGAAACUGGCCAAAUCUAAUGAUACUGAAAGUCCUUCCUGUUUAGCAAUCCUAAUAGCUUCAAUAAUCUGUUCCAUGUUCUGUUGUGCAUAUCUCACAACAAGCCACUGCAUCAAAAUAAAUAGCAAUGAAAAUUCAGACUUAACAAAAACAUGUGCUAGGAUGUUUUUUAUAAGAAGAAUAAUAUAUCACGAAACGGAUGUGCACCAAAGAGGGAAAAGGAAAGCACCUUGGAGCCUUUGAAGUCCUCCUCUCUAAACUCAUUGGCCUGUUAGAUGGACAAAUGAUCUCACCAAUCAUAAGAUUGUUAAGAGAUGUAAAUUUAACACUGCAUCAGACAAGGGUAUACCUGCAGCUUGACUGCACUAGAUAGGCAUGGCCGCAUGGUGCGAUUGCCGCUUGCAUCAACCAAGCACGCACACUAUAACAGGUAUGCUUUUCAGCCUUAUCCACUAUGCAGUAAAAUAAGGGCAAAAAAGAUAAAUUCUGGCUUCUGUUAGGCUACCUGAGCGGUGUGCCCUUUUUUGGGCCUUAAUCUUGUGAGAUCUACACCACUAAAACUCAUAUUGUCGACAAACAAAAUGGCCUGGUUAUCAUCUCCACAAGCUCCAAUUAUUCCAGUUGAUAUCCCAAAACCAGCUGAGAGCCCACGGAUUGUGUUGGCAACGCUUCCACCAGCCAUUGUAGUUAUUGGAGUGAGAUCAUUGCGGGAAGGAAGGAUGUGGGCAUUCACUUCAGUAAGAAUAUGAUUCAGCUCCUCAAUGGACACCUGUACAUAAAACUAUUGUCAGAUGAAAUGCAGAACCCAACCCAAUGACACAAAGUUUUGAUUCCCCUUGUAAGCGAUGCCAGGUUAGUUGCAUUAUCUUGAUGCAAAACAACUCAAGGUUCAGAAAAUAUUUCAUAAUGCAAAUGCAACCACAAAAAACAACAAUAAAACACACUGGAUGUGUGAUUCUUCAACAGUUCAACAUCCAUGCGAUAACUAAAAAGGUUGUAGACAGUUUUCAACUAGCAUAACAUAUAUUUCCACUUUUCUUGGUAGCUUUGAUUCCAAAUUUCUUUUAUGUUGCAUUAAAGAAAAAUCUUAUGAUAGAAUGGAAUUGUUCCUGCACAUGUAUGCAUGUGCCUUUUGCUUUGUUUAGAAGCUAAAGCCAAAUGUUGCCUUCUUGGAAUUAUGCUAGUAUGAUGGGAAGGAAAAUGAUAACAUUUCAGCAUGUUCAACUGAAGAAUCUCUGACUGUCAGUUCGUAUAUAAGAGAGUAGGUUGAUUUGAUAGAUAGAGGGACUCUAACCUAUUGCACAUAAUCCAGAAGAUACAGGUACAAAGUAUGACAUUUUAAAAUCUAGGUUGGAAUCUAACUGCUACCAAUUUAUAAUUUCAUCUAUCAAAAAAAAAUGCAUUAUAGACUAUCUUGGGAGCAUACACUACUUCCUUACACAAGGGCAGCAGUCACAUCAUAAAGGUGGCAGGUGCUAAUUAAGAUUCAAGAUCAUUGCAAGUACUACUUUUCUCUCUUGACAAUUACGGGGAACUCCUGUGUGGAGAUCAAAUAUGACAGGGAGAAAAUAAGUAAUUAGAAUUUGACAAGAUGCUGAGCCUGCAAUCAUGUAUCUUUGCAUAGAAAAGUCAAGAAUGUCUGACGACCAUAACUAGCAUGGUGGUUUCUUUCACUACAAACUUUCACUGAGUCUGGGGCAUAAAUAGUUAGGUGCCCGCAGACCAAUCAGUUCAAGAAACGUUAGGCCAUGCUUGACCAUUCCUGAAGUGUGCAGUGCAGAGCAUGCCAAACCAUCAGGCAAGCACUUUCUCAAUGAAAGCAACACCAAAUCUAAUCAAUAUAGCUGCAUUUAACCAAAGCAAAGUAUAGACCACUUCAAAUAUAGGAAAUAUCUGUCUCUACGCCCACCAAAAGUACUUGAACUGUUCUGUUCAAGUACAGGAAGAGUGGAACCAUGUGGAACAAAAGAACAGGCAAUUUCUUGACAAUCCGAGGAGACAUAACAUAAGUCAGUAGGGCAUUCAUUCAUGAAAGCAUGUGUCUUAUAAAAUAUGAAACAAAAUUAGCUGCACAAACCAUUUCAAGAAUAAAGAGUGCAUCAUAAUCAUAAUAUACAAAAUUCGGAAUGAGAUUCAACAAGUUACUUCUGAUGCAGCACUUAGGGUUCUUUUUCUCAGAAAAAAUACAGAGGUCACAAAAUUGAGUACAUUAGAAUAUUGAAGAACAAGAGAUCCAAACGUCACAUGGCCGGCGGACAGCUAGAAAAGGAACAUGGAGGGGACGCCAAUUGAAGCUAGAAUUCGGCCAGUGAUGCAACAGCCUACCUCUAAAUAACCACGUGAUGGCAAAUGAUUCACCCGAAAAUUCAAACAGGAAAAGAAACGGAGGGGACGGGGGAAGAAUUCCGAGGGUGUUGGACCUCGAAACAGGAACGAAUUUCCAACGACGAACAACAUUGCAAACAUCUGGCAAUCAAUACAGCAUAAGUGGUUACUGGCUCCAUCAGACCGGCCCUUGCAGGGUAUAAUUGGGGUUGCGAUUUCAAUUCGCAAAUUGAACGGAAGAGUGCGCUUGGAACUGUCGAAGUGAAUUACAACCAUACGGGCCGCGUUGCGCGCGGAGGGAGAGGGGAGGAGCGCGAAGUACCUGCUGCGAGCCGCCGCGGUCGCCGGGGACGCGGUCGAGGAGGGACCAGUCGACGCGGGCGACGUGGUCGAUCAGCGCCGAGAGCUGGAGCCCCAGCACCGCGGGCGCCGCCGCCGCCGCCGCCUCCCAGCCGGGCCGGAGGGAGGACGGAGGCUGCUGCGGGUGCUCUGCCUCGGCGCCCAUAUGGGUCGGUCCAGGUGAAUUGGCCGGUCUCCCUCCGCUGGCCCUCUCCUCGAGCGGAGGAGGAGGAGGAAACGGUCGCCGGCGCCGGCGGUGCGGGGGGCUGCUGGGCCCGUGUCGGGAGCAGAUGGGAUUGCAAAGCCUCCAAGGGGAGGGCUUCUUCGCCGCCGUUUUAUAGGAGGUGGAAGAGGGGGCAACCUUCUUCGGCACUGUUCAUCACUGCCCUUGCACGGAUCUCGAUGCAUCUUGCUCGAUUACGUGGAUUAUUGUCUCCGUCAUUAAUCACCUCAUUAUUAUUAUUAUUGACUUAUUUUCGAUGGGUGAUGCAUGGAGUAUGUACCACUACCACACCACGACUUACACAACCGCGCCGGCGCACCUACUGUAUAACAUGAGUCUAUUUUAAGAAAACGUUUCAUGGAUUAUUUUUAAAAAACAUGGAUUAUUUAUUCAUGUGUAUGUCAAAUUAUGGGCACCGAGAUUCAAACCAAAAACAUUCCAAUCAUUUCAUGAUGAUUUUAUUGUGUCUCAAGGAGUUACGUGUCUCAGAUAGACGACAUAGUACUGGGUCAUGCCUAUCCACUAUGGAUUAAACCCUAUAUGACUCUUUGUGUGUCUCAUUAAUCACUAGUAUGGUUAUUUAUCUACAUAAUAGAUGAUGUACCCAUCGGCAAAAGACUGGACUAUGUGUUUUAUGAAAUUUUACCAAAAUACAAUGAUCUACCACCCCAUUGAUGUUUAAGUCUUUAUAUGGAAUGAUACUUUGGUGUUAUAUUGACGGAUGCCCACUUCAAAAGAAUCUUUGGCUCUGCUCCUGUAGCGAAGUGAUUCCAGUGACUUCGUCUAGUCUCUCGUAAGCAUUUGUAUGAGUAAGCAUUUGUAUGAGUAGGGUACAUUAAUGAAAUAUAAAGUACGUACCCUCUCUGUUCCAAAUUAUAAGUUAUUUUUAUUUUUUUAAAAUUUAUAGAUUUUGCUAUGCACCUAUAUAUAUAUUGUGCUUUGAUAUAAACAUAUAAAACCUAAAAUGAUCUAUAAUUUAGGAUAAAAGGAGCACCUAGGAUUCGAUACCUAGUGAGUAGAAGGUACAGUCAACUCCGCUAGCCAUGCAAAGCAACACUUGACUCUUCCAUAUUUCUGAAUUAUAAUUGUAUGAAAUUAUGUGGCUAGGUACAGAUCCAUCCAUGGCUUCUCCAAUUAUACAUUUUGUGCAAGUGUGCAUACAAUUCGUGAUUGCGGGUUAUGGCCUAGGAACCACCUUUUUCACCCUGCGGGUAAAUGACGAUAGUAAGACUGCACUGGUCAAAGUUUAAAACCGUCACUAAAUUGGUACAGAUAUAUGGAACGUAUAUGAUGCAAACCAUCUAUCCCGUGCAGCCUUGGAAACUAUGAAUCAAGAUCACAAGAUGCUAAUCCAAUGGAUAGGAUUAGUAGUGGGGUUAUUUUGCAGUUAAGCCCCUUCACCCGCUGGCCACUUUUGAUGCAGCACCUUUUCCAUGAUAUGCAAAAUUAAACCUAAUUAAUUCAUAAUUAGCACAUGUUUACUGUAGCAUCACAUGGGCUAAUCAUGAACUAAUUAAGCUUAAUAGAUUCAUCUCAUGAAUUAACCCUCAUUUUUAUCAUUAGAUUAUAUUUAAUACUUCUAAUUAGUGUGCAAACAUCCGAUGUGAUAUGGAUUAAAGUUUAGUUGGGGUAUCAAGCACCCCCUAACUUGCACAUUGGAGCGACAUCUCGGAUCUUUCACCCAUCAUUCACGCUAGCUACUAGUAGUAUUUUGUUGCAAUAAUAAUACUCCCUCUAACAGCCGUUCGUUCUUUAGGCUAGUGGCGCAUAUUCAGUCUGACGAAGAAACCCCUUUUCUUUUCUUUUUUCGCGGGUAAAACCCCUUUUCUUUUGUAUCGUAGUGCUCUGUUUUCCUUUCCUUCGUAGUGCUUUGUUGUUCUUUUGAAUCACCGGAGCACACAUGCACACACACACAAAACAAAACAAAACAAAAAAGAAAAAAGGAAAAAAAAACUAUGAUGGCACGGUGCAGUUGCGCUGCAAAUUUGGGUCCCUGCAACUUUUGCUUAAAGAAGGCACAAGGGAACAAAAGGUGCCGGCUGAAAAUGAGAAUGACAAAGUGAUUAGGAUAUGAUUAUAAAGUUGACGGAGGCCGCGCCUCUGUGGUUGCUCCAGUGCUUCGUGGAGUUCAGAGGAAAUAACCGGUCGUUGCCGUUCGUGCGUCCGAUUUGGCUCGCGUCAGCUGGCCAACGAGGCAGCGAUCUCCGUCUCGCGCAGUCGCGCGGUAGAGCCACUGGCAUUCGCCAUUCGCUCGCGCUGCCGGUUGGCCAUUGACUCGCGUCAGCUCCCGUCAAGGAGGUCAAGAACAGCCUAGCAGCGGCCGAUCCGAUUGAUCCACGGGAAUUUUCUCGGCAGCUUCCCGUUCCGGCAGACGGGGACAAAUCCGUCGGCCGGCUCGGUGUGGUACCCAGCUUCCGUCAGGUACAGUACACAAGUGGGUGACACGAUUUGCGCGUGCCAGGAAACUACACGUAUGGGGGUGGUGAAGCCGUGGUAAUAAAUUGAGGACAAAUCAAUCACAGUCACGUAGAUGUUCCACUCGGUUAAUUAUUGUACCAGUACCGUAUACCAGGUCGCACGCUGGGAGAAGAGAAAAUUCCUUAUAUGCCAUCAGAAAUUAUACCCAUCCUUUUGAUACUAUAAAAAACUAGUAGCUAGGUGCCACUGCCCACUGCCAUUAAUUUUUCUUGGAGCUCACCGGUCGCCGUUACGGCACACUUGUAGCUCUGGUUCCAAUUGAACCGCAUAGCGUUGAGCUCGGUAUAUGUAAAGAAAAGAAAAAUCGUUGGCCGCUACCUCCAGUUCUCCUUCUCUCCCUCUUUCCCCUUGCAGGUACUGGAGUACCACUGCAACUGCUCGAAUCAACAGCUGCCGCUAGCCCAGUAGCCAAAUCUUUCAACAAAAAUGAGUUGCGCGCCCCUUCUUGAGCCUAGAUCUAGCGUCGCAACUUCCGAUUGUAGCAUAAAGGAGCUUGAUUUUGGUGACGAGGGUCUCGUUUGUGGCGGCGUCUACUCCUCUACUACUUGCGCACCUCCAUGGCCGCCGUCUCAUGUAGCCAUCUGCUGGUGUGCUACUUCCCUCUGCUGCUGCACUCCCUUCCUCCUCUACUGCUCGCUGCUGCAUGCCCCACCUCCGUGUUCCUGCCCGCUGCAGAGGGUGGCGUUGGGGGCGGUUGGACAGAUAGGGCGUGUCGAAUCGGGCCGCUAGGUGCAGCAGACCAGGUGGGCGCCGGCGCGCCGUCCAGCGGUUGAAGGGAGGGUCACAUGAUGAUUUUUUCUUUUCCUUUUUCUCCCCAAGUUUUGAUCUUUAUUAUAUGCAUAUAGAUGAUUACACACUUUAUCCAUCUAUAUUCUUAUUAAAUUUUUUUCAUGCACGUUUAGAUAGUGUUUGGUUCAGCAAAAUGUAAUGUAACCUAUCUACACUGUUAAUUGAUUACGUUAUAUCUUGUUUGUUUCACCGCCGCCUGUAAACGAGUCCCACGUAAUCAGAUACCGGCCAAUAGAAAUCUGAUACCCCUCCUUCUCCCCCGUAACGAGAUAUCAGUUCUCUUUCCUAGGAAAAGUGAGCUUUGUGCAUGAUGUAUUAAUCGAUACCGUUGCAUCCGCUGUAGAACCAAACAAAACAGGGAAACAGUGAUCUCACUGCCAAUGGCAGUGUAAUCCAUUUCCCGUACCGUUUGUGUUACCAGAUGGUGAAACAAACACUAUCUUAGUGUGCUGAACCAGCCAAAUGGUCCUACCAUUACAGCACUAAUCACGUCACUUGCCAUGAUUAGUGACAUUGAUGUGUGGAGCCUUUGCUACGAGGUGAGCAGGCAGCACGUGCACUAUGGCCACGAUUAUGUCCGUAAUCACAUGCCCUUCUCUUUAUCUCCUUUCACAUGGAGACGACGGGGCCUCUCCGAUCGCUUGGAAAAAGGAUGAAUUUAACAUCACUAGGAUGGAAAAGCUUACAAAUACAUGGGCGAUCUCGAUAAAUGGUUAAACCUGAGUUGUAUGCAAAAUGUUUACACCCAAAUGUCCGUCACUUACAGAGUGCUAUGCCUAUGCCAAAAAUGGUUAAAUUAUCUAGCAAAGGUUGUGCCUAAAAAGCUCGCAAGCCGACACGGCGGGGAGUAUCUGAUUGGGAAUCGUGGGAUCCAGGCCGCCCAAUGGCGGGACGACAGCUUAGCCCCCGUCCAAGCACAUGGCCCCCGCGGACAGUGACGAGUGACCACCCAGAUAGAUACUCUGCGCGCGCUCCAGCGUCCGGCCCAGGCCCAAUUCAUGCAUGCUAGCACACCACUUGAGUAUAGUAGCCCUGCUGCAGCAGCAGCUAUGCUGUGGUAGGAUGACACAACUGCUCGUCUGCUCCUCCCGUUCACGAGUAGCAAAGCAUGUCGCAGUGUCGCAGUGUUUUCAAAAAAAAAAAAAAGCAUGUCGCAGUGUCAUGUUGGCGUGCCGCUGGGAUUUGUUCGUCAGAAUACCAGACCACGAGAGAAAGAAAAGGAGAGGAGAGGAGGCAUGAAUCAUGGUGAUGCAUACUCGCCCCCCCCCCCCCCCCUCUCUCUCUCUUAGCCCUUCCUCUAAAGUGUGUUCCAAUAGGCAUUUGAGAAAUGGCAAUCCGACGUGGCAAACGGCUAGGUGCUGUUAACUGGGCCCUGGUGGCGGCGGGUGCACAUGAUGAUGGAAAAGGGGCACCACGCCUGGCCGAAUACGACGAGCGGUAGUAGCUCCCAGCCUCGCGGCAGGCGCAGGCGCAGGCGCAUCUCAUGGCUACUGCCGGCGAAAACAAACAGAGCAAGAUGCCCCGUACGUGACGGAGUGAGCGAGUGACAUCAAUCAGCCGGAGUAGGCGCGUGACAGCCGGUGAGAAGGGGACGGGAGGAAGACCGAAGACGCACUCCGAAAAACACGUGAACGAGAGGGGGUUUCUGGGCGGCUUUUGUUUGUUCCGGCUGGACGGCCGGCGGCCGGGGCUCCACCGGCCGAAAGUGACAAACCGGCGAUCCGAGAAUGAUACUCGGUGCCCCCACGCGCGCAUGAUUGCGUCUUGUUUCUUAAAGAUUUUGCCUGCUGCUGUGGCUCCUCGUCACGGCAAUGGUUCGACGGCAAAGGUCCCGUUGCCCCGAGACGAUCGUGCAACGGCUCGCAAAAUCGCAGUGCGCGCGGCGCAGGCCGGAGCACUUUUUCUUUCUUUUCUCCGUUUCUUUUCCUUUUCUUUUUCCAACGAACCGCUGAGCAGGCGAGCACGAACUGCUACUGUGUGAGGCAGUGAGGGCUAGUGUAGGCUAGCUGAACAACAAACAAAUGGACCGAGCCAACAACAAGGCCGGAAUUUGAUGCGCCUGCCAGCCUACACCCGUAGGCUAGCUCCUCUGCGGCGGCACUGCGUGUGGCAGGUAGUGCUGGGGGACGGUGGUGACUGGUGAGUAGCGCCCACCGCAGCAUCCAUGCGUUCCUCUCGUCUCUCUCGCGCAUCCGGCCGAGCCGGCAGCGCAGCGGCCUCACACGCAAGUGGAUCGUCUGGUCGACACGGCACCGCGCGGCGGCGGGGCCCGCUCGCAGUAGCAGCCCACGGCCCACGCGCAAUAUUGUUUGUAGCAGAUGAAAACUCUCGUUGACGUAGGGCAUUGACCUCCCAACCGGUCCGCCGGCAUCGAUUCGUGAUCGAUCCACAGUUCCACACACUCUCUCGGAGUCUCCCGCAAGCGCUUUCAUGUAUCGCCCGGAAGAGCAUUCCAGCACGCAGCAGCAGGCCGGCAGCACUAGUCCAGCAGAGGAGAAGUACCGGGCCGCGGACCGAUUUUGAUCUGGGCCUUUCACUAGGGUUAGCUUGAGCAGCCCACGACGGUCCAGAGCUUACUUCCUGUCUGGCCCAAGGUCCAGAGGAUUCACAGAUUUGAUCUGGGCCUCUUGAGGCUAAAGAAGGUCAGCUCAGCCCACGCUUCAGAACUUCCUUCCUUGCCUGCGCAGUAAUUUUGUUGUGAGCGGCCGUUUAAAACAGAAAAAGAACAGCCCAGUCCAUAGGCAGUAUUGGGCUAUCUAUUUCGGCCUAGGUCUCUUCUCACAUCGGCUCUUUUUUGGGCCAGUCCAUAUUGCGUCAGAAGGUUAACUGGGAAUUACUGUAUGUGCGUUUUCGUUUCUUUUUGCAUGGCCCCAUUCAAACGAGAAUCAGUUCAUACAUGACACAACAGCACAACAUUACAAAAAUUUUCUUGAUUUGGAUUGGAAGUUGUGUGCAAAUGGAAGCAAAACCAUAUGAUCCGUUACCUUAAAUUAGUGUUGUUGACGGACUGUGUCAAAUUGUUGAUUCAGAUUAGUUUUUUUUUCUAAGUCUAGAUUCUAAAAGGCAAACUUCUAUGUAAAUAUGAUGCUAGAAGUCAUUUUGCACAGAGCGUAGAAGUCAAGUUGAACAUAAGCUACUUCAAUUCGUGUAAAUUGGAUGCUUGGAAUCAAUUUGAGCAUAGCCUAUUUUCUAGAUAAAAAUAGCAAUAAGUUAAUUGUAACAUAAGCUAUUUUAAACUGUGCAAAUUGGAUGCUGGAAAUUAGAGCAUAUUUUUUUUAUAAAAUAGCUAGGAAUCAAUUUGAGAGUAAGCUAUUUUAUAGAUAAACCAAUACAGGAGUUGUAACAAUAUGUUUAAUAAAUGAGUUGUUAGUUAGACUUCAUAUUCCCUAUCCAAUGGAAAGGUUGGAUGGCUUCUUAUGUUGGAGAAGAGAAAAGGAGCAUCGCACUAACACACAAUUGGCAAUAAAGGGCUAGUGACGCCAAGGGAGGAGCACCUCAACAAUUGCCUACAUGCGCACCUGAUAUUUUCCGUACUAGUCCAUCAACCCAUGCAUCCACAUGAGUUUUAAACCUUCUUACUUGCAAACAAAAGAAAAUUAUACUCUCAUGAUAAAAAACAAUAGCCUGUCUGACAAAUGGAUGAAAAGUUAAAAUUCGGCACUGUUUAUAAUGUUUUAUGUUUUGAGCAUCAUGCAAUUUUCUUAUUACAACUUUAUUUGAGAACAUUUUCAUUCAAUAAGUAGUUAUUUGAACUUCAAUCAUCAGAAGCUCUUUUUUAAUGUAAUGUACCUCCCUACGAUACUUAUAUUCCUAGGAAAAGAGAAGAGCUCGAAGAAUUACACUGCGAAUAUUAUUCAGUAGUGUAACCCCAUCCCGUGAUGUCAUCCCUUAACCACCAUGCAAACCACCUUUCGUGCAGGCUCUGCUUAUAACAUAGGUGGUCGUGUCAGCUUCAAUUGAGGACGACAUGACAUGGGUGUGUCUAAUCAGCAUGCGCGCCAGCAACGAAUGCAACCAUCGAUUUCCGACAAAGCGAGUUUCCCUGCCUUCGCGCGCGAUGACUUUCCGCACAUGCGCCCUAGACAUGGUUCCACCAGCGGUCACCCACUAUCCCCACGCCUAUCCAGCAGUGACCCCGACGCAUUUCUCUCUGUAACACAACUUUUGUAUAUAAUUUAUACACAUAAAUUUAUAUAAGACAAAAGUUAUGCACACAACAUUAAAGAAAACACAUUAAAACACACAAAAUAUAUGCAAACGUAUAUACAACAAAUUAUGUUGAAAACUUAUGCUAAAUAUAAUCAUAUAACAAACUUAUAGACAUAACUUUUUGCAAAAAAAAUAAUCAAUAUAACUUAUGAAAAAAAGAAAAACUUAUGAAAAUGUAUUUAUAUAUAUAAAUUAUAUGCAUAACUUUUCCAAAUUUAUCGAAUAAAAAAACAAGGAAGAAAAGAAAAAAAGAGGUUAACCGGCCUCGCCGGUGCUGGGUCACCAGUGCCGCGUCAUUGCCUCCCUGGAUUCACCCUCCCGCAAUGGGCAGGUGUCCUGUGGCGAAGAGGAAGAGGAAGCGCCACCGUCGCACCCUCCGGAGCCACUGCCGCAGCUCUACUUAUCGGAAGCACACGUCAGUCCUCAUCUCGCCGGCCACCACCGAACGCGAGGCUUCCGGAUCCGACCUCCUCUUCGGCGGCACGCGACGUGAGGAGCUCGAGCUGCCUGGUGACGAAGGGGAAUGGGAAGGGGAGUCCGCAUGGUUGCCACGCGCGGAGCUCGCAGCGGCUCCUCCCGAACCUGACAUGAUUUCAUAGAGGAGAGCGAAGAAAACAAACCCUAGUAUCCCGUUUCUAUCAUAGGGGCGGCGUACAAAUGGAUUUACCUGAGAGUGGGUAAAGACCCGAGUAAUGCAUGGGCAUCACAAAAGGAAAAAUAGGUAUUUUGAUCCCUGGACUUUGUACCGAGGGUCAACUUCGUCCCUCAACUUUCAAAUUGGUCAAUUUAGUCCCUCAACUUUUGUUUUUAUUUCAAACUCGUUCUUGUAUUGAUAUGUGGCUCCGUAUUGGCAUGAAACUAAUACGAAAAGUCCUUUUUACCUUGACUCUUUUCUCUCUUUAUUUUUCGCCUUUAGAACUACAAUAACGUGUAUAUUUGCCGAGGAACUAUGAGGAUGCAUAUAUUUACCAUGAGGAUGCAUAUAUUUACCGAGGAACUAUGAAUAUAUACAUGGAGCAUGUAUAACACACCACGAGUGUGUGAGCACAUGUUGAUUUUAGAGCAUGCGUACACACAUUAAGUUGUAUAUAUACUAAAAGAAUAUGAUUAAAUACUUGUUUGAGUAUAGACAUAUCGAAUGCGUAUGAGCACAUGAAUGACUUUAAAGAUUACGAGUAGAUACACUUUUUAGAAACCAUAUUUUGUGUUAGUUUAAAAAAUAUAUUAUUGUGUGUAUGUAUUAAGGGAGUAUGAGCACAUACAUGUUUGAUCUACAUGUUCAUGGGCAAACGGGAUAUUUUCGCAUUAGGCUUAUGCUAACAUAGAAUACUAUAUUAGCACAAGGAUUUGUUUGACCCAAAAAUGAAUGUCAAUAUGAAAGUUGAGGGACGAACUUGAUCCCGUAAAAUUUAAGGAUAAAGUGGCUAUUUUGCCUAAAAGAAAUAUUAAUGAUCAAAUUACGCAUUGGUUGCACAUGCGAUACAACCUAAACGAUUUUUGUUGUCAGUUCGUAACCUGAGACGGUAUUCUCUGACCGCAGGCACGGAACCAUAACCAUCGAGCAGGAGCAGGAUAGAAUCCUGAAUUUGGCGAGGACGGCAACGCCGCAACGGCAUAUGCCAACGGCGAGACCCAUCACUUUCUCAUCCGGUUAUCCCCCGCGCUCGAUCUGGCUGGCUGCUGGCCUGCUGCUUGAACGGAACGCCCACCAAGCAGCAAGUAAACGGCACCGACUCCCAACCGGAAGAGCCGAGCCGAGCCAAGUCUCCUCCUCGUCUCCUCCCCAACCUCCUCCCCUCCCCUCCCGUUCCCGACUCGACCCCCCUCGCCUCUGACCCAGCAGGCUAGGGUUCCGCCCCCACCCCACCCGACCCCACCCCGAUCCGAUCCCAUGGACGGCGGCGACUCCUCCGCCGCCGGCGCCGGCGGCGCCGUGGCCGCGGCGGCCAAGUGGCGGAGCGACGCGUCGCGGGCGUUCCAGUACUACCUGGACCGCUCGACGCCGCACGCCACGGGGCGGUGGCUAGGGACGCUCGCCGCCGCCGCCAUCUACGCUCUGCGGGUCUACAUGGUGCAGGGCUUCUACAUCGUCACCUACGGCCUCGGGAUCUACCUCCUCAACCUCCUCAUCGGCUUCCUCUCCCCCAUGGUCGACCCCGAGCUCGAUCCCUCCGCCGCCGCCGAGGGGCCGGCGCUGCCCACCAGGGGAUCCGACGAGUUCAAACCCUUCAUCAGGCGCCUCCCCGAGUUCAAGUUCUGGUCAGAUCCCGCCUCCCCUCCCCCAGAUCUGUUUCCGCUCCUCGCCAGAUCCGCGUUUUUUUAUUUCUUAUUACUGCACCUGCUCCGGCAAUUCGCUACUUGCCCGUAUGUAUUUGCCCACUGGAACGGGGCGAUCGGGUCGGUUAGAUAGCUACUUGACAGCUUCUCGUAAUUUAUAUAGAGCCGUGUUAAUCGGCAUUUUCAAAACCGAUUAGUUUCCUUUACUACUCAAGUUACUAUUUCUCAGCUACUGCUGAUCCCCCUCCACAGUAAAUAGGCAUUUUUCUCGACCGUCUGUGGCAACCCACUGCCCUCCAGGUUCUUCCACUGAAUCAAUCAAUGGAAGACAUCGUGCAGUUCAUUCGGUUGAUGAGAAACUGGCAGGAGAAAACUUUUAGCUUGUAGAGCACAAAUCCUGGAGUGUGUGUGAUCUAUCAACAAUUGCUUUAGUCAUAGAAGAAAAGGGUUGCAAAAUUUUUCUGUUGGGAAGUUCGUGUGUCACCUGAUUAUGGUUGUUUAGUUCCAAGUCAGCUGACCAUGCAUUUAGUUGCACAAUCAUUGUCAAUCAGUGCUUAUUUGUGCUGCAUACUGAUUUGCAUAUCCUCCAGCAACCCGAAAACCAAGCAUUGUUGCAUAUUGGUUACCUCUUAAACUACAAUCAGUUCCUGAAUAAAUCACUCAAGGCAUGUUGCAUCCCUUCAAUUCCACCAUACCGUUUGGAAUUCCAGUGGAUGAAAAUGAUAUAAACAUACUCUAAUGAUGUUGUUGCACCACCAUGUAGCAGAGAAAAUUGUCACUUAUUGCUUCUGGUCCUCCCAGUUGAAGCGGACCGUCAGGUAGGUGGCAAUAUCGUUGUAUGCAAUGCCCAUGUGCUUGGUAACAGGGGGUUUCUUCGUUGAAACUAGAAUUAUUCUGAAGCGCCUUCGUUUUAGUUAAAAUAUAUCUGCUUUAAAUGGUGUCUAUCUGGAUUAAUCGGAAUUUCUGAAAUUUUUGGUGAAAUCGUUGUGAGGAGUUCUCUUUCUUUUCUCUUUGUUAAUUUGUCUGGGUCACCAUCACUUGUGGUCUCUGAUCUGCCUGGUGCAUAAUCCAUAUUUUUCUUUUUCCAAAAGGUAGCCAGACAAUAGCUUUUCAAUUUCCUGAUUAUUGCACAUUCAAGAACCUGAAAUCUCUCUCAUUGCCUAGUUACUCAACUACCCCUGAGCCUUUGUAGAUUGGUGAUUAUGUCUGUCUAGGCAAUUAGGCAUUGCCCAUGUGCUUGGUGCGGUGUUUUAAGUUAUACCUUGUCUUUAUCCUCGAUGUCAUUGCAUGUGGGAUGGUUUUGUGGAAAUCUCUCUAGCUACAUCUACAUCUACAUGGGAUGGAUUUACUGUAUAGCUAAAUAUGACAACUUAUAAGUUCGUAUGUAAUUUGAAUCAUUUAUAGUUUCUGUGAGCUCUAGUGGUGGAUUUCUUUUUAGACAAGUUUGAAGUGUUCUCGCUUUGGUAAGAGGUCAGAUAGAUGGAUUCUUAUGUUUUCUUUUUGAACUAAUUGUAGUUUUUGAAAUUUAUAGUAAUGCUUUUCAGAAGUUAUCUGUGAGUGGUUCAAUUUUUCAUCAAUAGUUCACCCUCACUAGUGUCGAGUAUUCUUUUCUUCAUUUUGUGCGUGUUGAGUAAACUAUUGCCAUCUGCAAGGUUUUAUUUUGGAAAUGCUAUUGGGUAGUAUGCAUAAAAAUGCAACGUAUGAAGUACUUUGACUGCUUUCUAUGUUUUCCGUACUCAAGUUUCCUCCUUUUAGGGUGUCAUUCUGAGUGUCACCCAUGUAAUGUGAAUUUAGAUGCAGCACAGCAUGCAAAAAUAUAAUGCAUGCGUAUUUGCUCAUCCAUUUUCGAGUAUUUUCUAAAAUAGUUGUUUUGUUUUGUUAAAUCUUAAUGCUGAAGAUCUUUCUUAAAGUUCCAAUCCAGUAUACCCCCCAUAACAACCAUUUCUUUGUCUUUCAGGUAUGCAAUCACAAAAGCUUUUGUUAUAGCUUUUGUGAUGACUUUCUUCUCUGUGUUUGAUGUUCCUGUCUUCUGGCCCAUACUCCUUUGCUACUGGGUUGUUCUCUUCGUCCUUACAAUGAAGCGCCAGAUUGUGCAUAUGAUCAAGUACAAAUAUGUGCCCUUCAGUAUUGGGAAGCAGGUCAGUACUACUGUUUAAACUUGUUGACUUUUGUUUAUUCGCUAAAUGGUUAUGUGCUGAAAGUCUACUGCUGUGGGUACCAAGGGGGUUGCAUGUUUAAAAACACAUGGACAGUGGGGGUUUUCUAGCAUUUUCAUUAAACACCAUCAGUUAUGGUCCCCAGAUCAAUUUUAUCUUUAUUUUGUGAUGUUCAAGAAAUGCUUGUGUAGUAGCUGCAAGUUGUUGUUAGGUGAAGUGUCAGUUUUUUUUUUCCAUUCCUCAUGAUUUGCCCUGACUGAUGCCAGAAAUAUGGUGGGAAGAAGAGCGGCUCGAGCAGCAGUUCCCCAAGAGACUGAUCCCGUACCUACCCGUAGGAAGCAUGGCAGGGGAACAAGAUACGGUGGAUGAUGAUAUUUGAUGUGCUAAAUACCAAGUGUAAUACUUCAUUCAUAUCUAGAGGUAGACGGAUAUUCGCUCCUGUUUCUGACUUGGGUUCACGGUUUAAUUCGAUAUUGCGCUUAGAAAUGCUUCCUUAUGUGCGUGUAUAGCGUGUUUCACUCUGAUAAAUUAUUUCGUUUAGUUAAGGCACCCCAUAUCUCAGGAUCCCAGAAAUAAGUGGCACGCGAAACUGUCCCAAUGGGAGGCGUGCCACUAGCUUGUCUUUGUACCAAACCGGAGCAGAAUGCCAAACUUUGAGCACUAAACUAAAAUUCAUUUGACUUUACUAUGUCUUAUAAACUUUGCAUAUUCAGAAAAUUUAUGGUCCUUCGUGUCGUUUAGAUAUUUAACGUGAAACGGUGAAAAUGUACCUCGUGUUUUGCUGUCUGGGUGACAACCGUCGUUGGUAACACAGUCCCCAAGAUGUACGCAGCGUGCGCGAUGCCCAGCGCGAGAGGAGCCUCUGCAGAAUCGUUUUCUCAGGAAGAACCAGGCAGGUCAUGUUUAGUUCCUCAAAACUUCCAACUUUCCUAACUUUGACACUAAGUAAAAAGAAGAUUUCCCAUCACAUCAAACUUGCGGUACAUGCAUGGAGUACUAAAUGUCGACGAAAUUAAAAAUUAAUUGCACAGUUUUGUUGUACUUUGCGAGACGAAUCUUUUAAACCUAAUUAGUCAAUAUUUGGAUAAUAAUUCACAAAUACAAACAAAAUGUUACAAUAUGCUACAAUACUACAAUAGUAAUUUUGCACCUUCAAACUUUGAUCAACUAGGCGCGUACUGAAACCUCGGAUCAUCAAAAGAGCAAGCAAAGUGCACAACAUGCCAAGGGACCGAGCAGACAUGACUUCAUCCAUUGGGCCAGAAUAGCAGGCGUGCAGGCAGCCCACCAAAGUGCUGCCUAGCCCAAGAAUGAUUUAUCUUCAACCUCGUUCAAUGCACGCCCUGCAUGCUCGUCGGUUCGUGUGCGGCUGCGCUAGGGGGGAUGGCAACGGGGCUAUCCCCGUCGGAGUCCGGCGGAACAUUCUGCCCCUUGAGUAAACUGUAAACUAAGGUCCCAUUUGUUUGGGCUUCUGGCCAGCUUCUGAACCGCCGAAGCUGGAAGUCCAAAUAAAGAGCAGGCUUCUCAGCGCAGCUUUUGCAAUGUUAAAAAUUCACAGAAGCUGCCGUAGCAUGGAAAGGUCGAAAGCGAGCGAAAAUGAGCUUCCGCUGGCUUCUGACGUCCCACUUCACCUUAUUUACCUGCCUGCCAUCGUGAAUAUACGCGGAUCGUUAUUUUUCUUUUCUUCCGCUCCCCCUCCCCCCGACCCAACCGGCCAACCCUAUCCACUCACGGCUCGCCUCUCGCCUGACGCCCGACGCCUCCCCUCCAUCCCCAUCUCGCCCGCCGCCUCCCCUCCAUCCCAUCGAUCCCCACGCACCCGUCGCUACUACCGUCGCGGCAUACUCCGUCCGCCGAAGGCUACCCGGGGCCGCCGCCAUCCAAGGCCUCCCGGGGCCGCCGUCGUCCAAGGCCAACCGGCGCCUCCUGUUGAAGCCGGCUCAGCCCCCUUGCUCCGCUCACCGUCCGGGCAACCCUUGAAGCCAACGACCCUACCCCUGCAGAUCUGCGCCGAGCAGCUCCACACGAGCCAGUUCCGAGGUGAGCAGCCCUUCCCCUCCUCGAUCUUGAGUUGUUCUAGCCUUGAACCAUGGAUUAGGAUUUGGAUUCACUGAUUAGGAUUUGGAUGCCUUUAACCAGUCAUUCACUGAUUAGGAUUUGGAUUCACUGAUAUAUGUUCUGAUUUUAUUCAAUUAGCUUGCAUUUCAAUUGUACAUCUCAGUAAAAUAUGAUGUAUAUUAAAGGGUUGAAUAUUUGAAGUUAAUACUACUGUUAAAGUUCAACUCAUACUUUUGGUUUGAUAAGCGACAAAACAUUGUUUGAUCUGUUAAAUAGAGGUGUCUUUAGAGGCAGAUUUGUUGAACCAAUAUUCUUAAAACUCUAGCAUUCACUGUUUGGUAGAUGAAAUGUAUGAAAUCAUGAACAAACACCUCUCUGUUUAGAUGGAGAACAAUAGAAAGGGCAAGGAAAAGAGGAAUGAAAAGGAUAAGGUCGUAUGCAAGGUAGAUUGGGAUAAUCCUGAGAUGACCACAAUAUUUUUGUAAAAUUGUUGUUGACGAGAUCCAUGCUGGGAAUAGACCCCUGGGCACUCUGAAUCGAAGAGGUUAUAAGAACUUGCGGGAGAAGUUUUUUGAGCAAACAAGGAAAAACUAUACCUAGAAACAGCUGAAGAACCGUUGGGAUAACCUCAAGAUCUUGUAUACUUUUCGGAAAUCACUAUAGACACUACUGGGGAAUUGUAGCUUUCGUCCACUGCAUUAAUGCUCAUAUUAGUACCGGGUCUAACGGAUAGUUUCUCAGGAGCCCCCCGUGACCCCUUUAGUACCGGGUGGAGCUCCCACCCGGUAGUAAAGGAGCUCCCAUCCACCUUAUCCAUGCCGCCCAGCCCGCUACCCGCUCCCAUCUUAUCUUGGCCUCCCCCUAUCUCUCUCUCUCUCUCUCUCUCUCUCUCUCUCUCUCUCUCUCUCUCUCUCAGCACCACCCCCUCCCCCUUCCUCUCCUGCUGCCGGGACCUUCUCUGCCUCCCCCCGGCUAGCUCCUCACCGGCAGUGAGGAACAGCGGUGGGGCGAGGUGAGGCGGCAGCGAGAGGCAAGUGGCAGCGAGGGGCAAGGGCGGGGCUCGGGCUCGAGCUCGGGGAGGGGGGGGGGUUGCGGCUCGGGCGGGGUGGGAUUUGUUUUUAUUUUUUAUUUUUUAAUACCCUUUUAGUACCGGUUAUUUCAACCGGUACUAAAAGCUCCCCUUUAGUACUGAACUAGCAAUAUCGGUUGCGCAACCGGUACUAAAGGGGGUUCCCAACCGGUACUGAUGGGGCUUUCCCCAGUAGUGGGAUCAAUUCUAGGCUCAGGAGGAAUCCAGAGUUGGGGAUAGUGACAACAAGUGUCCAAUGGAGGGAGGCAAACACAACGGUUAGCAAUCUAUCUUGUGUAUAUUUUUUGUAAUUCUUUGAAGUGUAUAUGUGCAAGUGACCAAUCUGUUUGUGCUCUUCUGUUGUUUGUGCAGGAACACAUGCAGAGUGACCAUAUAUUAUUGCUAACACAUGUGCGAUAUAUAGGAAAGUACUACCUUAUUGACUCGGGCUAUCCUAACCAGAAGGGUUUCCUUUCACCAUACAAAGGAGAGAAGUACCAUUUACCUGAGUUUCAACAAGGUCCUAGGCCAAGAGGUAAAAAAGAAGUGUUCAAUCACUUGCACUCAUCACUACGGAAUGUGAUCGAACAGUCCUUUGGUGUUCUGAAAAUGAAGUGGAGAAUACUAUUGAAGUUGCCUAGUUAUCCAAUGGAAAAGCAAAUAAGGAUUAUAAUGCAUGUAUGGCGCUACACAACUUUAUUAGAGAGAGUGCUUUGAGUGAUGAGCAUUUUGACAUGUGUGAUCAAAAUGAAGACUUUGUUCCAAGUGUUGGUGAAUCAUCAUCCUCUCAGCCGCAAGCAAAUGGACAAGAGGAGAGUGACAUGAAUGCUUUUCGUGAUAGUAUUGCCGAUGCUUUGAUUGCAAGACUAGUGUAAUAUGUACUCAAGAUGUGUCCUAAUUAUAAUUUAUGACUUCACAUGUACUUCAAAAUUAAUGGAUAAUGACCGAUGCAAUUUAUUAGAAUUGUACUAAAAAAAUCUCUAGUAAUAGUUUACAACAAAAUUACAAAUAAUACAGACACAUAGGAAAUACAUGUUGUUGUACACCUCCUCAGCAUAUACAUCCUCAGAGAAGCUAGGUUGCCAAACGCCUCAGCUUUGGGAAAAUCUAGCUUUCAGAAAGCCACCCUUCCAAGAGCAAAAGACAAAAGCUAGCUUUUAGGAAAGUUGCAGCUCAAACAAACAACAAAUAGGUGUAAAUCACCUCGCUCCCCAUCCCCGACAUUGCACACAGGGGCAAUUUUCCCACAUCCCCGUCCCCGUUCCCUAGCGGGGAUUAGACCCCCAACGGGGAUCCCAACCUUGAAAAAUCCCCGAUAUUCGUAGCUAUUGAUUUCUUUCUCUGUUCAAUCUUAGUAUGCAAAGAAAACUUUGAAAGAAACAUCCCAAGGAUUAUGGAAAAACAAAACACAGAUCAAUCGCACAACCAUAUAUACAUCUAUUAUCUAUACAAUUUGCUAGCCUUCUCAGUUCUCACGGAGCAAACAAAAGGAAUAAGAAAAUCCCUGCAAUCUUCACGUUGUCCUCUGAUUGCCUUUAAGACUCACCGUGGCAAGGCAAUAAAUGUCAAUCAUUCACCGUGCAAGGGUGAAGGGUUCACUGUGUGGCGAGAGCAUGCAACUGCGACCUGCGCGGAGAUCGACAGAUCUUCACUUCUGCCAGCACUGGCUCGGUGGAGGUGUUGUAGGAUUCGGAGGAAGCGGACAGGUUAGAAGCCGCAAGGAUGUCCUAGCGGACGGAUUAGAGGCCACGAGGAUGUCCCGGCCGUAAAAAUCAGAGGGGCUGUGGAAGGUUGAACCUUUAGGACCACACCUUUAUUUAUAUAGGUGAUAAGAACCAUCAUCGUGGCAUGUACAAGAUCAGCCGGCGGCCAGCCAUGAGUUUAUUGGUAAUCUAAACUAACCCUAGAUUACAUACAACAACCUUCAAGAUAUACAUCAGGCUAACAACAAACUAUGGUCGGCCACCUAACUUGAGUGACACGUUGCAUUGUUUAACAACCCCCUCAAUCACAGCUUUCCUAAGCUUUCCUAAGUUGAGAUUGUACUUGAAGUUCUCCAAUUGUCUGACCGGGAGAGUCUUCGUAAAUCCAUCUACCACUUGAUCACCUGACGGAACAAAGUCAACUUCCAAGAGUUUUCUGGCGACCCAUUCCUUGACAAAGCCAUAGUCAACUUCAAUGUGCUUCAUUCUUGCAUAGAAGGCAAGAUUAGAAUUAAGAUAUUUAGCACCCAUAUUAUCACACCAAAUUCGUGCCAUUGGAGGACUCUGAAUGUGCAGUUGCUUCAAAAGAGUUUGCACCCACAUAACUUCAGCAGUAGCAUUAGCAAUGGAUUUAUACUCUGCUUCUGUACUUGACCUGGACACAAUUGCUUGUUUCUUAGCAUUCCAUGACACAAGAUUAUCUCCCAAGAAAAUAGAAAAUGCUCCUGUUGAUCUUCUAUCAUCUAGGCAUCCUACCCAAUCUGCAUCUGUAUAUGCACUUACCAGCAUGGAUGUAGACUUACACAACUUUAAACCGAGCUUGGAACAGGAUUUAAGGUACCUUAAUAUUCUUUUUUACAGCCACCCAGUGAACAAUUGUUGGAGCAUGUAGGAAUUGGCACACCUUGUUUACGGGGAAAGCAAUAUCAGGCCUGGUCAAUGUCAGAUAUUGGAGAGCACCUACCACACUUCUAUACUGAGUAGAAUCAUCUAGUCCCAAAGGAACUCCCUCAUGUAUUGAUAGCUUUUCACUAGUAGACAACGGUGUGCUUACCGGCUUGUAGUCUCCCAUACCAACCUUACCUUCUUUAGGAGAUCCAAGACAUAUUUUUGUGUUAAGAGAAUUCCAUUGUGUAACUUGUGUACCUCUAUACCAAGAAAAUAGUGUAGAUCACCAAGGUCCUUUAGAGCAAAGUCCUUCUGAAGAUCCAGUAAGAGAGUCGAGACAGCUUCCGGUUUGGAGCUCACUACAAUUAUGUCAUCAACAUAAAUAAGGACAAAUAUCACAACACUCCCUUGAUAAUAGAAAAACAAAGUGGUUUUUGCUUUAGAACCUUUAAAACCAAGAUCACACAGUCUCUUACUCAAGCGAGAGUACCACUCUCGGGGUUCUUGCUUCAGUCCGUAGAGUGCUUUAUCUAAUUUACACACAUAGUUUGGACAUGUCUUAUCCUCAUAUCUAGGUGGCUGCUUCAUGUAGACUUCUACUUCAAGGACACCAUGAAGGAAGGCAUUUUGUACAUCUAGUUGUCGAAGAGUCCAACCCCUGAAAAUAGCAAUAGAGAGAAUAAUCCUAAUAGUAGCUGCCUUUACUACAGGACUAAAGGUGUCUUCGUAAUCUAUUCCAUAUCUUUGCUUGAAUCCCUUUGCAAUCAGUCUAGCUUUAUAUCUAUCCAAGCUGGCAUCUUGUUUUCACUUGAUUUUAUAAACCCACUUACAAUCUAUGACAUUCCUACCUUUUUGAGGUGGAACAAGGUGCCAGGUUGCAUUCUUUUGCAGGGUCAUAAAUUCACUAUCCAUUGCACUUUUCCAAUUAUUAUCUUGCAAGGCAUUUUCUAAAUUAUAUGGCUCACCAGUUGCUGUAAGAAAACUGAACUUAUUGCUGUAUUUAAUGGUACCAUCAGUGUAAGUUUUCUCCUUACGAAUACCACUUUGUAGGCGUGUCUUCAGUCUUGUGUUCCCCUUGCCGAAGAGACCACAGGGGAUCCGGGCUCCAGAGUCGAGGCAGAUUCGCGAGGAGGCAGCGCAGGGGAAGAUUCACCUCCAGGCAGGGUGGAGCCGGUGGCAGUGUGAUGUGUGGCGGGAAGGACGCCAUCGUCCGCGCGCUCCCCAGUCGUCGGGCGCAUGGCUGGUGGAGGCUGGGCGACGUGGAAGGGGGCACUGCCGGAUGUCCCCGGAGCUCCGGACACGGUGCACGUGUCAGCUGGCGACGGGUGCACCAGUGGGGGAUCCACCCUAGCAGAGCCUGUUGAGCCUGGUUUAGUGCAGGGAGCAUAUCCCGAAGAAGAUGUUAGUGCAGGAGGAUCUGCUUCGAUUUUCGUGCCCAGACCUGUAUUCUCAGUAUUUGAUGUAGGAAGCUCCUGAAAAGCACCGGUUUCUUCACAAAAAUCAUUAGCAGAUAAAUUAGGGAAAUUAGUCACAUGAUUACUCAGUUGCGGGGCACCAUUGCCUAGAGUAUUUGGAUUUAAAAGAGAUGGAUCUAGAAAAGAAAUUUUUGUUUGUAAUCGCCUGCUUGUAUUGGAGUGGAGUUUAGAGAAAGGAAAUAUGGAUUCAUCAAAACGACAUCUCUAGAGAUAUAUACCCGACCAGAUGAAGGAUCAAGGCACUUAAACCUUUGUGCAAGCUGCUGUAACCCAAGAAAGUGCAUUGUGUAGAUCGAAAUUGAAGUUUCUGAGAGUUGUAGGGGCGUAGGUUGUGCCAACAUGCACAACCAAAGACUCGUAGAGAUGUGUAAUGUGGUUUCGGACGGAAUAGAUGCUCUAGGGGUGUUUCAUGCUGAAUAACUCGACUAGGAAUUCUGUUGAUUAGAUAGACAGCGGAGAGAAAAGCAUCACCCCAAAAUUUGAGCGGCAUGGAUGCAUAGGCUAGAAGAGCAAUAGCUACUUCUACAAUAUGGCAAUGCUUUCUUUCAGCGGAUCCAUUUUGUUGAUGCGCAUGAGGACAUGAGACAUGGUGUGUGAUGCCAAUUUGUGUAAAAAAUAAGUUUAAUUUUUUUGAUACUCCUUUCCCGAGUCAGUUUGCAUGGCAAUGAUCUUUCUAUCAAAAAAUCUUUCGACCAGAUUUUUAAACUCAUGAAUUCUUUGGAACACAUCAGAUUUGAACUUCAAAAGAUAGAUCCAGAUAAACUUCCUGUAAUCAUCAAUAAAACUAAUAGAAUAUUUUUGUCCUCCAACUGAAUUGGGUGCAGGGCCCCAUACAUCAGAAAAGACAAGUUUCAAAGGAUGAGAGGAAACACUAGAAGACUUGGGAUAGGGUAAUUGAUGGCUCUUGGCCAUUUGACAAGCACCACACACUGAUUGUUUAUUCAAAUCAAAAGAACAAGGAAGAUUAAAACUACUGAUAACUUUCUCCACAACUGGGAGAGAUGGAUGCCCAAGGAAACUAUGCCAUUGCUCAUCAGAUGGCCUAACAACUCCAAAGGCUUGCUUUAUUGAAUGUGUAGACAGCAGGGGAUACAAUUCUUUAUGGCAGCUCCCUCUAAGAAGAUUUUUCCUCGUGGCCUGAUCCUUGAUCAAAAAGAAAUCAGGGUGAAGUUCUAGAAAGGAAGAGUUAUCAGUAGCUAAUCUAUGAAUGGAAACAAGAUUUUUACUGGCUUCAGGAACAUAGAGAACAUUUUAAGGAUGAAGAUUGUGGCUAGGGGUUUUAACAACUGAAUGACCAAUGCGACAAAUUCCCAUACCUGCUCCACUCACAGUUUGGAUAUGAUCAUUCCCCUUGUAUCGGUCAUGGACAGUGAGCUUCUCAAGAUUGGUCGCCACAUGGUCAGUGGCACCACUAUUUCUGUACAAGUUGGUGUCCACCCUAUAUGAUAUGGUUGCUAUCCCUGCAUAUCUCUCAUCAGGUAUUUCCAUCAUACCUAUGCCAGCAAUCUGUCACCAUGUGACCCUUCUUGAGGCACAGCUAGCACCUGGGCCUGCUGUCAGGAUUGCCCCUACCACCAUUGUACUGGCGAGGGGCGUUGCCGUUGCUGCGGGUGUUGUUGUUGCCGGCGGCCAGCCAUGAGUUUGUUGGUAAUCUAAACUCACUCUAGAUUACAUACAACAACAUUCAAGAUAUACAUCAGCCUAACAACAAACUAUGGCUGGCCACCUAACUUGAAUGACAUGUUACAUUGUUUAACACCAGCGUCGGCGCCAGGGAGAUUGGGGAGGGGUUGAGGCUUGAGGAGAGAGGAGAUCAAUGAACGGCCGUCGCAGUCGCGCGCUCAAGUACUCGUAUUCGCGUCGUGAGGAAAGAGGGUGGCGGGCUGGCCGCUGAGUGACUGGAGGAGACGAGGGGAUGGGGAGAGCUAGGGUUAGCAGAUCGCUAGCCAAAUUUUAUAUCAACUUGUGGGCUUUACCAAAUUUUCUUUGCUGGGCUGAUUUCGGCCUAUAUCUAAUGCACAAGCACAUGAAUUCGAGGCUCCCGCUGGGGAUCGGGGACAGGGAGCCAGGGAAGUCUAUUCCUAUCUGGUUUCCGGUGGCCCGUUAGCUAUAUGGCUUCCAUUGUUUGAGAUUCGUGCAAAGAAAUCCCACCCCUUGGUUGCACCCAUCUUCCUCAACCCUAACUUAGCCGUGCCCCUGUCCAUGGCCGCCGCCUCGACCCCGAGCUUGUCGCUCCCCCACGACACCUCCACCGGCGGGCCUAUUGCACCGCCGCCCAUGACUCUCGGCGCCUCCGCGCCCCAUGGCUAUCGGCCUACUGCCCGCGACCCCAGCGUCGCCGCCGCGCCCCAUAGCGCCUUCACACGUGACUCCUGGCACCUCCGCGUUGGCCUGCUGCCCGCGCGUCCAAAACCUGCCGCCGCCGCUGCGUCUUGGCCGCCGACCUGCCACAGGCACCCCCUGGUCAUGCUGUGGCCACGGCCUACCACCGUGCACGCCCUUCCACCGCACUAGCCGGUGCCGACGCCAGCGCGCAGCCUGCCGGCUUGCCGUGUGCUGGCGUCGGCACCGGAGAAGAAGCCACGACUAUUUUUUUUAAAAUGUUGAUGCAUUUGUGGAUAAAUGUUGAAUCCUUUUUUCAAAAUGUUUAAACGGGUUGUGAAAAAUAUUGAAAAUGGUAUACAUUCCAAAAAUGUUGAAUGUAGUAUUUUUAAAUAUUGAUCUAUUUCUCUUAAAAUGUUGAAUGUAAUUUUUCAUUGAUGAAUUUGGGCCUAUUAGUUGGGUCCAUUAGUUGGUCCUAAUGGACUUUAAAGCCAUGUUGCUUAGCUAGCACAUGGAAGCUACAUAGGAGCCCCCGCCAGGUAACGUCCCCGCCCCCGUCUCACCAGACAGGGAUGAGUUUUGACCUGCUAAGCUCCCCGAGGGGAGUAAAAUCACCCUAUUUACAUCCCCUAAUGGAUGAAUUCCCCACUGGGGAUUGGGGCCCCAUUGCCAUCCCUAGGCUACGUGAAGCCUGAGCCCUCUAGGGCAAUGUUAUAAAUUGUUUGACUAAUCACGAUUAGUCACGAUUAAUCGCCCUUAUCGGUUUCCUACCACCGAUAAUGCCCAACGAUUCGAUUUGGUCGAUAUCGUACAUACAUCUAUGGCCCACCAGGAGGUUUGGAUAGUUCUAUAUAUGGGGCUGGACAUCGAGACACAUCUUACAUGGAGACCAUGGCGCGGGACGGUGUAGUCUACAUGGAAGGACAAGAACUAGUUGGGAAUUAGGAAAGUACUCAUUGUAAUAAGAGAAUAACUCCUCUAACCGUAUCCAACUAGUAUUCUUGUAACCAACCGACCUGUAACCCUGUGCCCGGCUAUAUAACGCAAGGCAGGGACCCCCUCCAAAGCAAUUCAAUCCAACCAACACACAGGACGUAAGGUAUUACGCAAUUUAGCGGUCCGAACCUGUCUAAAUCGUGUGUCUGCGUUUACCUUCGAGUUCUUGAUCUCGACGAGCUGCACUAACCAAAACACUCCCUCGGGUACCCCCCUCGAUAGGGUGCCGGGUCUAAACACCGACAGCUAGCGCGUCAGGUAGGGGUUCUCAUCGAGAAUCCGCUGGUGAACUCGAUGGUACAAGUCAUCAUCAAGCCAAUCAUUGCAUUUGAAGCAGGCGCGACAUUCUUGUAACGACUCAGGUUAAUCAGCCAAGUUAAUCUUACAAGUUCCCAAAUCUGCAGUUCAAUCAGCCCCGACCCCUGAAACUCAACCCAACCGCCGUUUCUCUCUAAGUCCCGAAACCAGGGUUCCUUCAAAAGUGGAGCUUUGGGAGAGCCAGAGACUGGAAGUUGGACCUAGAGAAAGGAUUCCCCGGAUCUAUUAGGCCAAGCGCGCCAGAGCAAGCGUGCGCCCUACUUCAGAGCCCCGUCGCCGUGUGGCAUGGUAUCCCCGACGAGCCCCGCCUCGCCCAGUCGCUAGCCGCAACAGGAUGGAUCAGCGCACCUCCUUCCCAAUCACGCGCGGAAGCGCCCUGCAUCCCUUUUCCACCUCGUCUCAUCUCGCCUGCAACCUCGCCGGCUGCGCCAGGCGCCCUGUCGCCGCUGCGACCAAGGAUUAGCUGCUGCCGCGUCAGUUCGCCUCGUCUCCCGCGCACAUCUCCUCACCUGGAUCCCUGGCCUCGCGUCUCAACGCCUUUUGGCUUUUCUGUCGCCCCUUAGUUGUGCUGCCCACGCGCGCUCCCCGCGACGAAACCGCCUUCGCCAACCACGGCUCCAGCAGUGACAACUCCUUUUCCCGUCUCGCCAGUAGCGUGCCCCGGCAAAGCUGCUGGUUCGGCGCUUGCUAGCGUCGCCGCUCGCCUUGUCACCUCACCUGCAGCGCCCUCGCCUGCAGUGCCCCUUCCUUCCUUCCUGCCGCACGCUAGCCAAGCCGCCGCACCCAAUCCGCCGCUUGACGCGACCAGACCCGCGCUCACCCUCGCCAAUCUUUCCCUCUGGCAAAACCAUGCCUGCUUAAGCUCUGUCUUCAGUGCCCAAUGACCGAAGACCCUAUCCCUGAAGCUCCGCUUCGCCGGCCAAUGGAGGCAUCGACCAAUCGCCGCCCCGGCAGAGCACUCCAUUCUCUUCGACCUGAUCCUCGGGCUGCCCGAACUCCUUCUCUUCCGCGCAGCUAUAAAAGGGAGUACCCGAGCCUCUACCGGAGUUUCCUUCGCCAUCGUUUCCUUGCCGCACCUUCCUCUGUUUCGCACUCAAGCGCUGCCGCAUAAGCUCUUGAAGAACUCCCCUCUCUGCUCAACACCCACCUUUCCCAACCCGCCAGCCGCUUGUUCCUCCGCACUGUGCUAGAGCUUACUUGUUGUCCACAAGAAGCACCGCCGCCGCCGGAGCACCGCCGGUCCCAGCCGCCGCCCAAGCCUUAGCGCCUUAAGUCUUUCCGCCUGAGUCUGUUCCUUCCCGACCCCAAGACUUCACCAGUAGGCCCAAGGGUAAGCCGCCGACCCCUUUCCGUCUUGCCCGACCCCUAUUUGUUUCGCCGACCCUUGUCCGCCUCGUCUGAGGGCUCGGCUGUAUCCUUUUCUGUUGACCAAGGAUAUCUGUGUAAAAUUUUAGGGACUUCUCUGUGUUAUGUCUAAGGACCCCGGUACAGUUAUUCCUUAGGUCUGAGGGUCAGAUCAUAAGUUUUUCCCGAUCCGACUCCUUUAUCUUGUUCUCUAUCAACAGAAGCUUAGGAUUUCACACCUUUCCUGUAGUUUUGCCACAAGUUUCUAAGCUUAAGCUUGCAAGUGUUGUUGAAAUAACCGUCUAAGUGUUUAACCCCUGCAUUUGCAUUUCGUGUAGAGCUCAACCUCGCCGAGGGCACCUACGAGCUGCACCCGGUGCCAGAAGAUGAAGUAGUAGCUGAGCUGCCGACCGUAGGAGCUGAAGCAGAGCACACUGAAGAUCAGUUUGCUUCCGCCCCACUCGAAGGCAAGCCCCGAAGCAUAACCCAACUUUUCUAAACUUGAGCAUGCCUUCCUUUGUAUGUAUGUGCAUUUAUGUUACAGGAGUUGUUUGAAACCAUAAAUGCAUGACUUAGUUCCCUUGAUCUGAACACUAGCAUGAUAAGUCCGAGUAGUUGCAGUGCUUAACAGGACCCGGUAAAAGUCGAGUGAUUUCCUAUCACUCGCGAGUUAUAGGAGUUGUUUGUUCUCCUUCUGGUUACAACUAUAAGGACGGUGGACGGAGCAGAGCCUUGUGAACUCUUUUGGUGGUCGGUGGAUCGCCCUGUCUGUCUAUAUGAAAUUGCUUAAGGUCGGAAAGUGUUGGUGUUCGUGAUCAAGUGUUUGAAAGUACUAAUCUCAUACCUAGUAUGGGAUGGGGAAGCCUAGUACCUGAUUGAACUAGGGCGUGGCUUAUACCCCUGCUGUCCCUGGAACGAGGUUCCCAUGGUGCAUCAUGUGGGUGCAAGUGCUGUCACAGUACGACAAGAGGUCGGGACUGUGGAGCAUUGCAUGCUAAGGGAAGUUUGGACCUGACACGUGCCUGGGAAUUGAUGGGGAUGGCCGACACAGGAAGCGACCCUCUGUGGUGUGUGGAUGUCGUGAGAUUAGGUUCACCAUGCAUGGUUAAGAAACUCAAAUCAAUUCAUCUGCCUCUCACAGUUUGAGACUGCUUGAUCGCUAUGCUACACUGAGUAAAGAUGGAACAUGAUGAUGAUAUGAACUUUGAGGCUUGUUCUAUACUUUUGUUUGGAAUCUAUGAUUGUUAGCAUAAGCUGCCAAUAUAGCCUGGUUAAUGAACUUAGAAUCUGAGCUAAAAUAUUGAAAGUAAGGACCUACUGUAGUUGCUUUUAGCAAAACAAACCCCUCAGCUAAAGAGCCUUGCAUGUCUAGAAGUUGGUGGAGUAGUUUUUCCCACCGGUCGGUUAAGUCUUGUUGAGCUUAGCAGCUUAGCCUUGCUUGUGGCAUCUCUUUCAGGUGAAGUUGAAGCUUCUGAGUGUGCUGCUGUUGGCACUUGGCCGCCCCAGCUUCCUCCUGGGUGGACGGUCGAGUGGGAUCCCUCCUCGGACGGUGAGGAGAGGGAUCAUUGAUGUCUUGAUCGGCCUCAUCAGGGACAUCCGACCCAGCGCUAGCUUCCGCAGUUCUGUUUUAUCUUUUUCCGCUGCUUGAACUCUGUAAAACUUUGGUAUUUCCGAACCGGUGUUGAUGAACUUAAUGUACUUGUUUAAGUGGAAGAUCUGUUGUAUUCUCUGGAACCACUCACUUUCGUGUGAGCUAUGCUAACUCGGUUUGUAUAGUGGUUUAUCGGAUGAAAUCCGACGGAUCGUCGAGUCAACUUGAUUAAAGCAUAUGAUCGCGUGUUAGGCAACUUAAAUGUGCUUUAGCUAAGUUAAUCCGAGGUGUUCCGCCACAGUUCCUCUUCGGCUCCUAGGUUUGCAUCGCAGACGGUGUUGGAAAUUUCUGCCGCUACAUUGCGUUGACCCCGAAGAAGAAGCAGCAAACCAUGAAGCUCCAGCGCCAAGAUCUAGAGGAUCUCGUCAAGAAUUUUGGUGAAUUUUUAUUUCUUGACCUAGUCAGAGGCUAGGGGGACGAGUCUGAGUACAGCUCGACUUCUUCCACCGGUCGGAUUGACUUGCACGAGCUGGUGCAUAAGCCAUCGUGUGAGUCGGAUUACCAUCUGAGUCGAUUCCUGUUUGGACUCCGCAAUGUGACCACUGUUUAUCAGGCGGCCCUAUCCAGAUAAGAAUCCGAUAUGGAUAUGAUCGAGGACCUCGACUACUACUCGGAUCCGGAUGAGGAGACUCCUUUAUCAAGUCUGCAGCAGGGCCUGGUAAUCACAUCAACUCCUCAAGGCAGAUUCUUCUACUGGCCCAACAUGAAGCCACCCGCUCUUGCCAAGGACGAAAAUUCAUGCCUCAUCGCCUACCUCGACACUUUCUCGUACCAGGAGGGAGCUUCUCUGUCGCCCAUCUACGAGGUAGGCGACACCAUAGAGGUCAUGACUUCAAGCUCGGGAAGCUACUCUCCAGAGUAAGAACUCUUCGCCGUCAUUGCUGGAGAAGAGGACGAAGAAGAAGAGCGGCGGGACAGAAACUCGCGACAUGAGCGUCACCCAGAUGAUGUCUUGCAGGAUGAGCUCACCGCCAACAUUGUCAGAGAAGAGACCGAAGCUCAAAGAACUCAACAACGAGCAAGAAACGCCGCAAGAGCAGAGCGCCCCCGCUGCCUUGCAGCGGACCUACCAAUCCAUAACUUGGAUAAUGCCUUUGAAGCAGUUCAAACGCGUCACCAUCAUACUCCCAUGGCUACCGUCAUGUCUAUUGAUCUCAUCACCCGCACGAUGCCCCAGAACAAGUACACUAGACAGUUGGUUGAACUCGCGUAUGAACAACUCGAUCAGCAGAAUCCGAUACAGCCAGUCCAAUACUCCGCAUCCCAGCGAAGUCAACAUGGUAGUAGCCAAAGAGGCACUCUGUUGAGACUGAGUCAACUCGGAGGCACCAGACGAAGCCAAGCUGGAGCUGAAGGUAGUCGGGCAGAACCCUCGGGAUGUCGUGGCCACCAUGGGGCUAACCCAAAGCCUAAACGCCCAGUAGGAGACCUCUACAACAAGAUCAUUGCCAGCCGCGACGCCCGUACCAUCAUCGAUGAACGGUGCCGCGAGCGCGAUCAAGAAGUCAAAUGCCUAGGAGAUGGUACUGACGGGUUCCCCGCCUUCUCCAGACGUGUGAGGAGGACAACUCUACCUGAAAAGUUCAAACCCCCAGGCAUCACCAAGUACAAUGGCAAGCAAGACCCAGUCCAAUGGCUCUGGUGCUACUCGCUGUCAGUACAAGCAGCUGGGGGAAACAACGACACCAAAGUCGUCUACUUCCCCAUCUGCAUGGAGGCGGCGCCACUCACAUGGCUCGAAUCGUUGGACAAGAACUCCAUCGACUCAUGCAAGGACCUCAAGGUGGUGUUCACCAACAACUACAUGGGGGCAAUGCAGCGUUCAGGCAACUGGAUCGACUUGUCUUAGGUGAAGCAACAAGAAAGCAAGACCCUGCGAAGCUACUUACAUUGCUUCUUCGACAAGAAGGCCACAAUCGUGGAUGUCAUGGAGCGUGACUUCGUUGACCGCUUCCAGAAUGGCCUCCACGACCGCUAGAUGUUUUAGGACAUCGGCAAAAGAUGCUUCGCUGAUGUGAAAUCUCUCAAGAUCAUGGCAUGGACGUGGGCAGAUGAAGAAGAUAGGGAGAUCGAAAGGUUCGAGUUCAAUCGCAACAAGGGCUAGAACAACAACAAUCAGAACAACGGCCAACGCAACAACAAGAACUGCAACGAUCGCCCCAGCAAUGACAACUGAAAUAACUACUUGGGAAGUAAGAACCACUUGCGUAAGCUAGACAAUACUGUCACGGAAAUCUCGCAGUCGUCCAAGAAAGGUGGCAGCAAGAACCAAGAUAAACCCUCAUUUAAUGAGCUCUUGAAGAAACAGUGCCCAUGGCACCCAUACCACAAGCAUGCUGCGUUAGACUGUUUCAGUCUACGCAGAGUCAUGAAGGACCUGCCAGAGCUAUCUGGUACCAAAGACAAGGGAAAGACCAAGAAAGACAAAGAUGAUGGUGACAAUGGUAAGUUCUAGAACCCAUCCAACACCAUCAACGUCAUCUUCGGUGGAACCCCGGGUACUGCCACUAAGCAGUUCUAGAAGCUGACUCUUCGAGAGAUAAUGUCCAUUGAACCUGCGGUGCCAACAUUCCUCAAAUGGUCCGAGGUGCCAAUUACCUUGUCCAGAAAGGACCAAUGGACUAGUUUCUCAGACCCAGGAUAGUAUCCCCUCGUCCUGGACCCGGUCGUCGCUGGCUCAAGACUUACCAAAGUACUCAUCGACGGCGACAACGGUCUCAAUAUCCUGUUCGCCAAUACACUGAAUAAGAUGGGCCUCGACAUCACCGAAUAUGAUCACACCAAGAAACUCUCCAUUUUAUGGGAUUGUCCCAGGCAACAUGGUUGUAGCCCUCGAACAGGUGGUUUUGCCAAUUACCUUUGGGACCAAAGAACACUACCGGACAGAAUACAUCCGGUUCGAGGUGUUGAAUUUCAAAACAUCACAACACACCAUGCUCGGAAGACCAGCAUUGGCUAAAUUCAUGGUCAUCCCACACUACGUGUACUUAGUACUCAAGAUGCCAGGAUCCAAGGGAGUAAUCUCCCUGUGCGGAGACUUGAAGAGGUUGUACAACUGCGACACAGAAGCCAUGGAGCUAGCAGCAAUUACUCAAGUACCAAACUUGAUGAUGCAAGUCUUCACUGCAUCCAAGAAGUUGUCUCCAUCAGUGCUCGAGAUUCUAGAAAAGAAGUCGGGGGCAACCAAGGGCAAGCUAGCAAGUGAACUAGACAUCAAAGCCUUUGACCUUAAGACUGGUGACAGCUUCAAGACAGCCCUGAUUGGCAUAGGGCUAGGUCCUAAAUAGGAAGGCGCGCUUGUCAGGUUCCUUCGGGCCAACCAAGACAUCUUCACGUGGAACCAACAGACAUGUCGUGGGUGCCCAGGAGUUGAUCGAGCACUCACUCAACAUGAAUCUAAUAGCUACACCAAAAAGGCAACACCUACGAUGAUUUGCCCAAGACAGAAGGGAAGCCAUCAAGAAAGAGCUGGCCAAACUACUCGCGGUGAGCUUCAUAAAAGAAGUCUAUCAUCUAGAGUGGCUCGCCAAUCCCAUCCUAGUGUGAAAGAAAAAUAACAAAUAGUGGAGGAUGUGUGUUGACUACACAGACCUCAACAAGCACUGUCUAAAGGAUCCCUUCGAGCUCCCUAGGAUUGAUCAAGUCAUUGACUCCAUAGCUGGAUGUGCCCUACUCUAUUUCCUCGAUUGAUACUUAGGGUAUCACCAAAUAGCUCUCAAGGAGGAAGACCACAUUAAGACCGCGUUCAUCACCCUAUACGGAGCUUUCUGCUACACAACAGUGUCUUUCAGGUUGAAGAACACAGGAGCUACUUAUCAACGGGCAGUCCAGGAGUGCUUCAAGAAGCACCUACACCGCAACAUGGAGGCGUACGUGGACGACGUGGUCAUAAAGACCAGAAAUCCCGACGACCUGAUUGCGGAUCUAGAAGAAACUUUUGCAAGUCUGCAAGAGUUCCGAUGGAAGCUCAACCCGACAAAUUGUGUCUUCUGCAUACCUUCCGGGAAACUACUCGGGUUCAUCAUUAGUCAUCGAGGCAUUGAAGCUAACCCCGAGAAGAUCUCCUCCAUCACCGAUAUGCAUGCCCCAUCAGGCAUCAAGGACAUCCAGAAGCUGACUGGAUACAUGACGGCCCUCAACAGAUUCAUCUCAAAGCCCCAACUAGUAUGAUGUGAUCCCUCCUCAAAUCCCCCACGGAUUCGACUUGAAUUUGUAGUUUUCCUAAAGACUUGAGUUCUUGGUAGGGUUUCAGUGUUCUCCAAAAUUCGUUAUGAAUACUUAAGCUUUUCGAAGUGAGCCUUUGGGAAUAACCUGGUAUGUUGUUAUAAGUUUAUGGUUCAAAUUUUGUAAUUUUUGGAGGUCGUUUGAUCAAGUUUUGAAUUGUUCCGACUUGUUCACGCAGACUGUUUUUGGAGCUGCGGAAUAUUCCAAAGAAUUUUCCGAAAAAUUCUGUAGGUGCGAAGAUUUUUUCGGAAAUUUCGUAGGUGUGGAUUCUCCAAAGGUUUGUGCAGAUUCUCCGGAAGUUGCGGAUUAUUCCGAAGAGUUUUGCGGAGUUUCCGUACUUUUGUGUUGGUUUUCCAAUCUCUUCUUCCGACACUUGUUUGGGUUUUCUUUCUCGCUUCCGUUAGUUUCUAAUUUGGUUCCUAGCACCAUUUCUAGAUCCAUUAGCUCUUGCAUAGCUAAGGGGACUUGAUAUUGCUAGAAGAGAGGUUUGUGGAUUGGUUUGAGACUAUAGCCGAGGUUAUUUGAAGAAAUUUGAAUUGGCUCCCAUUCACCACCCUUUGGUCGCCCGUUCCGAUCCUUCACCGUAGAAUCCUUGCUUUUGCUAUUUAUUUAGGUUUCAUCCGUUUCCAUUGGACCCAGAAUCCUUGCUUUUGCUGUGUAGGUUUCAUCUGGUUUAGUUUUCUGUUGGUACAUGGACAUAUGCUUGUACAAAAUCCUUGCUUUUGCUUAUCAUCUAUAAUCAUUGUUUGCACACCGAAGCAUUUUUUUAAACUUAGAUGCACUCUUGUACAGGAAAACAGAUCUUGGAGGAAUGCUGGUGAAAUAAGUAGGGAUGGAAUUUUGGGGCGAAGCAGCUAGAAGUUCCAGGGGAGGGUGAACUUGCAACCACAAGCCUAACAUCAUCUGGAUAUUCUAUCAGAUAGCAUCCACACAAAGAUACAUAGAAGUACGCAGCAAAGCGCCGCCAGCGACGUCAGCACGCCCUUGUGCCCCUGCAGAUAACGUCCAGAGGAGCCUGUCGGCAGCAACCUGUCGAGGUACUCGCUGACAGUGGUGUACUCGACGUCCGGGUAGAGCUCGCCGGCGGCCGCCCCCAGCGACGGCUCGAUCUUGAAGUUUGUCUCCCCCAGGAUGUACGCCGCGUGCCCGAUCGAGAGCGCGAUGCCCAGCGCGUGAGAAGCCUCUGCAGAAUCAUUUUUCCCCCCUUAACAUUUCACAGCAAGUAAAUACAAUGCAGAUGCUGUCUUCUCAGGAAGAACCAGAACCAGGCGUGUCCUACUGACCUCGGAUCAUCUUGAGGACGGCGUCCUCGGCGACGUACACCCGCAGGAACGUCCGGCCGGUCUUCUUCUCCCACAUCGACAGCAGCUCGUUGUGCGACAGCGUGUUGGCCGGCGGCUUGACGUACAGCAUCCGGCCCGCCGCGCGGGGGUCGGCGGCGGCCCGGACCGUGUAGGCACCGACGUCCUCCUCGGCCACGUACGACACCUUGGUGUCGCCGCCGCCGAGGACGACGGCCUCGUCGGCGGGGGGCGCCGGGGACAGCACCUGCCCGACGCUGGGCAGCGCGGCGCCGGCGAGGUACCCGCACAGCACGUAGGUGUGCGGGACGCCCGCGGCCUCCACGGCGCGCCGGACGGACGCCUUGCUGGCGUAGACGGUGGACCUCGCCGGCUCCACGGCGGCGGUGUGGUCCACGUCCGUCCAGAACUCCGACGGCAAGAACCUCUGCACGUAAGCAUUUACAAGCACGCCGGCCGCGAGCGAGCUUGCGGUCAACGAAUCACUGAAUCGAAGCAUCGAAGGCAGUGCAGUGAUGCGAGUAAACAAAGGUUGCUACCUUGACGCCGCCGGCGUCCUUGAUGGCGGCGAUGAGCCGGGUCUGGUCGGCGAUCUGCCGCGUCCCGAGCGCGGAGAUGACGACGUCGGCGGCCUUCAUGGGGCGCACCAGGCUGGUGUGGUCGUAGAGGUCGCCCUUGACGAGCGUCACGCCGGCGUCACGGAAGCUCCGGAGCAGCGCCGCCUUGGCCGGGUCGGAGGGGGCGGUGUCCCUGACGAGCGCGGCGGUGGGGUGGCCCAGCCGCGCGCUCGCCGCCACGAUGUGCCUGCCCAGGCGGCCCGUGCCGCCGAUCACCAGGAUCCUAGUCUCCUCAUUAGGGGACAUCUUGGUUCCUUUGCUUGUGAGUAGUGACCGAUCGAUCGAUUCGCGGCUCACCGAGAAGAGUGAGUGAGUUCGCUAGACUCGACGUGUGUGGCCGGUUUAAGAAGGGACCUGUCUGCCCGUUCUUAUCGUGAUCGGGAGUGACUCAUUAUUAGCCGAUUUCAAUGCGCCAACAUUGAUAUCGAUAUAGUUAACUACCACGCGAAACACGGGCAACAAUAUAGAAAUACAGCUUCGUUUCAAAAAAAAAAAAUAUAGAAGUACAGCAUAAAUCAACAGUUGAUGAUGUUCCCACUCCAUGGCUACGGUUCAAUUUGAGUGCUGUUGUCAGGAAAUUGACAAAUCUUCUUCUUCUUUAUGUAACUGUACAAUGCAAAUGGUUUUAUUUUUUUCUUCUUCUUGAUGGUGAAAUGGUUUCAGUCUGAAAUCCGUUUGAAAAUGAAUCCUCUAAUGCAUAUUUGGCUAAACUCUGUGGCUUCAGAUUAUGAAUCCAACUGCUUAAGAUGGUGUUUGGCAUCACUCCAAAAACCAGCUCUACUCCACCAGCUCCACACUUUUCCAGCUCCACUCCACCAACUCCAGAAAACUAUGAAGCUGCUGUACACAUUUGGUUGUUUAUAGUGCUCCAACUCCAAAAAUACAAGAAUUUGGUGGGAAAGUUCUAUUUUACCCAUGAUGGAUAGCUGGUUCUGUUUUUAGCAUUGUGGAGACUCCUUUAUUUAUUUUGACGUGCUGCAGUAAUUCGCUACAGGAAUUAUUUUUUAAAAAAAUGUCCAACCCGAUAAUGUUUUGCCAAAUGAAAAGUCACAACAAAUACGGUACAAAAUCAACCUUGCCAUUACAAACUACUUCCAAGGAAGAGAGUGCGGUGGCUAGCUCAUCACGAAAGACAUCCAUAGUUGGUGCGUUGAGUGCCGAAGUUGACCCAUCCGACGCCGCUUGUGAAACUGCAUAUUUGUUAUAUCUUUUCGGUACUGUAGGAACAAAAUUAGGAUCACGAUCAAACCGAGCAAAGUCUUCAUCUUCACCUCCAUGUUCACGAAUGAAAUUGUGAAGGACCAUGGUAGCCACAGCAAUCAUCUUUUGCUUGUACAUGGGAUAUGGUAGCAUCUUCCAAAGAAUUUGCUACUUCAUUUUUAAUAAUUCAAAAGGUCACUCAAUCACAUUGCAGAUAGAUGAGUGAAUCCGAUUGAACCUUUCCAUAUGAGUCUUAGGUUCGGUACCUUUAUGCCAUUCAGGUAAAUGAUACCUUUCACCCUUGUAAGGAGCGAGGUAGCCAGGAUGAUUAGGAUAUCCCGCAUCCACAACAUAAUAUUUGCCUAUAUUCAGAUAAAAAUAAUAUGAGUUAUGGAUUAAUGCUACAUGUUAAUCACAUUUGUAUGUUCAAAUUGAACACAUGUUACCUUGUGCAGGAUGUGGAAAAAAUCUUCAUCAACUCUGAGUGUAUUGUACAGCACACUUGUGUCAUGCAUAGUUCUAGGUUGGCCCAUGAAAAUAUAAGUGAAACGCAUGUCAAAGUCACAUACUGCUAGUACAUUUUGAGUGGCUACCCUAGUUUUUCCAAUAUACACUUGCUCAUAAUGUGAAAGAGUGACACGGAUAUGAGUGCCAUCAAGUGCACCAAUACAAUAUUUGAAAUGUGGAUAUGCACAUUUGUCAUAUCUUAUCCUUUUAUGGACCGUGGAGUAGUUGAAAUUUUUUGGUCUAAUGUAAUCUUUUGCCAUAACCAUCAAAGCAUUUAGAACCUCAUCAAAUUUCCUACUAAUAGUUUCACCUGAAUGCUUAAAUCUAUUUUGAGCUCUCCUAUUAGACUCGUUUCCAACACAUGUGUAUAGGAACAUAGCAAGCAUCUCAUAUGUGGUUAUGUGCAUAGAAGAUUGCAGCCCAUACCUUUUCAUCAUGUCAGAAUUUGCCACUUCAUCUAAUCUGUCAUGUACACUCAUUAUAUAAGAAGCAAAUCAUAGUACAACUGUUUAGCUUAUGCAUGUCAUGUACACUCAUUAACCAAAAAUGUAAAACCUAAUCCCUUACCACACCCUCCUACAUUACAGAAGUAUUUUGUGAGAUGCUCUAUUAAAAAAAUGAAGUAUUUUGUAUGAUUCAAUAUUCUAUUAUUAACCAUGAGAUGAAAGCAUCCAGUUACAUUAAUUUGCUACUUUCUUGAAUGAUCACAAUUCACUAUACAGAGUUUGUCAUCCACAAGCAACACAAGAAAGCAACACAAGAAAGUUUAACCGGUUGCUACCAAUUUCCAUUCACAUUCUGAAUUUGAAUAGGAUGCUCAGUUUGCAUUACCGUGUCAGGAGCAUUUCUUUUUUAUGCCUUCUUCAACCCUGUGUGUUGUGCAGCAGAGACGGCAACAUCUUGGGCGGUGGGCUUGCUGCCAAGCCCGGCCACAUCCUCACUGCCAAGCCCGGCGCCUGUAACAACUCUACCUAAAUUAAGUGCUUUAAUCCUAAACCAGUGUCAAUUAAACCCCUAAGCUACGAAGUGAAAUGACCUUUUUAAACCUAAGAAGCUCUCUUUUGGAGUUUGUUUUAAAGCUUGAAAUUCUAUAUACAAACUUAAGUUUCUGCCCAAAUAAGAGUUGUAAAACUUUUAAUUUCCCACAACUUUUGUUAAAGGCACCUUGUCUAAGUCGGAGUGGAAAGGAGUCAGAAACAGCAACCCAAGCCGGUUCUCCUGCAGGACCCUGAAAAUCUUUUAAGUCCUGGAAUUUGAGUUUUCCUCCAUCUUUGCAAGCUUUCAUCUCCCGUUUUCCUAUCUAAACUCGAGUCAGAGCCUUAAUAGAAGUUGUAGUACCUCAAGAGUGUUCCAGCUUUGUUACACUGACCCAGAUCCAAAUCGGGCCCGAACUUGUUCAAAAUCCCGGUCAAAGUGAGGUAAACCAGUCAACUCACCCCGGAUGCUUAAAAAUCCUAAGUCUGGAAUCCCAGAUUUUUGGCUAAUUUUGGCCGGAAAUAUCUUUGAAUCCUUUCACAACCUAAACCGACACCUUAAACAAAGUUUGAAGGAUUACCAGAGUUGAACAAGUUUGUUUAAGGGCGUUUCGGGUGUUGUGUUGAAAGAUUCGGAGAAGGAUCGCUCCAAAGCUGGUCUGGCUUGCAGCCCGAAGGGAGCCUCGACGCUCGCGCGCCCGAGCAUGUUCGCUCGCGCGCUGCGUGGCCGCCGGCCACCAGCAGCUCGCCGGCGCCCUAUCCCCAGCGCGACAGCGACCGGACAAGAGCCACGGUGCCCAACCCGCACCCGCGACAGGACGGAGCGAGCGAAGGGCUAGCCAAUCGUCGGCCGAGCGCAAGUCACCUUCCGUCUGCCACGCUCUGCUCCGCCAAUCCUGUUCCGCCCGUUCGCCGAGGAAGCUGAGAUGCCCCCGACAUCCCGCGUCUCCGCCCGCUCGCCCAACCCCCGCGGUAGCCUUUCCGCAUCGCCCGCCCGACAGACCGGAAGCCCCACACGCUCGCCGCCCAAGGCCAAUCGCCGCCGAAGACCACCCGGAGCUCCGCCUCCUCUGCCCAAUAGCGUCGUCGGCCAAUGGCCGCCUCGCUCAAGCACUCGCCGCUCCCGGCCUUAUCCUUUCCCCACCGGAGCCCCGCCUCGACCCUCCGCGCCACCCCGGGCCUAUAAAAGGGGACCCCCUCACCGGCAAUGCCACCCCUUGCCACCGCCCGCACCUGCGCCGCCGCUUUCUCCUCUGCGCCCUGCCUUCUCCUCUGAGCCACCGCUUUCUUUCCGCGCCGUCGCUGAGCUUCCGUGGAGCUCACCCCCUUGCGCCACCACCACACUCCGGCGACUUCGCCGCCACCCCAAGCCGCUUCAUCCGACACACCCGCCGCUGCUCCUCCGCGCGGUACUAGAGCUUGCUUGUGUCCACCAGAAGCACGCCGCCGCCGGACCACCGUCGAAGUCUCGCCGCCGCCCAAGCCUUCGUGCAUACAACCUUCCCGCCCCAGCCUGUUCCUGUUCGGCCCCAAGGCAUCGCCGGUAGACAUGGAGGUAAGCUACUUAACCUCCCUGUCUUUCCGUCCCGCCCGACCCCUGUCCUUGUUCGGUUCGUCCGACCCCUCUCCGUUCGGUUCGUCCGACCCCUUUGUUUUGGUUCGUCCGAACCCUUUGUUUCGGUUCGCCCGACCCCUUUUCUUUUCGUCUCGCCCGACCCUGCCAAGUUUCGCCGACCCUCUCUCCGCCUCGCCCGAGGGCUCGGUUGUAAUUCUUUUUCUUUGACCCGAGGGUAUCGGUGAAAUGUUUUCGGGGAUUCCUCUGUGUUGAGUCUGAGGACCUCGGUACGGUUUUCCUUAAACCUGAGGGUCAGACCCUAAGUUUUCCCCAAUCCGACCCUUCCAUCCUGCUCUCCACAUGCAGAAGUUGAACUCCCCCACCUUUCCUGUAGCUUUGCUACAAGUGUCCAUGUUAAAGCAUGAGAAUGUUGAAAUAACUAUCUAAAAUGUUUAACCCCUGCAUUGCAUUUCCGUGUAGAGUUGAAUCUCGCCAACGGGACGUACGAGCUUCAUCCAGCCCCGGAAGAAGACCCUGCCGAGGAACAACUGCACCCCUUCGAAGGAGAGCCCGAGCCAGCGCAAGACCCCGAGGACCCCCAAGCUUUUUCUGAAGGCAAGCCCCGGUGCAUGAACUCCCUGUUUUGCUUUCAUGCCAUUGAUUGAUUACUUGAUUGCGCAUUUACGUUUCGAGGAGUUGUAAUGGAACCUUAGAUGCAUAACUUAGUACCUUGUUUUGAAUACUAGUCUCUAAGGCCGAGUAGUUGCAUUGCUUAAUAGGUUUCGGUAAAAGUCGAGUGAUCUCCUGUCACUCGCGAGUUAUAGGAGUUGAAUGUUUCAGUUUUGUCGCAACUAUAAGGACGACGGACGGGGUCAGGCUUGUGUUCGAUGCUUGGUGGAUUGCCCCAUCUGUCUAAAUGAAAACGAACUAAGGUCGAAACAUGUCGGCGUUCGUGAUCAAGUGAUUGAAAGUACUAAUCUCAUACCUAGUAUGGGAUGGGGAAGCCUAGUACCUGAUUGAACUGGGGCGUGGCAUACCUUCCAGCUGUCCUUGGAACGUCGUUCCCAUGGUGCAUCAUGUGGGUGCAAGUGCGGUCACAGUGCAGCACUAGGCCGGGACUGUGGAGCAUUGCAUGCCAAAGGAAGUUGGCCCUGACACGUGCCUAAGGGAUCGAUGGGGACGGUUGACAAAUGAAGCAACCCUUCGUGGUGCGCGGAUGUCGUGAGAUUAGGUUUGCCAUGCAUGGUUAAUAAAUUCGAAUCGAUUCGUCUGCCUCUCACAGAUUGGGACUACUUGAUCGCUAUGCUGCACUGAGUAAGGAUGGAACAUGAUGAGGUUUUAAAUCUUGAUGUUUGAUAAGUAAUUGCCUGGAAACCAUGUUUGUUUAGUAUAAGUUGCUAAUUUAGAAUGGAUAAAGAACAUAGAACAUGAGCUAAAAGGUUGAAAGUAAGGACUAACUUUAGACGCUUUUGGCAAGAAAAACCCCAGAGCCAGAAAGCCUUGCAUGUUUAGGUCUCGGUCGUGUCCUUCCGACGGAUCAGUCUUGCUGAGUACUAGUUGCUCAGCCUUGUUGUGGCUAAUCUUUUUCAGGUAAUAUCAGUAGAUUUGGUGUUGGUACCACUUGGCCGACCUAGCUUCCUCCAGGCUGGACCGUCGAGUGGGAUCCUUCCUCGGACGGUGAAGGGAGAAAUUUUUGAUGUCAUGAUCGGCUCCGUCAUGAUGUCUUGUAUCGACGUUUAGCUUACGCUAGUUUUAAUUUGACCUCGAACCAUGCAAAAUUUCGGUUGAAGUUCCAAAACUCUGAUGUAAUAAAUUGUUGAACUAUGUUGUCAUGAUGGGAUGUUGUAAUCUCUGUGCUACUCACCUUCGCGUGAGCGAUGCUUCUCAAUCCUGUUUACGUGGUUUAUCGGAGGAAAUCCGACGGUCAACCAAGUUGACUUGCUUAAAGUGCAUAAUCGCAUGUCAGGCGACUUCAAUGCAUUUUAGUCAGGUUAAUUUGGGCGGUUCCGCCACAGCUGGCAUCAGAGCUCGAAGCACAGUACGGAGAACAAUAAACCUUAAAACUCUUUUUCUAACUAAAAUUUACAAGAAGUAAAAAUCAAGAAGCUCGUAAGUUCGCUAAGGAUGAGUAUAGUUCGAGGAGCCCUAGGGGAUUUUGGGAUUGUUUUUAAGGUGGCUAAUAGUUAUUGGUUAUCUUCUAACUUCCAGCACUUUUUGACACGUCUAUCAUACGUGUGCAUGAUUCCGCAUCGCGAGUAUGCGAAGGGUGAUGGGAAUUCAAUUCCAACGAGCCUAUCGUCACGGUUGUUCGCCCACGUUUGUUACACGUGUGCAUGAUUCCGCAUCGCGAGAAUGCGAAGGGUUAUAGGAUUCUAUUCAAAGGAACCUAUUUCCACGGUUGUUGCGCUGUCCAUGCAGCGUUAAACGCAUGGGUGCCGUUUCUAUAGCGAACGGUAAUGAUUGUGGACGCUUUCGUGAGUGCUGGCACGGAAGGUUCAAGCUGUGUUGUGUUUUUCUGCAGGUACACUAACAAAGGUUGCAUUCGAAAUGAUGCCUAGUAACUCGACUAGUUAUUAUAGUGAGGGUCGUAUUGUUGCCUUGCCACCGGCACUAACCACGUAAGUCCAAAGAUUUUUGGCAAUUAUUUUUGGUUGAGAGGACGACUAAGACGUGCAUGCAUUCAAACUCGAGUACGUCGUAAAACGUAAUGCACCGCAUUAAGGAUUGUCUAGCUGUCUUUUUCCGCCAUGAUAACUCUAGAAACUUUGUAUAAGCAAGUCGUGUUAAAACACUCAAGUAAAACUGCCACCAGGUACUAACUUUUGGGUUGAGAGUUGUGAUCAGUUGGUGACCCCCUGUUGGCUGUUAGCCCAAAGUGCACACCAGCGGAGUUUCUGCUGUUUCGACCACCCUAAGGACCUUUUCAGUGAGGAGCCCUUUAAGCAAAGUUUUUCAGAACUUAGUGAAGGACUUACUGGUAGAGUUUCAGCUUUGUUGAGUCUCUGGCUUGGAAGUUGUGUUCAGUUUAUCUUGACUCAGUCUAAAGAGUUCCAGCAGGUACACUUAAUGGGAAUCUGAGAUCAUCACCUCGUUAGGUUCUGUUCUAGCCCUACCUUUGAAUACCAAACUUGUUACACGCUAUCUAAAGAACCUGCUAGUAAAAUUUGAGAAGUUUUGGAGGAAUACUUGAUGAGUUAUGAGCUUUCCUCUAACUGCUAGAAAUCUAUUUGAUUUCCAAGUGUUAGCUCCGUUCUCACUUGACCUUUGGUUACAGAUGGCGCAGCCCGUGCACGUUGCAGUCGGCACGGAUGGCACCACCUACUCAUGGUGCCUUCACUACGAGGGUUUUCCAGCUGUGUUGUGGGACACUCUGCGCUCUUUCGGGUAUCAGUCGCCACCGGUUUAUGCGGGCCGUGCGUACCAGGACCACGGGAUUCCGCGGAGCCGCGUACAUGUGCGGGUAUCCCCACAUCCAGAUCAGCCACAGUGGCCACUGUUGGAGGUAGUGGCUGAGGGACACACGCUCCACGACGCCUGGGAGUUCGGAGCCUUGCAGACAUUGACCCAGUUCUGCCGGGCACACCCUCUUGAGAUCGUGCUAGACCCGAUUGGGUUGUUCCCUGCCCGGGAUACGAGGGACCCGGACUGGUUGGACCGUAUGGAGCAUAUGGACUUGCUCGGACUUAUGAAUCCUCAGCGCACGAUUUUUGUUUCAGCUCGCUGCCUGAAUGUGUUCUACAGGAUGGUUGAGCUGCAGAGCCGAGCAAUGGCCACGGUGAUUAGGAUGGCAGUGGCCAACCAGGUUGCGUUGUCUACCGUGCAGAGUGGCAUGGUGGACCAGUCGCUCGAGCUGGUACAGAAGGAUGUUCAGAUUGCUGAGAUGCAGGACAAGAUUACUAGUUUAGAGGAAGAGAUUGUAGACAUGGAGCACGAUAUGGAGAUCUUGGCUGACCAGUUCUAUGAUGUGAACAUGGAGCUGGCGAACGCCAAUGAGCACUUACAAGAACAUCAUGAUGAGCUAAAUGUCAUCCACGCCCUGGAGGUGCAGCUAGAUGAGCAGAUGGCCCAGGAGGAGGAGCCUGAGGAGAUCAAAGGCUUUUCGAGCAUGGACUAUGAGAAUGCCUCACCGCAGCCUCCAGUUGGUGACGCUCACUCACCGGCCCUUAGCUUUGCCUCCGUGGGCAACCUCGACGACUUCUAGUUAUGACAAACUAGGUUGAGCGGUUCUUUUGUCUUUGUUUGUACUCCUCGGCGACCUAUAUUUUUGGCCAGUGAUGUAAUAGGUUAGCCUUGAGUUGAGUACUCCUCCUGUAUGUAAGACCAGCAAUGAAAUGAUCUUAGUGAAAGCAGUUCCUUUUGUUUUCGCUCCCUUUGACUCUACUUCUGAUCUUUGUGACACACCGUGGAUGCCAAGUUGUGUGGGUUUUAGUGCUGUGAUCACACACCCGCCUCCUGUGGGCCUGUCCAAAGCUGGCCGACCCCGGGUCGCGAGGUCGGACGCGCCCGACCCCUCGCGGCAGGUCUCCGCCUCGCCCGACCCCGGGAUGACAGUCUCCGCCUCGUCCGACCCCAUGUUGGAAGGUCUUCGCCUCGCCCGACCCCGGCACCAGAGGUCGGAAUUUAGUGGGGCACCGAGGAUAAGGUUUUGCUCGCCCAAGGGUGUGUGCAGACCAACCAGGGAAACACCGGAUCUUGUGGACCCUACAAAACAUGGAUCCAAAUACCUUUCCGAUCGGUAACAAGGAUAAAAUGACGCUGCAGAAAACGGGCUAGUUGCUAGCUAAGAUGUGUGCACCUCCUUAUAAGGAUAUGUGUUGUGUUGCAAAAGUUGCAUCCGUGGAUUUAACACGUGCAUUCCCACAUUUUAUUGGGAAUACUUCUGAGGUUAUGGAGCUAAUGGAAAGGUGAAUCUUGCAGAUGGCGCAUCGCACACGCUCCGGCUUUGUUCCCAGUGGCAGCGAGGUGCCUCCCCCACCUCCGCCUCCGACCACCCUCGAGUCGAUCUUGGCAGCCCAAACCGAGCUGUUGAGGCACAUCGCUCAGGGGCAGCAGCAGCAGCCCCAAGGAGGAAGGGCCCAUCAUCAGCCACACGUUGCUCGUUAUGAGGAUUUUCUGGGGACCCAGCCUCCUCUGUUUCACAAGACGGAGGACCCACUUGACGCCGAUGCCUGGAUUCGCGCUAUCGAGUCCAAGUUCUCCCUUCUCACCGCAGUUCGCCCGGAUGAGAACAAGGUUCGGUUCGCUGCGCAGCAGUUGCGUGGUUCUGCUCUCCUGUGGUGGGAAAACUACCACGCCAUGCAGUCGGCCGACCACGUCGUUGCCUGGGAGGAAUUCAAGACAGCGUUCAGGGGUCAUCACAUCCCUGAGGGUCUUCUAGAGCGCAAGCUCAACGAGUUCCUGGUUCUCACCCAGGGAGGCCGCGAUGUCCUGCACUAUGCGCAGGCUUUCAACGACCUGUGUCGCUAUGCAGGCUAUCAUGCGGACUCCGAUGAAAAGAAGAGGGACCGUUUCCGCAGAGGCUUGAGUUUGGAGCUCAAGGAAAGGCUGAACCCUAUCAAAGUGGGUUCCUACAAUGAACUGGUGAACCUGGUAAUUUCCCAGGAAGAUUGCAUGAAGGCUCUCAAGGCCGACAUGAAGAGAAAGGCCCCAAUGCCGGCACCCAGCCCGCCUGCCCAGAAGUACAGAAUGGUUCCCCCACAAGCGCCUCGCAGGCCUGCACAGCCUGGGAGAUGGGUUGCUCGACCUCCACCGCAGGCAGCACCUCGUUUCCCAGGUUUCCAGCCACAAGGGCCCCGUCCUGCUCUCCCGAUGCCACUACGCCCGGUCCCUGGAAACCGCUGUUUCACUUGCGGGAACUCAGGACACUUCGCCAAGGAAUGCCCCCGCAACCAGAACCCGGUCAAAGCAAUACAUCAGGCAACAAGGGGAAGAAGCCAAAGGUGCAGGUCCGACAAGGCAGGCUGAACUUCACCACCCUUGCUGAACUUCCAGAGGGCGCACCAGUGAUGACAGGUACCUUUUCUAUCUGUGAUCAACCCAUCCUUAUUUUGUUUGAUUCAGGAGCAUCCCAUAGUUUCAUUGGGAUUAGAAUCAGUGCUAAGUGUGGGCUAGAUUUCUGUCACACAAAAGGCACCUACCUAAUCUCUACCCCGGGUGGAAAGGUAGCUUCACACCAAGUGAGCCGCAAAGUACCUAUCCAGUUAGGAAGGACCCUCCUUAAGGAAGACCUGCUUACCCUUGGGAUAGAAGGAAUAGAUGUUAUCUUGGGUAUGGAUUGGAUGACCCGACACCGAGUGACCCUAGAUAUCCCUGCCAGGGCAAUCCACAUAAAUUCACCCAAGUAUGGUAGCUCCACCAUACGCUUACCUCCCCGAGAGUGCCAACCUUCUUGUGCCUAUCCCGUGUCUGAAGCCCGUUUGGAAGAUAUCCCAGUGGUGUGCGAGUACCCGGAUGUGUUUCCAGAUGAUUUGCCGGGCAUGCCGCCUGAGAGAGACAUCGAGUUUGCCAUUGAGUUGCAACCAGGUACCGCCCCAAUCUCAAAGAGACCAUAUCGGAUGCCACCUGCCGAACUGGCAGAAAUGAAAACUCAGUUGCAUGAUUUGUUGGAAAGGGGUUUUAUUCGCUCAAGUACAUCACCUUGGGGUUGCUCUGCCUUGUUUGUGAAAAAGAAGGACGAUAGUCUGCGAAUGUGUGUCGACUACUGACCCCUCAAUGCGGUGACGAUAAAGAACAAGUACCCCCUACCUCGCAUUGAUGUUCUGUUCGACCAAUUAGCUGGAGCUAGAGUGUUUUCCAAAAUUGACCUCCGUUCUGGCUACCAUCAAAUUAGGAUCCACCCGUGUGACGUUCCAAAGACUGACUUCUCUACACGCUAUGGACUCUACGAGUACUUAGUCAUGUCGUUUGGGCUUACUAAUGCACCGGCUUAUUUCAUGUACCUCAUGAAUUCGGUGUUUAUGCCCGAACUCGACAAAUUCAUCGUGGUUUUCAUUGACGACAUCUUGGUGUACUCGAAGAAUGAACAAGAACAUGCAGAGCACCUACAUACUGUACUCCAACGCUUAAGAGACCACCAACUCUAUGCCAAGUUCUCCAAGUGUGAUUUUUGGCUGGACAGUGUUAAAUUCUUGGGGCACACCAUAUCCAGAGACGGUAUAGCAGUAGACCCAAGCAAGGUGCAAGAAGUAAUGGACUGGAAGCCGCCCGCUUCAGUUCAUCAGAUUCGAAGUUUUCUUGGUUUAGCUGGUUACUACCGUUGCUUCCUCCCUGACUUCUCAAAAAUAGCCAAGCCAAUGACGGAACUGCUGAAGAAAGGGAGUAAGUUUGUGUGGAGUGACAAAUGUGAAGAGGCUUUCCACACCUUGAGGCAACUAUUGACUUCGGCGCCAGUUUUAGCUCAGCCUGACACCACUAGGCCAUUUGAUGUGUAUUGCGAUGCCUCUGGCACUGGACUUGGUUGUGUUCUUAUGCAAGACAGCCGAGUCAUCACCUAUGCCUCGCGAGCAUUACAGCCACAUGAGUUGAACUACCCUACUCAUGAUCUUGAGUUAGCGGCAGUCGUUCAUGCUCUGAAAAUGUGGAGACAUUAUCUCAUGGGAACCCGAUGCAACAUCUAUACAGAUCACAAGAGUCUUAAGUAUAUAUUCACUCAAGCAGAUCUCAACAUGCGUCAACAGAGAUGGUUAGAAUUAAUCAAGGAUUAUGACCUAGAAGUGCAUUAUCACCCAGGAAAGGCCAACGUAGUUGCAGAUGCACUCAGCCGCAAGGUCCAUUGUAACUGCUUAUCGGCGGUCAAUUAUGCCGAGACCCUGUGUCACGAAAUGGCUAAACUCAACUUGGAAAUUGUUCCACACGGCACCUUGAGUCAUAUUUCUCUGGAGCCCGCCCUGCUUGACCAAAUAAUUCUAGCACAGCUAGAGGACCAAGAUGUAAACCUUAUCAAAGAGAAACUUGCACAGGAGGACGAAGGAUAUAAACAUUUCCGACGGGAUUGGAAAGGAGUAGUAUUUUAUGAAACUCGACUUGUAAUUCCAAAUGAUCCCGACCUUAAGAAACAAAUUUUGGACGAAGCACACCUGUCCAAGUUCUUGAUUCACCCCGGCAGUACCAAGAUGUAUCACGACCUCCGACAAAAUUUCUGGUGGAGUGGGAUGAAACCCGACAUUGCUCGAUACGUUUCAGAGUGCGAUACCUGUCAGCGAGUUAAGGCAAGCCACUUGAGGGUAGCUGGCCCCUUGCAGCCGCUGCCCAUUCCCUCGUGGAAAUGGGAAGACAUAAGCAUGGACUUUAUAGUCGGAUUACCCAAUACCUCCCGCAAGCAUGACUCCAUAUGGGUUAUAGUAGAGCGACUAACCAAAACCGCACAUUUCCUUCCAGUACACACCACCCACACCAUACAGAGAUAUGCAGAACUGUACCUUGAUCGGAUUGUUUCCUUGCAUGGUGUACCUAAAACGAUCAUCUCUGAUCGAGGUAGUCAGUUUGUAGCACGCUUUUGGGAACAGUUGCAGUUUUCACUUGACACGAAACUGAUCCGCAGUUCCACAUAUCACCCUCAGACCGAUGGGCAAACUGAAAGGGUUAAUCAGAUUUUGGAGGAUAUGUUGCGCGCCUGUGCUAUUCAUUAUGACAAGAACUGGGAUAAGUGUUUGCCAUUAGCGGAAUUCUCCUACAACAACAGUUACCAAGCUAGCCUAAAAAUGGCACCUUUCGAGGCCUUGUAUGGACGUAGAUGCUGAACCCCUCUGAGCUGGUCGCAACCCGGAGAGAGAACGGUGUAUGGACCUGACCUGGUCAUAGAGGCCGAAGAAAAAGUGAGAAUCAGCCGCGAAAAUCUCAAGGCCGCCCAAUCUCGACAGAAGAGCUAUGCCGAUCAGAGAAGGAGACCCAUCCAAUUUAAGGUUGGAGAUUUUGUAUACCUACGGGUUUCACCGACCAAAGGCGUACAACGUUUUGGAGUAAAGGGAAAGUUAGCUCCGCGCUAUAUUGGUCCCUACGAGAUCGUAGAGACGUGUGGACCCGUAGCAUACCGAGUACAGCUUCCAAAAAAGAUUGCAGCGAUACACGAUGUUUUCCAUGUCUCGCAACUCAAGAAGUGCAUCAGAAUUCCAACUGAAAUCAUUACCCCGGAAGAAUUGGAGAUUGAACCCGAUUUAUCAUAUAAGGAGUAUCCAGUUAAGAUCCUCGACCGGAAGGAAAGAUACACUCGUCGGCAAAGGGUCAAGAUGUACAAAAUUUAGUGGAGUCACCAUACGGAAGACGAAGAGACAUGGGAGACGGAAGAAUAUCUCAACGCUAACUUCCGCGGUUUUCUUUUAGAUCAAGGAGGUACGUUGCACCAGCCACACUAGUUCCUUCUGCACUUGAAUCUCGGGGCGAGAUUCCUUUAAGGGGGGUAGGCUGUAACAACUCUACCUAAAUUAAGUGCUUUAAUCCUAAACCAGUGUCAAUUAAACCCCUAAGCUACGAAGUGAAAUGACCUUUUUAAACCUAAGAAGCUCUCUUUUGGAGUUUGUUUUAAAGCUUGAAAUUCUAUAUACAAACUUAAGUUUCUGCCCAAAUAAGAGUUGUAAAACUUUUAAUUUCCCACAACUUUUGUUAAAGGCACCUUGUCUAAGUCGGAGUGGAAAGGAGUCAGAAACAGCAACCCAAGCCGGUUCUCCUGCAGGACCCUGAAAAUCUCUUAAGUCCUGGAAUUUGAGUUUUCCUCCAUCUUUGCAAGCUUUCAUCUCCUGUUUUCCUAUCUAAACUCGAGUCAGAGCCUUAAUAGAAGUUGUAGUACCUCAAGAGUGUUCCAGCUUUGUUACACUGACCCAGAUCCAAAUCGGGCCCGAACUUGUUCAAAAUCCCGGUCAAAGUGAGGUAAACCAGUCAACUCACCCCGGAUGCUUAAAAAUCCUAAGUCUGGAAUCCCAGAUUUUUGGCUAAUUUUGGACGGAAAUAUCUUUGAAUCCUUUCACAAUCUAAACCGACACCUUAAACAAAGUUUGAAGGAUUACCAGAGUCGAACAAGUUUGUUUAAGGGAGUUUCGGGUGUUGUGUUGAAAGAUUCGGAGAAGGAUCGCUCCAAAGCUGGUCUGGCUUGCAGCCCGAAGGGAGCCUCGAUGCCCGCGCGCCCGAGCAUGUUCGCUCGCGCGCCGCGUGGCCGCCGGCCACCAGCAGCUCGCCGGCGCCCUAUACCCAGCGCGACAGCGACCGGACGAGAGCCACGGUGCCCAACCCGCACCCGCGACAGGACGGAGCAAGCGCAGGGCUAGCCAAUCGCCGGCUGAGCGCAAGUCGCCUUCCGUCUGCCACGGCUCUGCUCCACCAAUCCUGUUCCGCCCGUUCGCCGAGGAAGCUGAGAUGCCCCCGACGUCCCGCGUCUCCGCCCGCUCGCCCAACCCCCGCGGUAGCCUUUCCGCCUCGCCCGCCCGACAGACCGGAAGCACCAGACGCUCGCCGCCCAAGGCCAAUCGCCACCGAAGACCACCCGGAGCUCCGCCUCCUCUGCCCAAUAGCGUCGUCGGCCAAUGGCCGCCUCGCUCGAGCACUCGCCGCUCCCGGCCUUAUCCUUUCCCCACCGGAGCCCCGCCUCGACCCUCCGCGCCACCCCGGGCCUAUAAAAGGGGACCCCCUCACCGGCAAUGCCACCCCUUGCCACCGCCCGCACCUGCGCCGCCGCUUUCUCCUCUGCGCCCUGCCUUCUCCUCUGAGCCACCGCUUUCUUUCCGCGCCGCGCUGAGCUUCUGUGGAGCUCACCCCCUUGCGCCACCACCACACUCCGGUGACUUCGCCGCCACCCCAAGCCGCUUCAUCCGACACACCCGCCGCUGCUCCUCCGCGCGGUACUAGAGCUUGCUUGUGUCCACCAGAAGCACACCGCCGCCGGACCACCGUCGAAGUCUCGCCACCGCCCAAGCCUUCGUGCGUACAACCUUCCCGCCCCAGCCUGCUCCUGUUCGGCCCCAAGGCAUCACCGGUAGACAUGGAGGUAAGCUACUUAACCUCCCUGUCUUUCCGUCCCGCCCGACCCCUAUCCUUGUUCGGUUCGUCCGACCCCUUUGUUUCGGUUCGUCCGAACCCUUUGUUUCGGUUCGCCCGACCCCUUUUCUUUUCGUCUCGCCCGACCCUGCCAAGUUUCGCCGACCCUCUCUCCGCCUCGCCCGAGGGCUCGGUUGUAAUUCUUUUUCUUUGACCCGAGGGUAUCGGUGAAAUGUUUUCGGGGAUUCCUCUGUGUUGAGUCUGAGGACCUCGGUACGGUUUUCCUUAAACCUGAGGGUCAGACCCUAAGUUUUCCCCAAUCCAACCCUUCCAUCCUACUCUCCACAUGCAGAAGUUGAACUCCCCCACCUUUCCUGUAGCUUUGCUACAAGUGUCCGUGUUAAAGCAUGGGAAUGUUGAAAUAACCAUCUAAAAUGUUUAACCCCUGCAUUGCAUUUCCGUGUAGAGUUGAAUCUCGCCGACGGGACGUACGAGCUUCAUCCAGCCCCGGAAGAAGACCCCGUCGAGGAACAACUGCACCCCUUCGAAGGACAGCCCGAGCCAGCGCAAGACCCCGAGGACCCCCAAGCUUUUUCUGAAGGCAAGCCCCGGUGCAUGAACUCCCUGUUUUGCUUUCAUGCCACUGAUUGAUUACUUGAUUGCGCAUUUACAUUUUGAGGACUUGUAAUGGAACCUUAGAUGCAUAACUUAGUACCUUGUUUUGAAUACUAGUCUCUAAGGCCGAGUAGUUGCAUUGCUUAAUAGGUCUCGGUAAAAGUCGAGUGAUCUCCUGUCACUCGCGAGUUAUAGGAGUUGAAUGUUUCAGUUUUGUCGCAACUAUAAGGACGACGGACGGGGUCAGGCUUGUGUUCGAUGCUUGGUGGAUUGCCCCGUCUGUCUAAAUGAAAACGAACUAAGGUCAAAACAUGUCGGCGUUCGUGAUCAAGUGAUUGAAAGUACUAAUCUCAUACCUAGCAUGAGAUGGGGAAGCCUAGUACCUGAUUGAAUUGGGGCGUGGCAUACCUUCCAGCUGUCCUUGGAACGUCGUUCCCAUGGUGCAUCAUGUGGGUGCAAGUGCGGUCACAGUGCAGCACUAGGCCGGGACUGUGGAGCAUUGCAUGCCAAAGGAAGUUGGCCCUGACACGUGCCUAAGAGAUCGAUGGGGACGGCUGACAAAUGAAGCGACCCUUCGUGGUGCGCGGAUGUCGUGAGAUUAGGUUUGCCAUGCAUGGUUAAUAAAUUCGAAUCGAUUCGUCUGCCUCUCACAGAUUGGGACUACUUGAUCGCUAUGCUGCACUGAGUAAGGAUGGAACAUGAUGAGGUUUUAAAUCUUGAUGUUUGAUAAGUAAUUGUCUGGAAACCAUGUUUGUUUAGUAUAAGUUGCUAAUUUAGAAUGGAUAAAGAACAUAGAACAUGAGCUAAAAGGUUGAAAGUAAGGACUAACUUUAGACGCUUUUGGCAAGAAAAACCCCAGAGCCAGAAAGCAUUGCAUGUUUAGGUCUCGGUCGUGUCCUUCCGACGGGUCAGUCUUGCUGAGUACUAGUUGCUCAGCCUUGUUGUGGCUAAUCUUUUUCAGUUAAUGUCAGUAGCUUUGGUGUUGGUACCACUUGGCCGACCCAGCUUCCUCCAGGCUGGACCGUCGAGUGGGAUCCUUCCUCGGACGGCGAAGGGAGGAAUUUUUGAUGUCAUGAUCGGAUCCGUCAUGAUGUCUUGUAUCAACGUUUAGCUUCCGCUAGUUUUAAUUUGACCUCGAACCAUGCAAAAUUUCGGUUGAAGUUCCAAAACUCUGAUGUAAUAAAUUGUUGAACUAUGUUGUCAUGAUGGGAUGUUGUAAUCUCUGUGCUACUCACCUUCGCGUGAGCGAUGCUUCUCGAUCCUGUUUACGUGGUUUAUCGGAGGAAAUCCGACGGUCGACCAAGUUGACUUGCUUAAAGUGCAUAAUCGCAUGUCAGGCGACUUCAAUGCAUUUUAGUCAGGUUAAUUUGGGCGGUUCCGCCACACUGAGACUACUCCAAAUUGACAAAGCCCGCUACACGCUCAGCGACCGGCUCCAGAUCCUCCAAAUACUGCGUGAACGCUUCAUCGCUACAAUCUCCGGUGAUACCGUAUGUGACCAACGUCAAGUUAGCGAUAGAAUACAGAAUUAUGAUCAACAAGAUACGAGUACAAGUACUCACCCUCCAAUUUUUGCUACAAGGACUUGUUGGGCGCCACCAUACGACUCCUCUCCACUUCAAAAUCAUGCCUUUUAAUUCGAAAGGACUCAAUGACAUUUUCAUACUUCUUCAGGAAGUCAGCAGUGCAGCGGUGCUCCUCAGUAAUGUCCUUCUCCAACUGCGCCACAGGGCGCGCAGCCUCACCCUGCUCUUGGACAACUUGGAUAUUCUUGAGAGAUUUUUCAUACAAAUCCUCCACAAUCAAACAAUUAGUACUCUUCACGAGUACAUAUGGUGCCAGGCUACAAAAUUAAGCACUCAAAUGCAGUACUAAGAACUCACCUGAGUAUAAGCCAUCAACUGUUGAUGCAAGUUCACAAAGUCAGAUAUCGGUGGCAGCUCAUCUAGGGGACUCUCAAAAAUUUCAACUUUCUGCGACAAUCCUGGAGCAUCGGCCACCACACUAGCCCUCACACUCGACGUUAGGAUUAGCUUCUGAGAAAAAGAAGCUCCAACCUCUGAAACAUUCUUUUCCGCUGCUUGCUCAAGCACAGAAGUUGUCACUACAAUCUCGGUUGCAGGGGGAGGAUUGUCAUUAACAACCUCGGAGGCUGGCAGCGCCAGACCCUCAAGUGAAUAGAUUACAUCUCGCAAUAUGGCGGCUGCAAGAGUCACUGCACCUGUGUCACCAGUAUGCGCUGGGUCUUCACUUAUCAAAUCGACAACAGGUGCCGCAGCAGAAUCCGCGCCCGAUGGAUUUUCAACCUGUUCUGCGCUCACUUCUUCGAGAACAAUAUCCUCGGAAGUUCUAAUAUCAAACACGAUUCAAGAUUAAAAAAGAGACUACUGAUCGUGAAGUCGGUAAUCAAACCAUUACAAUAGAGUACUUACUUGGCCGACCGGGGAGGAACUCGACGAUGUUUCUUCGCCACGGGGACUGGAUGUACACUCGGAGCUGGCUCACUAGCCGGUACGGGUGGCAACUCCUCGGUGUUUUUGCCAAGAUCUGAAAGAACCAACUCAGAGACAACGUACGCACGACUACUACCAGUACUCGCGUACUCACCGCUAGCUGGGACUUCAGGCAAAGUGGUGUCAGAAACUGCUUCGGGCAUUUUCACAAUUCCACUUAUGGUAGUCUCUAACGAGUCGCCCGCUUCACCACUCGCAACUUCAAGAACAACGGCUACUUGAGUGGUAGCCAUCUCGGGCAUCAUGGCUGCAUCUUCAGCGGAUGUCUCCAAAGAAAUCACACUACCAGCCGCAUCCUUAGCUAUCGCGACUACAUCAUCAGAAGUAGUCUCGCCAGCUCUGUACGCUGCAUUCGCGGCUUCCUCAAUGUCUUCAUCCAUAUCAUCAACAACCUGCAAACACAAACGUCAAAACAAGUCAAUUCGACUAGUCAAGGUAAUUACCGGCGGUGGAGCCUUGAACGUCUCCAAGUGCUUGCUGACAGAUCGCUUAUGCAAUACGGUCCGUCUCUUCUUUGGCAUUGGAGCCUGGACCUCUCCAUCACCAACAUCUCCCGCUGGAUGCUUCAAGGUAUCGGUUCUAAAUUUAUAUCCUUUGAGAACUCGAGACUGCAUAGGGAAACAUGAUCAGACAACUCGGACUCAGACGAUGCAAAAUCUGAACCGCCAAGCAUCUCAGAGUCCCCAUCCUCCUCCUCCUCCUCUGAGGGAUCAUCAGGCAAGCGCACGUAGUACACAGAUUUCACGUUCUUUGCACCAUCAGCAUCAGGGUGAGGAGGAGGAGAAAAGUAUAAAAGGACAUCCUCCUGCGUAAGGAAUUACUGGUUGGCAAACAUAACGACUAUUAAUUAUGGGUACUCAAAAGGAAAGCAAGUUACCUCUCUGGGUUGAUACCAUUUGUCAAACUCCUGAAUGGACUCAUCAACUUCGGGCACUCCUUGAAAAUUCUUCAAAAAUUUGCUCAACAAGUCUUCAACCGCUUCAUUAGAUAUAUCUUCAAUAGACAUCCAAGAUGGAUCAUCAAAGCCUGAGGACUCGUAGCCCCAAGUCUAGCGCAACUGCAAUGGUUGUUCUCUUCUCUUCAAGAAGCUGGCUGCUACAUUUAUCCCUGUCAGCCCUGCUUUCUUCAAUGUUGCUAUCAUCUGCAACAACUCAGCCACUUGAUGAUUGUCCUCAAUGCUAGGCUCUUCAAGCCACUUGCUCGAGUACUUCGGGCGGUACCCGGUAAUCACUGGCAUUGGAGGCUCAUGGUUCUCAAUAUAAAACCAGUUCUAUUUCUAGACACCAUGGGACGGCAGAGUCUCAUAUUCCAGAUACACUUCGGAGUCCCUUAGCUGAAACCCUGCGCCUCUGAGUACUGCCAUUCUAUCUUGACUAGGCUGGGGCUUGCAGCAGAAAAGCUUACAAAAUAAUUGAAAAUGGGGUUGUAUUCCCAAAUAUGCCUCACAAAGAUACACAAAGAUUGCAAUGUGCAGUAUCCCAUUGGGAUUCAGAUGAACAAGCUGAAUGUCGUAAAAGUUGAGGAUACCUCUGAAGAAAUCCGAUGUUGGAAUAGCAGGUCCUCUCUCAACAAAAUGAGCCCAAAUCACUGUCUCUUUUGGAUGGACCUCAAGGUUCUAGGCAUUGGCAUAGGCGCACCUCCAAUUCACGACAACCUCCUCCUGUAGCAAUUUUACAUCCACCAACUCUUGGAUUGCUUCCUUCUUCAUGGUGGACAUCUUCCAAGUGGAUGCUUGAUUUGGCAAAGCAGUCUGAUCGGUAGGCCCACAUUUGGGUGGAGGAAGCUGCGGCUGCUUCCCCUUCCUGGAAUCUUUCAUCGAUUCUUUUAUAGCUUUUCCCUUGGACUUGUCAGUCUUCUUCCCCAUCUUCACAUGCAUCACCAUGGGGCGUGUAAGAGGAGGAGGAGAAAACUACUAUAACACUUAAAGUUGCUUACUUCAGAUGAUGGUGGCGGCGGCGACGACGCAAGUGGCGGCGUUAGGGUUUUGUCAAGAUGGAGAAUGACAUAUGCGAAUGGCUGGAAGCAUAAACAAUGGAGGCUACCGGCCUUAUCUUUUAUAACAGCGCAACGGAUCUAAAACAGCUCCACGAUUCUAGGAACACAGCCGGUAAUCUCGCAACGGUCUGAUACUCUCAAGAUUUAUCUUGAUAUUGAAGUCCAACGGUCACGUUGAUCAUGAUUGACCCCUUCAUCACCUGGAAGUAAUCGAUCAAGUGCUCGAGGGCUGCAUACACCUCGCCUGUUGGAUAAAAAUUUCUUUUUCUUCAGGGAUUAAGGAAAGACGAAGCAAAUUCAGUUUGACCCUCAGCCUGAUUCUUCGAUUCAACCUAAGGCUCGGGGGCUACUCCAUAUGAAGUGCGAUUUUCGUCGCACUUCCAUAUUAAGGCUUGAAGACAAACUACUCAAAACCAAUGUCAGAAUGGGGCAGGAGUACCUUCCAGCCGCAUGAUAGCAUUCGAGUACUCGAAGACUAGCCACGACAGAAGUACUCAACGAGCACCAAAGACUAGUCGAGCAACGUCUGCUGAGUACUCGGAACUGUUUCAUUUGACUACAAAGUACUCGUGGUCUUGGCGACCAUACAUCCCCGAGCCCACCAGAAGAUCUGUACGGACCCACUCAAGGGGAUGUACUCGAGACGUAUCAGAACAUGAGGACUACGCUACAGGGCAAUGUAGACUACAUGGAACUUCUGAAGGACUAGUCGGAAUACAAGGAAACUACUCUGCCAAGUUAGAGUAGGACUCUGUAAUCUUGUCCGACUAGUACUCUUGUACCAAAGACUACCAUAUAACCCUGCUCCCCCGAUAUAUAAGGGCGGGCAGGGACCCCCUCAAAACAAGUUCAAUCGAAUACAAGCAUACAACACACAGGAUGUAGGGUAUUAUGCGAUCUAGCGGCCCGAACCUAUCUAAAUCGUGUCCCUGCGUCACCAUCGACUACUUCAUUUCAGCGACACCCACCAACCAAAACACUAUCUCGGGUACUCCCUUGAUAGGUUGCUGGGUUAAAACACCGAUAAAUACCUACCAACUCCAUGAGGAGGUCAGAAAAGGGGGUUUUUGGAGCACCUCUUGAGGUAUUCCAAAAAAACGUGGAUCUACCCCCUGCUCCACCUUUUUCCUGGAGCCGCAGUUGCUGGAGCUAGACGCGUUUGGCUGCGAAAUUUUUAGAGUUGGUGAAGUAAAGCAAUUUUUUCUGAAGUAAAGUGUUGUCAAACAGUAAGACCUACUGUACAUCGAUGCAAAAUUUACCCGAUCGCUUAUAACUUUCUAUCCCGCCAUUGCUGUUAUUAGUAGUAGUUUUUAACUAAUACUAGUAUGCCACAGUUACGUACGGCGUCAAAACGGACGGCAACAUCUCUCGGUGAUCCCAUCAACCCGCCCACGCCGCCACAGGGCCGCGCCCCGCACCGCAAGCUCGCGGGAUUCGGGCGCCGCGCGCCGUCCGUGCCCACGCAUGGGGAGCUCAGCAAGUUCUCCUACUCUGCCUGUCUGCCUGCUCUCCCGCCCGUUCGACGACAACGCCCCCGUGAACGGCUCGCUGGUUCUCGGCGACGGUGGCGGUGGCAAAAGCCGUCGGGAUGCAGUACGUCCCGGCCCUUUGGUCAAGAGCGCGGCCGGCGACAUGGCCCUGACCGGCGUGGUAGUGCAGGAAGGCCGUGCGGCUGCCGGAGCGGGCGUUCUCCGCCAAAUGCCUGCGGAGCGCGGGGGGCGCCAUCGUGGACUCCGGCACGACAUUCGCGUACCUGGACCCGAAGGUGUUCCAGGCGGAACUGCUCCUGCCUCCGCGCCCGUGCGCCCGACGUCAGACGCAGCGGCCUCCACGGGCACCGCGCCCUGGCGAGCGCCCCGAGCCACCUCCGGAGCAGGGGAGACCCCAGACACGGAACCUGCGCGACAAGCCGGCGUACCAGGUUCGGGUCGGCCGGCUGCUUGGCCGCUUAGGCUUGGGUUGGGUAUGCGCUCGACAUCGACGGUUUCAAUUUUCAAUGGUAUACAGAAAAUCUUCUCAUCGAUUAAGCAGUCUACAAGAAAUCACAAAACAAAGCAAUCGCUAGGCAGCAUAGCAUCAGGCAUCGUUAGCAACGUAAACAGCUCGUCCUCCGGCUGCUGUCCUGAGAAACAGGCAGCCAGAGAGACACGUCCACACAUCACUCGCGUCUCGUUCUUCAGAGGAACCUGUCGAGGUACUCGUCGACGGUGGUGUACUUGACGUCCGGGUACAGCUCGCUCGCGUCCACCCCCUUCGCCGGGUCGAUCUCGAAGCCGGCCUGCUCCCCCAUCACGUACGACGCGUGCCCGAUCGCCAGGAUGAUGUUCAGCGGCAUCGCCGACUCUGCACAUCCACGCAAUUAUUUGCCAUGUCAAUUAGCCAAACACACACGUUCCAAACGCUCCCACAGCUCCUCUCCCCGGCGGAGCCAAACGCACUGGCUGACCUUGGAUCUGCUUGAGCACGGCUUCCUCGGGGAUGUACACCCGCUCGAACGCCUUGCCGGUCUUCUUCUCCCACAGCGACAGGAGCUCGUUGUGCGACAGCGUGUUGGCCGGCGGCCUGACGUACAGCGUCCGGUUCUCGGCGCGCGGGUCGCCGGCGGCCAGCACCGUGUACGUCCCGAUGUCGCCUUCCUCCACGAACACGGCCUUGGCGUUGCCGUCGCCGAGGACGAUCGCCUUGUCCGUAGGCGCCGCCGGGGAGAGGAGCUGCCCGAUGGUCGGGAGCGCGUACCCCGCGAAGUACCCGGCCACGGCGUAGGUGUAGGGGAUCCCCGCGGCCUCGGUGGCGCGGCGGAUCGCCGCCUUGCCGGACAGGAUGGUCUUGGCCGGUUCCACGACGCCCGUCCGGUCCACGUCCAGGCCGAACUCCGAUGGGAAGAACCUCUGCACACACAACGACCAUCUAGCUAGUGAGAAUGCGUGUCCAGGGAUUGACAAAUGGAUGGACGGUGAGAACGAGAGCGAGGAGCCGAGGACCUUGACGUUGCCGGCCUCCUUGAUGGCGUCGAUGAGCCUGGUCUGGUCGGCGAUCUGCUGCGACCCGACGGUGGAGAUGACCACGUCGGCGGACUUGACGGCGCUCACCAGGCUGGCGUGGUCGUAGAGGUCGCCCUUGAGGAGCGUCACGCCGGCGUCCUGGAAGCUCUUGAGCAGCGCCGCCUUGGCCGGAUUGGACGGCGCCGUGUCCCUGACGAGCGCGAAGGUCGGGUGGCCCAGCCGCGCGCUCGCCGCCACGACGUGCCUGCCCAGGUACCCGGUGGCGCCGACCACCAGGAUCUUGCUCUUCUCCGACGCCAUCCUGUGUCACUACCCGACAGAACCUCAGAAACUCGCUUGGCGUCUGAUUGGCAUCCAGCGCCACUGUAUAUAAUGGUCUGAUCGAGUAUCACAUUCACAGCUGGUUCCAUCGAUAUUUUGUUUCGUCGACUGAUGGUUGUGGUGAAGCGUGAACCUGGUUGUGUUUCCGGACUUGGACAUUAUGGGCCGAAACCUUGGUGUCGUCAUUGUUCAAGGAUGACGACAUUUGUGUUUGGCCUACUUUUUCGGAAUUGCUAUAUUGUGCCCGAGUAUCUUGCUCUCUUCCACCCACUUCAAAACUUUUCUCUUCGCCCUAUCACCAAUUCUAGCGAGAUUUUCUGUCUCCUCCGCCUCCGUUGUGUUAGCGAUAUCGGGAUAUUUUUACAACACGGUUGGAAAUCUGGGGAUGAACAAAAAUUUAUGUAAGAAGAAAUAAAAAAGAGAAAUCGGUGCAUGAAGAGAAAUUUUAAAUUACCAUUGUGGGCUUGUGGACACGGACGGGGAGUGGAUGCUCUUUUUAAACUUGGAUGUGGUUAGAGUUGGACCAAUUUUAUGCCUAAAGCAGUGGUCAUUUUUUUCAUUUCUUUCUCUCCUCUGCACUGGGAAAUUAUUCCACUAACAAAGACAACAUUGAGUAGAGUUCAUCAACAAAAAUGGCAAAAUUUGAUAAUGUUUAGUAGUCAGGCGUCUUCAACUAAGGUAACUUCCCGUCAACUGUGGCCGAGUCCAUGGUCGGCAAAAGCAAAAUUUGGCCAGAUCCGCUCAGCCUAAUUUGGAAUUCUGGAUAGAGCUUGGGGGCUAAUGAUGAGUGAUGAUAAUGAAAUAAGCGUCAAAGAAAGGUUUUAGAUUGCUCAAUUCAAGAUCAAGUUCGUACUGUCGAGUCUUAUUAGCAUACACAUCAUCCCGACGAAUUGAUCUACUUGUAUACGAGUAGGAGUUCAUAACCGACUACGACAACAAAAGUGGUUCUCGAUCGGUAUAUGUACGCAUCAUGGGGCGAUGUACGAGACACAUAAGCUUUUGGGCUUUUGGGUUGCAUCUUGACCUAAAUACCAAAUUGUUUGUGCUCACGGUAAUAGAAAAAACUCUUAUACUCAAAUCAUGAGGCCUGAACCUGUAUAAAUCGCCCGCGUGCUAUUCCGGUUCUUGACGCAUCUUAAUAUUGAUCGUGAUCUUAUAUUGACACAUCAUUCCUUGUCGACUUAGAUCACCAAUCCUUGACAAUUUAAAUUACCAAAAAUGAUGAAAAUUACAAGGUGCAUAUUGUUCUCGUCUCGUCCUUCAGAGGAACCUGUUGAGGUACUCGUCGACGGUGGUGUACUUAACGUCCGGGUACAGCUCGCUUGCGUCCACCCCCUUGGCCGGGUCGAUCUCGAAGCCGGCCUCCUCCUCCCCCUUCACGUACGCCGCGUGCCCGAUCGCCAAGAUCAUGUUCAGCGGCAUCGCCGCCUCUUCAGCUGAAUGAAAUGAAUUGCAUAUUUUAAUUAACCACGCAUCCACAGUGAUAUAGAUUCAGAUGUUAUCCCCCGACAGUCCGACACCAUGAUCGAUCGAGCCAACAAGGCACUGACCUUCUUGGGUCUGCUUGAGCACGGCGUCCACGGGGAUGUACUCCCGCUGCAACGCCUUGCCGGUCUUCUUCUCCCACAGCGACAGAAGCUCGUCGCGCGACAGCGUGUUGGCCGGCGGCCUGAUGUGCAGCGUCUUGUUCUCGGCGCGCGGGUUGCCGGCGGCCAGCACCGUGUUCGUCGCGAUGUCCCCCUCGUCCACGAACGGCACUCUGGUGUCGCCGUCGCCGAGGAUGACGGCCUUGUCCUCUCCCUGCCCGAUCCCGAUGGAGGGGAGCGCGAGGGCUGCCAAGUACCCGGCGACGGCGUAGGUGUAGGGGAUGCCCACGGCCUCGGUGGCGCGGCGGACGGCGGCCUUGCCGGACAAGAGGGACUUGUGCGGCUCCACGUCCACGACGCCCGUCCGCGCCACGUCCAGGCCGAACUCCGCCGGGUCCUCAGGGGUGUUUGGAUACACCACCUAAAGUUUAGCAUGUGUCACAUCGGAUCUUUGGAUAGUAAUUAUGAGUAUUAAACAUAGUUUAAUUAUAAAACUAAUUGCACAGAUGGAGUCUAAUUCGCGAUAUGAAUCUAUUAAGGGCCUGUUUGGACGCGAGGUCAUAAAGUUUAUGACAUGUCACAUCGGAUGUUUAGAUACUGAUUAGAAGUAUUAAAUAUAAUCUAAUUACAAAACUAAUUACACAUAUGGAGUCUAAUUUGCGAGACGAAUCUAUUAAGCCUAAUUAGUCCAUGAUUUGACAAUGUGGUGCUACAGUAACCAUUUGCUAAUGAUGGAUUAAUUAGGCUUAAUAGAUUCGUCUCGCGAAUUAGUUUUAUAAUUAGCUCAUGUUUAGUCCUCCUAAUUAGCGUCCGAACAUCCGAUGUGACCCCUCCUAAAGUUUAGUACCUUGUAUCCAAACACCCCCUAAGCCUAAUUGGUCCAUGAUUUGACAAUAUGGUGCUAUAAUAACCAUUUGCUAAUGAUGGAUUAAUUAGGCUUAAUAGAUUCGUCUCACGAAUUAGCUCAGUAGUUCUGCAAUUAGUUUUAUAAUUAGCUCACAUUUAGUCCUCCUAAUUAGCAUCCGAACAUCCUAUGUGCUAAAGUUUAGCACCUAGUAUCUAAAUAUCACUCUUAGAGAUAAGUAUCCUAGGUUGUUUACGAACAGAAGUUAAGUAAGAAUGGAUUCUAUCCAUAAGGAUCCAAUCCGAGUUGUCUUAGUCAUGAAGUCAAAGAUUCCCGAUAUAAUUGAGGGAUAUGGACUCAUUGAAAAUAAAAAAGAAAGCAAUUAUAUUUCCCUCGAUCACUCUCCCUUUGUUCAAGCGCUGCAACCCCCCCCCCCCCCCCCCCCCCCCAACACACACACACACACCCACACACCACAAACUAGGACUGUAACAUGGUGGAGGAGCGAGCGUCGAUAAGUGGCGCGAGCAAGAGAUGGUGGCAGGCGGUGAUAGGGUUCACAGAGGAGGAAAAAGGCUGCACGCAAGAUCAGACGGCUAAUCUCAAAUAUCGGAAGUCUCUCUUCUUCUGGAAGAUCAUAGGAUCCGGAAGCCGACCGAUCAACCAGGAGAUUACUUAACAAAUGGACCGUCCAUUACAAAAGUCGUGGUACAUACCAAUGCAACAAACUGGAUCACGAAAGGGAUCGGAUCUUAUUGGCGUGGAAUUGACGGGACCUGGCCAGUGCAGGUACCCUCGAUCGAUCAGAGACACAUGGUACUAUCGCGCAUGCUGUGCUUCAGCAGUACAGGUGACAGUAGGCAAAGCACCAACAACCAACCACACGUCACGCGCGCCGUCUUCUUCAAAGGAACCUGUUGAGGUACUCAUCGACGGUGGUGUACUUGACGUCGGGGUACAGCUCGCUUGCGUCCACCCCCUUCGCCGGAUCGAUCUCGAAGCCUGCCUGCUCCCCCCUCACGUACGCCGCGUGCCCGAUCGCCAGGAUGAUGUUCAGCGGCAUCGGCGACUCUGCACCAGAAAGAAACAAUUGUUAACCACGCCAUCGAUUCCACGAUGAUCGAUCGAGGCAGCAAGGCACGUUCUGACCUUGGAUCUGCUUGAGCACGGCUUCCUCGGGGAUGUACACGCGCUCGAACGUCUUGCCGGUCUUCUUCUCCCACAGGUCCACGAGCUCGUUGUGCGACAGCGUGUUGGCCGGCGGCUUGAUGUACAGCGUCUUGUUCUCGGCGCGGGGGUCGUCGGCGGCGAGCACCGUGUACGUCCCGAUGUCGCCUUCCUCCACGAACACGGCCUUGGCGUUGCCGUCGCCGAGGAUGAGCACCUUGUCGGCGGGGGGUCCCUGGGCGAGCAGCUGCCCGACGCUGGGCAGCGCGUAUCCCGCGAAGUACCCGGCCACGGCGAAGGUGUAGGGGAUGCCGGACGCCUCGGUGGCGCGCCGGAUCGCCACCUUGCCGGACAGGAUGGUCUUGCCCGGCUCCACGAUGCCCGUUCUGUCCACGUCCAGCCCGAACUCCGACGGGAAGAACCUCUGCAUAUCCAUCUCAUUUAGCUUUUUAUCUAGUGACAACGAGCAUGCCGGAAGAAAGACAUUGAUGGCGGCAUUCAUGAGAAGGCGCUCAAGCAAGAACAAAUUAAAGAAAAAGGAAGGACCUUGACAUUGCCGGCCUCCUUGAUGGCGUCGAUGAGCCUGGUCUGGUCGGCGAUCUGCAUCGACCCCAGCGUGGAGAUGACCACGUCGGCGGCCUUGACGGCGCUCACCAGGCUGGCCUGGUCGUAGAGGUCGCCCUUGAGGAGCGUCACGCCGGCGUCCUGGAAGCUCUUGAUCAGCGCCGCCUUGGCCGGGUCGGACGGCGCCGUGUCCCUGACGAGCGCGAGGGUCGGGUGGCCCAGCCGCGCGCUCGCCGCGACGACGUGCCGGCCCAGGUACCCGGUGGCGCCGACCACCAGGAUCUUGCUCUUCUCCGACGCCAUCCUGAUUGCUACUUACUGACGAGUGAGCUUGCUAUCAACGAGCUGAUCGGCCUGCCAAGUACUCGCUCAGUCUGCGCUGCAAAUCUCGUCUGCCGUUGGAUUGCCAUCAGACUCCACGAUAUAUAGUGGGGGAGUAGCAACGGGUUCCAUAUACUCGCAUAGUCGCAUCGGUGGUUGCGGCCCAUAGCGAUUAGGUUGGCUUUCUUUUCUGAUUGAUUAGGACACGACGCCUAAAAAAGUCAUGCUACCUCCAUAUAAUCAUGGACGAUUAUUGAUGCAGGCAACACUAGCUAGUGUUUGCCCUGUCAUGCACUCCCUUUCGAUUUUCAGGUUAGGCAAAUGGGGAAUAGGCCACCGUAUGUUAGGCAAGAGCAGUCCCAACCCUCCUCCGAUUAGGAUGGUUUCUAUAGUAUUAAUUGUGCAGCUACAUAGAAUCUUUUGCUUAUGUGAUUAUAUAUUAAAUAAGAGAGAAUUGGAAGAACAAGAAACUGGGUCUCAUGCAAGACUCAGUAUCAGCACGAGAACCUAAAUCCUAGACAGUGUUAAAUUUGCAUUGGAAGAAGAUGGUGUCUUCAUAAUUGAUGAGGAAUUGAGAGGAGAGAUGAUGAAUUAAUUAAGGAUCCACACUAAGAAAUCAUAGGUUGUAGAAUGUAAUUUCUAAAGUGAUGUCUUACUUAUGUGGCAGUAUAGACACACAGAUAUCAUGGGUUGGGACUACCCUAAGCAUAACCUGUCUCCAACUUCUAAUUGAGAGCAUAUCGACAUGCACCAGCACCAAUAUAUUUCUAGUUAUACAUUUUAUGCUCACAUUCAUUGUAUAUACAGUCCUUUUAAUUACUCCCUUGCUGUGUAAUGAAACUGAGAAAGAGAUAAGAUAAAUAAUAGCCUGAUUUGUUGGUGUCCAAAAUUUACCAUACUAAAAUUUGAGUAGACCAAAAUAUAGGGCAUGUUAUAUCAAAACCUAGGCAAGAAUUUUAGAAUAGGACUUAAUUGAUUGCCAACCAAGCGAAUGCCAAAAUUUAUGGACUCGCUCUAGUUUGGCAGGGCAGAUUUUGGGAGCCAACCAAUCGGUCGUCAAUGUUGGUACCGUGUUCUACUCAUCAUAAAGAAAAAUGAGCUUUACCGGUGGUAAAUGCUUCAUUUCGGGAACUUUCUAGCGGUAAUACCCGGACUAGCUUCUAGAAGGCACGCAUGCUAACGUGUCGUGACAAAAGCCGGGGAGCUAAUAAAAUAUCGAGGCCAAUCCCUUUCAAAUCAGACAUUUUAUAGUCAGUUUGUUGGUAGCACCAUCAUCAGGCAUCAGCUCGCACUGCCGGGUGCCUGAUUGCUUGGCCCACCCCCACUACUGGCUGUGUGUGAUGAUUGGUGGAUACGUUGUUCUCUGGCGUUGCCAGUGAACCCACCACUCGAGAGGGUACAGGCAAACCUUAUUCACAUCUAAAUUUAAAUAAUUAAUAUUCAUUUUUUACUCUCUCCGAGGUGGAUAAUUAACUUUGUUAUAUAUAUAUAUAUAUAUAUAUAUAUAUAUAUAUAUAUAUAUAUAUAUCCAAUUGAUUAAUUGUACCUUAUUCUAUUCAUUUCUAAUGAGUAUAUAAUUUUCUACCCACACCCUCCUCAUUUGAAGUAGGUGUGGAUUUGGGGAGAGGGAAGCGGCACGUCUAGCUGCUAGUGCACCCGGAUAGUGACGUGAAUUGUUUUUUUUCCGAUCUUUUUUAAUUUUGGUCUUAAGAAAGAUUUUUAAUUUUAAUUACCAGUUCAAGUACACUUUCACACCCCGCACCCGGACGUGGUUGAUUUCUCGUCCUGGCGUCCCCGAUGAACCUGGCCAAGUUCCCGGCCAAGUGGUUCAGUCGACAUGUUCGUUGAACCAAAGACUGGCCGUCCUGGAACUUGCGAUUGAGAUCGAGUACAAAGGUCCAUCGCAAGCCUGCAGAUCGGUCGGAUCGUGGGUCAUUUUCGGCUUAGGAUCGGAAUCGACCGAUCAUCACUCGGUAACUAGCUAGAGUCACGAUCUCGCGCCAAUAAGCAUCUGUGCGUAGAUUCUUUGGCCAUUGGUGUCUCACCUAACGCCGUCGACAGUGUGACGACGGUGGAGGUUCGUAGAUUCUUUUUCACACCUGAUUCUUUUCUUUUUCAGUAGUAAUUUGCGCGCGCUUGGGCGCGCGUAGAGCUUACGACUUCUAUUGAUAAGCAUAAACUAUUAUUGGAAUAUAAAAAAAUAUUUAAAAUAAAAAAGACACAUUUGGUUAAGCUACAUCUUAAGUGUAUCGUUCAUUUAUCACGCGGAAAUUGGAAACUUCAGAAAUCAAAAUCCACAAGAGUCGUUGGUUUUAGUUUUUUUUUACUAAACACAUAAACCAAGAUUUUACAUAGUAAGCAAACAACGGUAUGGAGCGAAACUUUCGCAUCUACAUAAGCAAUUCAGAUCCACCAAACCAGAAGAAAAAAAGUGCAAUGGCGAUGUCCAGAAGCUCAGGAGACGAGAGGAGGCAACAGCCGGCAAAGGAGGAGGCUAGGCCGAUCGGCCUGACCUCCCCAUGCCUAUCGGCACCACCCCCUCCUUUGGCCGCCACCUUCACCCUUCACAUGGAAGCCAAGAGGUGCGAGUGGAGUCCGAAAACUCCGCCAAGGACCGCUCGUAAUGCUCGCAUCACGUUGGAGGCAAGACGCCAUCUGGAAAGCUCGCAGAUCGCAAGUUCAUCGUCCUCUCAAGUGAUGAUGAAGCAUAUAAGAAGAAGAAGGAGAUUGUUGUCGCUCCCACAAGGCGUUCAGCAAGGUUCCUCGGGAUCAAGCGCAAGAGCUAUGUGAAGAACACGUCCGAGUACUCGCCGGCUGACUAUGGAGGUGAUAGCGAUUGGGAGGACGAUAUGAGCCCCAGAUCGUGGGGUGCUGCAGGCCAUGAUGAUGAAGAAGAUGACAACACGUACUGGGAUUGGGGUGAAGAUAAGAAGAAGAGCAAGGAGCAAGAUGGCUACCAUCAAGAUAAGGGCAAAAAAAAAAGAUCUCGAAGACGACGAGCCAAAACCAGAGGAGCAUGAACUAGACGAGCAUUAUCAUACGUGUUGUACCGCUUGUAAGAAGAACAUCCAUUACCUCUUCAACACUAUCGGCGACAUCAUGGAAGCCUUGUAAGGUCUGGAUCAGAAGGUAGAAGACAAUGAUCGUUGUCAGGAGGAUGACUUCAAGUUCUUGUAGAGGAACAUGAGAAAGCUCUUCGGGAUAUGUGGCAACAAGAGGAAGAAUAGAGCUCAUGACGAAGGAAGCAGCAACCAUCCGGUAUGCAAGCAGUGCGGGUAGCGUCACUAGUGUGUUUGCAAGCGCCUUUCCCUUUGUACUUCAUGUGGCUACGAUGAGGACGUCAUAGAUUUUAAGCGUGGGGUGGGGGGAGAUCAUCACUUGUACAAGUUUUUGGAUCUAGUUUGGUCGAGUCGAGUCGUGUGAGAGUCUAAAUUAGUGUUUUUAUUUUAAUUAAAAGUAGAUAAAGUAGUAGUCUUCUUAAGCUUCUGGGAAGACUUAGGACUAGAUCGCAACUUUAGCGUCUUUGUGAGAAGAAGCAUGAAUAAAAUUUGAGGAUGGUGCGAGUGUUUUUAGUGUCUACCUUAGCUUGCUUGUCUUUAUUUUGUCUGUGCAACUUUGUAUCAUGAGCAUUAUCCUGAAUUCUAAAUCUCUGUUGUGGAAUUGAGUAAUCGGUUUGUUUAUACAAUACCCAUGCUUUAUGAUGAUCAAGUGCUUUGGUUUUGAUUAUGCUUUAUGAGUAAGACUUGAAUUGGAGGUGACUCAAAAUUUUAUUGCUUAUCUAAAACCUCUGUAAAAACAAGAUUGAUCAAGAUCUUUUAACCAGAUUGAGAGUUAUUAUUUAUGCUACCCAAUGCCUUGAAAGAUUUAUUUGUACCACCAAAAGCAAGAUUUGACGCUUUGAAUUGAGUUAGGAUCGUUCUCUCUUGGUUUGCUUUAAUUCUGAGCACCGAUCAUAUCCUUUUUACCAUCUCUGAUUGCUAGGCUCGUCAAUAUUCAGUAAUGAGAUUUCUUCACUGGAACAAUCAUAUUUUCUACUGAAUUCCUAAACCUGAAUCAUAAAUUUCCCAAUUUUAUUACCUAUUCCUUGAACACAACCCAAUAUACACAGAUCUGUUUUAUUUCUGGUCAAGUUUUAUGAAAAAUAAGGAAAGAUACAAGAUAAGGAAGCUUCACCAGAAAGAUAAGCCAAAGGGGAGGAAAGGAGAGGCUAGGCCGAUCGGCCUGGUCCCCUCCAGGCCAAUCAACAUGGGGCUCCUUUGCCUCGGUUCACGCGUAGAAAAAUUGUGGAAAGCCUCUGGAAGGAUCUAAAACUAAUUUUUAUGGUGUGGUGUUUAGAGGAGGUUCGGAGAAAGAGAUGAAAAAUGAAAGAAAGAAAGAAAGGAAAGAAAGAGAAAACAUAUUGAGAAAAAGAAAAUGAAAUAAUAGUGAAAAGGAAGAAAGAAAUAAAGGAGGAGUUUUUACUGUCAUGAAGAUCAAGAGAAGUGCAAAGAAAUAUGACAUUAUUUUUGGAACGGAUUUUCAUUCCAACCAUGUGCAAUCCGAUGAUGAGGACAUCGCUUGUGCCUCAGAGUCACUAUUUUAUUUGCCUUUGCACAUGUCCACCAUUCUAUAUCUUCUCAUCCUUGAAAACCUCAUAUUAUAUGGAUAUUCUUUUGAUCAUUGGCUCAGAAGGUAGGCAACCGUUAGAGAGUUUUCUUAAUUCUAUAUUACAAGUGUUGAUUCUAGCUAGCCAUACCCAAGCUCCACCGUAUAAUUGAGUGACCUUUUGAGAGACGAGAGCUUGCAAAUAAGUAGGAUAGCCACCACUCAUUUGAGCCACAUGUAAGUACCUGGAAAAGAAUUCUUGUUUCAAUUUUAUUGCAGGGAGAUGGUUUUAUGAUGAAAGAAAAACCCUCCAAAGAAAGUAAGAAAGUAAGUGUAGUUGAUUCCUAAAGUUACUUGGUUCUGAAUAAUAGCUGUGGGAGAAUCUUUGCUUAGAUAAAUCUUUGAACACCCAUACUUUGAUUAUCUUCGCUGCUCCUCUGAUAUUUUGUUUGGAGGCUAGGUACUUGACUCCUUGCUCAGGUUUAGUUCAAAAUCUUUGUUCAAUCCUGCUGGAGAAGUUUAUAGUCGCAUGACUUGAUCGAGGAUGAGCAAGAGCUAAGCGUGGGGGCAUUGUUGACGCUCGUUAUUGACACACUUUUAGUGCUAUUUAACUAGUGUUUUCAUGCUUAUUCUUAUACUAACCUACCACUUGGCACCUGAAAUAACCCCAUUAUUGCAUGUGUUGUAUUUUGAACCAUAAAGUAUUUUGGCAGGAAAUACGACAUAAUCAAGGGGGUUUGUAUAAAGAUCUUAAUGGAUAUUUGGACAUGGGUCGUCAAGGGAAGCCAGUAUGAGGAAGGAGAGGGCUAGAAGGGCCAGGAAGCCCCCAGGCCGAUCGGCUUGGGACCCUCUAGGCCGAUUGGCCUGACCCAUUGCAGCGCCCGAUUGACCUCCCGUUUCUUUAGCGUGAAGUCUACGAUGAUCUCUAGGUUUUUUUCAUGACAUUGAUCCAGAGCCGCCGCCUAUUGGACACUAUAAAUAUCCCCUCAUGGACUUCAAGAAAGAGGAGUUAGAAAGAAGAGGAAAUCACCACAUAAACACCAUCCACCGCCGCUACAAGUAGGAAAAACGGAGAGAAGAUUGGAUUCAGAGGAGGCCACGCGAAGAGGAGCACCAGGGGAGGAGGAAACCCCCUUAGCCGAUCGGCUCAGAGGUGGCCAGGUCGAUCGGCCUGGGUCUUCCCUUCCCCCGUUCAUCAUCAUCUUCGGACAGGUUGAUCUACAGGGCAUCCUUUACCCCAAAAUUUGUCAACAUGUGUAAGAUCAUGGGGUAAUACAUUUGUUUGUCCUCGGGGUUGUAUGGAGAUCUUGAUUCGUAAUCGCCGAACCUUUGGUUAAGACCUAUUUUGUUAUCAAUCAAUCUUGAUAAUGCUCUUUCAUGUAAAGGCUAGCCAACCCUACUUUGGGUUGCUUAUUUUCUUACCUAGAAUAAUCAUCUUGAUGUGUUCUUAUGUUCCGAUAGUUGAGUAUUCCGGUGUAGUGACAGUAUUGCGGGUGAGAAAGUUUUGGGCAUGGUUCACAAUCACUCACGAUAACACCUAGAUCUAAUUCAUUCAUGCAUGACGAUUGCAUCUACAAGUGAUCCUAGAUCCCUAGGACAAGCAUUUAAUCUAUCUUGUUCACAACCUUUACUCUCUCCAUCUUAAUCUAGAUUGCUUAGUUCUUUUGUUAGCAUAAUCAUAUCCUAUAUAAAGACCUUUUGAUUACAUCGAUUAGUGCUUAGUUAAGCACGCAAAUCCCUUUUUCUGUGGAUUGAUAAACCUUGGGGGAAUCUCUAAGGGAAAAACUACAAUUUGGCAUGCUAACUGUCGUCAACAUCUGGGAGCACCGGUUCUACCGGUAUGAUAAGCCGGUCUGACCGGUCCAUGCAGCAUGUGGCUGUGGGCUGCUAUCAAGAGAAGUACAAUAUCAUCCACAUCAAGGUUCCUCGUCUCUCCAAUAUAUUUGACAAGGUAUGCUUUGCAAGUAAUUCCUAAUCAGAUCAUAUAUCUUCAGUUAAUUCAUCUAUUAGUGAUUCUAUCACAAAUAAUUCCAAGAGAUCGAUUAAGGAUAGUAAUUUACUUGCUAGCUAGUAGUAGUAUGCCUUCAGAUUGUCUUAGCCAAUGCAUUGUGAAAGUUAGAAAGGCUGAUCAUAGUAAUACUUUAGCAUUUAAAUUUUCUCCAUCGUCAUUUCCAAAGUUUUUCUCUACAUGGUUUGCUUAUGGUCAUUCUAGAUUUAAAAGCAAAAGAUCAAAACUGAGAGUCAUCAUGAAAUCCUAUGCUAACAUAGUGAUAAGCUCUAAAGCAUCGGGUAUGAGAAGCACAAGGAGAGGUAUAGCUGAAUGGAUCGGUGAGAAAUUUGGAACAUUUGCUUGCUUGGCCUUAAAGCUUUCACCACGUUGACUACAAUUAGUCUUGAUUGCAAAGGCUCAUUAAAUUGGUUAGAGUCAACUGGUUCAUCUAAAGAUCCAAACUUAAUUGCCAAAGAGGAAGAUUUGAAGCUCCCAAGUGAUGAGAAGGACAUCGUCCAUGACUUGCAAGUUCAAGCAAUUAUCACGGACGAUGAGCCUAUCAAAAUCCUAGAAGUUACUUGGGGGGCACAAACGGAUUUUUCUCCAUCAAAUCAAGAACCUAUUGCUCCUGUUGUGCUAAGCGAACAAGUCAUACCGGUUUGGCAAACAGGUCUGACCAGUUCGGCCAAUCAAGUCAGACCGAUGUCCCAAACCGGUCCGACCAGUUCUAGUCUGAAGGAUUUAGAGAUGUCAAAAAUCUGAACAUCCUGUGCUGAAUGGAGGUAAAGACCAUGUUAAGCACAAUGGUAAAAAGCUGAAGCUCACAUUUGAUGAACUUCUGGCUAAAUAUCAAAAAGGUAAUGAGGCCAAGCGUGCUAAUCGGUCAAGUCAUGUUAAACCAUCAGGAUUAUCUCCUAAACUUAAUUCUGAGAAUUGGAAUUGGCAAAGGAAAUUUUUUUAUUCAAUGGCAUCAUAUCCUCCUUUUGGGCCAUCAAUGCUAGUUUCAUAUGCUCCACAUCCCACUAGUUUUCAUCCUUACUCAUCAUGGGGUGAAAUGAUCCAUGGGCACAUACUCCUUCAUAUUUUAGACCAUAUCAUGUAGAGUAUGCAGCUCCAAGAGAACCAUCAUGUGCAAGGCAACCAUAUGUUGAAAAUGAUUGUCUUGAGCAAAAGGACCGGUCUAGUGUUCAAAAGAAGAAAAGGGUUGUCAAGCAAGUUUAUCGAGUGCAAAGAAAUGGUCGCAAAGAUAAGAGUUCAUAUCUGAAUUCAAUUAGUGAAAAGUCGAUUAAUCUGUUAAGCACUUCGGUUACUAAUGGCAAAGGAAAGAAAAUAUCAGCCGUUGAUCCUCAAAGUGCCAAAUCUGAACAAAAGGAGUUGACAAAUUCAAAAAUCAAGGGAAAAUCGCUGUUGUCCAAAGCUGAAGCAAAGCCAAGCCAUCCACUUAGUUUAUCAAAUUGGCAGAAGAAGAAGAAGAAGUUACAGAAGCUUAGUGCUCAAGAGCUGAGAAAAAGGAAUAUGGCAUGGGCUCCUAAAAGAAGCAUUCAGAUUCAAAACAAGGAUGAUGCUCAAGCAAAAGGUGUAGAACAAUUGAAGAAGAAGAAAAGAUACGAAAGACGAUCUUCAAAACUGAGGUUUGCACCAAAUCAUUAAAAUUAUUGGUCAUUACCUCAUCCACUUGCUUUACAAAUGUCAUAUAUGCCUAUGUCUUGGAAUUCAUCCUUGGAUAUGAUUGGUCAUCCCUCACACUCUUAUUUUGAUCCUUGGUCAUAUGGGUCUUUAUAUCACAGAGGGUUAUCACCAAGUUGCUAUGCAUAUUGAUUAAAUUGCAAUAAAUCUUGCCAUUAAUUUUCAAAAGCCAAAAUAUUUAGUUCCUAGAGAUGGUUUAAAUUCUUGAAUUUAUAUAUCUCUCUACACUUUUAUUUCGGUUGCGCAUACUCUUAUGGAUUAAUUCAUUAUGGAUGAUAUUUUAUUAUCAUCCUUGGCAACACAUACGGGCGAUGAAUACCUUUGGUCAUCAUCCUAAAGUGAUAGCCUCUCGAUGAGAGAUCAUUUAUGACUUUGUUGAUGGCUUAAAUGCUCGGGGGCAAGAUAUUAGCAAAAGGAGUAAUUUAUCAUCAUGGAGUUUGUAUUUUUUAAAUCGGCUUGCAAAGUGUUUUUAAAAUAUUGGUGCUAUGUUUAUUUCACCAAAUUGUGUUGUUUUGAGACCUUUAGCUGGUUGGAGUGUUUAGCAUCAAUAAUCAAGCCAAAUAUGAAAUUUUUCUAUUCAGGCUAGAGAUUUUGGAAUCCAUGGGUGGAAAGCAUGCAAAAAUAUCUAAUGACUUGUUGCUGGAGGUGCAGCAGGCAUUUAUGUUUAAAUGAGCCACUAGAUGUUUUUCUUGAUAUAUAUCUAGAGGAUCAUCUCAACUUUAUAAUGAGUCAUGUAUCUAGGCAUAAAAAUUUAGGAUUAGCACUCUGGAACAAUGAACAUCAGGUCACAGUGUCCAAAAAGACAUUUUCAUAAGAAAAGACCGAUGUUUAGCAAUGCCAGGGGCACAUCCUGGACAGACCGGUUUGACCAGAAUCCCAAACCGGUUUGACUGGUAUGGCUACUACUUUGGCUGUUGAAGUUUCAGAACUUGGUGAAGCCAAGGUUAGUAGCUGAUGGAGAAAGUUUGUUGUUAGCUAUUUGCAUAAUCCAAGAUACAUUGAAAGACAAGUCGAAAACAAACAAGAGGGGUUCAAGAGCAAUCUGGCCAUCAUCAAUUCAAAGGUAAUUGUGUCAUGUUCACCUUUUGGACUGAUUACUCACCUUAUUUUAUUUAUGGUCAAAAUAACUUGUGGAUGCCAUAUUGAAUUAGUUUAUCUUUCUCCAUUCUUAAUUUGAGAGAUAUUGCAAAGAUCAAUUGACAUUAUAGCAAUUUAGCCGCUUUAUGCAUCCACAAUAUCUUACAGGUGUGAGAAAGACUUUGAAUUAGUAUUUCAAGAAUCUGGGCAUCAUAGGAGUUUGCUAUCUGAAUUUAGGCAAACCGGUGAGACUAGUUUUACCAUUGUGUAGAUCUUGUCGAGGUGAUUGAACUGCAUAUGUAGAAUAUCCAAUUGAACUGCAUAUGUAGAAUAUCCAAUUUGGAGUUCAGAUGGGAGAGUUACGGCUCUAGCAAGAUUCAGCCCUGUGCAGACCAGUCAGAUUGGUUUGGAUGGGCGAUCUAACCGAUUUGGCCAGCUUAAUCCAAGUUAUAAGUUGUAUUUUGAGACGGGAUUUAUGUAACCUUCAACACCUACUAGGGCAAGACCUCCCCACCCUAUAAAUAUAAAGGACCACGGCUGAUCGAGGACAACCCAAUCGAAUCAAUCUACUAUUUACUUUUAUCUCCUAAACCCUAAUCCUCUUCCAACCUCCAUGUUGUUUGUCCACUGAUCUCCACGACCAGAGAUGGUGUCCUAAACUUGCUGGUUGACCUAGGGCACGCCGACGACAUCCACGCCCUGACGGGGUCCCUCCCAGGUGAGAGUUUCGAUGAUCUUUGCUAGUUUGCUCAUAAAUUAGUCGUUCUUCGUCACGUAAGUGCGUUGGUUAUCCCUUUGUUGAUUUGCUUGUAAACCUCGCCGUCCUCCAUCAUGUAAGCGUGGUAGUUAUUCUCUCGAACAAUCAACUCAGUCUAAACCCUAGGAAACCGGUCUAACCGGAUUGCUGGACCGGUUUGACCGGUCUGGGUGGCAUACUGUCGUUCGGUCUGUUCGAGACCCGCAUGCUAGUACUUUUAAAUUUGCGGCAACAAAAAUACUUUGGGACGAAGCACAUGCAACUCUCGUAUGGGAGUAGAUUCAUGAUUGAAAUGCGAACCUAAUCAGUGUUGCAAAUGUUAAUCCUUCUAUUUAAGUAUAAGUAAAUAUCCCAAUUUUCGUCAUUAUGGCUGGGAUCAAUGAGGGGUUCUUUUAGGAGUGUAGCGCAGCAAAGUGAACAAGAAAAGACAUAAAGCAAAAAAAGCAAAUUACUUUAUCAAUGUUGCAAAUGUUUUUUUACCACUAUUUUUUAUAUAAUAUUUUUAUUUCAGACCUAUUUAAUUUGCUCAAGGGGAAAUCGAAUCUCGACCUACUGGAUAUGCUACUCAGGUACUUAUCUAACCACUAGGUUAGAUAUUAUUUCGCAAUCUUCCAAAUGUUAAACCUCCUAUCUUACUAUUACUAAUUGGAGGCUCCUUUUGAAGCCUUCAGGUGAAGCCACCUAGAAUUUCUAGGUGGACACUUUAGAAAAAGAAAGAAAUCCUAGAAAUUCUCAUAAAAAAGCAAAACAUCCAACCAUCGAUCGAUAGAUUCAAAUAAUCAUAGCCAUUGGAUCUAUUAUAUUUUCUAAAAAAUCACCCACAUAUACCAUUAUGCAAAUAGCCUAAAGUAACCCUCUAAAUCUAUAUAUAAAUUACCCACCUCUACCAUUAUAUAAAACAAACUAAAGUAACUCCCUAAUCUUCAUCAAAAUUACCCACUUAUGUCAUUAUAAACAAUAUUUAAAAUAACCCCCUAAUUUGCAACCGAAUUGCCCAACACUAUUACUUCAAAACUUAAAGUAACCCGUUAAAUUUGCAUCUAUAUUACCCACACAUGCCAUUAUUAAAAAUAACAUGAUAACCCUACGUUUGAAUCAAAUAAGCUUAAUUAAAAAUAUACAUCAAUAUAUAAUUCUAAAUCGUCUAUAUCUUGCACUAUUGGUAUACGAUAUAAUAAUUAAGGUCUAUAUGCAUGAUGUGUGUCACCAUUUAUAAGGAUAUAAAGUGAUGGGAAUAUAGAUUUCUAUGCUAAAAUUGUAUCUCAAACUUAGGGUUCAUUAAACAAAUUCAAGCGCAUACCUGCGAUCCAAAAGUGAAAAAUUAAAGAUUAUAAAUAUGGAUAAAAAUAUUAUAGAGUAAUUACUAACUAAAAUAUAUCACAAUUGGAUGAAGAUAUUAAGUAUUUAUCUACAUAAGUAUUGUGUUCGAAUAUUUAACAAACGAGAGGUAGCCUAUGGUAAUAGUUCUGUAGCAAUGUAGUCUCAUUUCUUUUUCCAUUGGAGACUCCGCAUUAGUUCCCACGAGACAAGCUAGAAAAAAGAGAGAAAUUCUCAUAAAAAUUAAAAACAUCAAACGCCAAUCGUGUAAACUCUAAUAAUCAUAGCCAUUGAUCUAUUAUAUUUUUUAAAAAGUUACCCACCACUGUCAUUGUGAAAAUAUUCAAAAAUAAGCUCUAAACCUAUAUCUAAAUUACCGAGCUCAGCUAUUAUAAAACAUAAUCUAAAGUAACCUCAUAAUCUUCAUCCAAUUUACUAAUAUAUAUCAUUAUAAAACAUAACUUAAAAUACCAUUCUAAAAUUUUUAUCUAUGUCACCCACGUAUGUCGUUAUUAAAAAUAACCUAAAGUAAACAUCUAAAUCUUAAUCUAAUUAUCUUCAUGUGCAUCAUACAAAAAUAUCAAAAAAUAAACAAAUAUAUGUGUUGGCGCUAGAAAUCGGUCAACCGAACCCCAGCGACCGACACACGACCCGGGAGAAUCUGCUUAGCUCCUGUUCGGGUGAAUGCCCUGGUGCGGUUCGCGCGGCGUGCCAGCCAAUCUGACCUGUUGAUUGGCAAGGAAUAACACGUGUCAAAUUCAGUAACCACGAUCGGCUAAGUUUCCGAUCGAGAUAGCUUAUCGGCAGAUCGGCCGAUUUACUGUGAUGAUGAAAUCGGCUAUAAGACAGCACGAUCCCCGUAGCUUCGUAAACAGAUAAAUACUGAAGCAAUCGGUACAAAGCUUAUGAAAACAGUACUAGGAAAAGAUCUAAUCGGCAACGAAUGGAUCUGACUACAGAAAGCAACGAAAGCCGAUACUACCGAUUCCUAGCAGGAUAACUGAUGAUAAAAACUAGAAAAACAGGUAAAAACCUAUGAAUCUAAUUGAUAUCGAUAACUGAUGAAUAAAUCUAAACGAAACGACAGCGAUGCGCCAGAAGUUAAAGCUUAGAUAUUACUCGAUAAACGGAACUUACAGAAUCGGCCGGAGAUCAAGAUGAUGCAGCCCUGCCAACCCGCACGAACUCGUGAGAAGGAAAAGUAAUAGCGAAGUCGCCUGCUUGACAGUAAGUACGAAGAAUAAAGUAACUUGUUGUAUUGAUUGAUUGUUGUGUUUACAGAUUUACAAAGGUAGCUAUUUAUAGCCCCGUACACAUAAUCUUCUUAACCGACUAGAACUCUAUCUCUAAUUCAAACAGAAAACAAACAUCUACCAGCACAAUCCGUGCUAAACCAACUACCCCACACUUCGUGGGCUGAACUCCACCUUAUCCCUCCAUUUUUCCAAGCCCAUACAGGCCCACCUUAAUCCACCUUCCUGAUCGGCCGAUUUCUUAUCAGCAAAGGAUUGCCGAUUGGGAACUCGGCGUAUUCACUCUGAAGCGAGUAAAAGCCACUUGACCGAUUCCGCACUGUAGCACCUUUUGGCCGAUUCCCAUCCGAACCCCUUCAAUCUCUUUCUUCUUUGGCGCCGAUUCUACUGAUGACGAAAUCCGGCGUCAACACAUGCCCCCCAAUUUCGGAGUAAAACAUAAUCUUUUACUUCUAAAUUCUCUAAUAACCUCUCCUCCGAAACGGCCGCAGUGAAAAUAUCCUUCUGUUUCGCGGUCUCCCGGCUGAUCAUUGCAAUUUUUUGAAACGGGCGCCCACGACAGCCAAUACCCCGAAAAACUCGAUGCGCCGGCGCGGUGAAAAUUCCAUCUUUACCCUUUCUUCAGGCACCCUAUAAAUACCAUUUCACCGCAACUCAUCUUCAAGCUCACAUCUCUUUUCCAGCGCGCGCGCCUCCUUCCUUUCAAUCUUGCCAUCGAAGUCUUCCAGUUUUCAGCUCCAAUCACUUCUUCCCCUUUUCCCUUCAAUGGCGACUCCUUCCGGCAAUUCCCCAGCACGCGAUGCUCCAGGGACAAUGCCCCCGGUGGAGGUAGCGACGGUCGUCACUUCUUCAACAGAUACAAGGGCUUCAUCAGAAAUUCCAAUGGCGGUCCCCAUAACAGCCCCAUCAUCUGUGCCAACAUCGGCGACCACGCCGAUUACUCAGAACUUUAUCCCGGAGGUAAGUACCGAAUCCCCUCCUUAUCGGCAAUAUUUUAGAUCUACUCCUUACAUUCCUAUGCCCCUUUUCCUUUUUAGGCGGUUAGAGAUAGAAUUACUAUUCACCUCACGGACAGUCCUGGCCUUGUUUGCCUUGGUCCCAUGGGAAACCCAGAUCCGGCGAUUCUUAUAGAUUCGGAAACUGACCGGAUACCUUUCAAACGGUCCGAUAUGAACUUAAAUCAAUGGGCAAGUACUUUUAGAUCCUGGCCGAAUGAAACCCCAGGUUGGAGAGAAUGGUACCAACGGGUGGCCGCAUCAAGGAGCGUCUCAUGGGAUGAGCUUAAAAUCGGCCAAUGCAUCAACCUUUCUUUGUCGCAAAUGGAGAAAAAUGAGCCGCUAGUGAUGGCAGCUUCCUAUUUUUGGUCUGAUGCCCUUAAUGCAUUUUUAUUUGGACAUGGUCCUAUGACCCCCACUCUGGCCGAUGUGGUCCUCUUGACUGGCUUAGACGUAUCCUCUCCUGACACGCCUUUCCAACUUCUAACCGUUCCUUCGCAUCGGCUGGACACAAGAGGAAUCGGCGGCUGGAAGGGCUUUAUUAGUGAUAACAAGAAGAUCGGUACUGUUGAUAACAGGGAGCACACCGCUUUCCUGAUGAUGUGGCUGGAAAAACACCUUUUCUGUGGAAGAGCCGCCGGCCCAACAACCAACACCCAAUCUUUAGCCGAGGCACUGUCCAAAGGAAGUCACAUUCCUCUCGGGAAACAUCUUCUGGGUGCCGUGUACCACAUGCUCCACCAAAUCGGCACAAAACUUUCCAAGGGAGAACCAAUCGGCAACCCAGGUGGGCCUUGGUGGUUUGUUAAUCUAUGGUUGAACCUCUAUAUGAGCAGGAUUACCCGGCAGCCAGUAGACCAUAUGAUGUUCCCCAAUAUUGAAUCAGCGGAAGACCCUACCGAGCGUCGCCGAUGCAUGUCUUAUGGCGAAGCAGCGUCAGCUUUUCCGGGUUGUGCAUAUUCUGCUACAAAAGUAGCCGAGUACUUUCGGUGCUUCUACAACGGAUUCAAUGAGGACGCUACUAUCUGGUUCCCAUACCAGCGAGACAUCCCAGUCUUUGAGCUCCCCUCCUGUUUUGACUCGACUUCUGGCCGGUUUGAUGAGGGUCUUUAUGAAGAAUUGAUCAAACCAGGACUUUUACCGGCCAACUUCUUCUCGGGGAAAAAUGCCCCCACAUAUGAGUUCUACAACCCAUCUACUGCUGCUCGACAAUUCGGCAUGGGUCAAUUGCCGAUACGGGUGUAUUUUGCCGGCCGAAUCAAGUUCAGAGAAGCGCUUAAAACCGGCCUGGAUUAUUGUCGGUUGCGAGACCGAAUUCCGGAUUCCAGUACGAUUAAUUUGAAUGAAUGGCUAUUAUAUCCAUUUGCAAUCCAGCCUUUCAAGCUUUGGUGGGCUGAAUGGAAGCAAUUCUUAUUCUGCAACUCAGCAUCGGCAUACUGCAACCUCCUAGACCCAGCCAACAUUGAUCCCAACGCCGAGGUAUUUCCGAUUACCGAUUUUUAUUCCUCUCAACAUAGUUGGGCACUAAUGAUUUCACUGUCUUUUUAGAUCGAGAGUCAAGCCCCUCCAACACACAGCCGCAGUGGUCGGCUAAUGGAGAGCUAUCCGUACACCACUUAUCCUCUUAUCGGCUACGAUGCUCCGUCAGUUGACAUGAUUGCUGGCCGAUCGAAGAAGGUUCACAAGAAGGUCGUCAAGAAAACCAGUCGCCGAGUCCGGGCUCGUACGGCAUCAGCGGACCCUCCUGUACCCGCAUCGGCAGAAGUCUUGACUGCACCGUUCCCGGCCACACAAAGUGCUGAUACUCAAGCCAUUACGCAAGCCGGAGCGGCUGCCGCCUCACUAUUGCUGGAAGCUUUACAAGUGAGUUCAAGCUUUAUCACUUCUGAUUUGUCAACUCGGUAUUAAUUCUUGUUCACUUUGUGCUUCUUAGGGCUCUUCUAUGGAAAUAUCACAGUCAGUGACAGCUCGACCGGAUGCCAACACGCCCCUGCCUUCAUCCAUUGAGGUACGGUACCUGUCUUAUGGACUCCCUUUGGGUAUUUGCAUAACAUAUUUAACCGAUCCCUCGAUGCAGACCAUCGGCACACCAAGCGUUUCUCGACAACCGAUUCCUUCCCAGGGAGCCGGUCCGAGCACCGUGCCGAUUGUCGUAGAGUCUUCUUCAUCGGAUGAACCCAUGACUCAGGCCACUGAACAAGACACAACGGCUCUACAAGCGCAGCAUGAGGAAAUCCGUUUUAAGAUGGUAAAUUCUUGAACCAGCCUCACCAGCCGAUUUACUCUGUUCCCCUGCCGAUUUACCCUUUUUCUUUAUUCUUUUCAGGAACAGGACUCUCCCAACAACAGUCUCUUCUCUUUCGCAGUCGCUCUCUCUGAUGAUGAGGAGACUUCUUCUCGCCAAGUGGCCUUAAGCUCCGUCCCUGACGACGUCCGGGCUAAGCUUACCAAUAUCCGAUCCCUCCUCCAAGGGGAUAUCGGCCGAUUGGUAGAGGAUGCUUCGCCGAUUCGGCAACUUUUUAGUGACGUCAGCGGACGAGUACCAGAGGAAGCGGAAGAGGCGUUGGCACCGGCGGCUUUUAUUGAGUCCAUGAGGAUUCCCGUUUUUAGGGCCCUUCGUCAUAUGGCCGACCGCGCGAAACUGGCCAAGAUCCGUGAAGAUGAAAAUGCUUUCAAGCACCAGGCUCAAGAAGCGAAUCGGCGGAUCCAUGUCUUGGAAGAUUCACGGCCGGCGAUCAUUAGUGAAAUAGAUCGCCUCAAACGACGGAGAGCGGACCUUGCCAAAGAGAUGGAACAAGUGACCAAGGCCAUCAGCGCCGAAGAGAGCAGACUUCAAGAAUUACCUUCGGCUAUCGCCGAUUUGACACGGGAGAGGCAGCGUCUUGCUCAGGAGGCUCUGAGACUCCACCGCACCGCAUCGGAAGUUCCUGGAUCGGCAGAAGAAGACCAACGGGUUCUUGACUCCGCCGAUCAGAUCCGGCGUCGGGCCAUCACGGCUAUCGAUACCCUUUUGGGUGAUCUGUAAAACACCGACCGUUUUGUAUGAACACUUACUGCCGUCUUUGACUGACCUUUCGUGAUGCCUUCUAUUUACUGCCUCCCUUAUUACCGAUGGGAUGUGGCCUCAACAAAUUUCACUGUAUUUCCCCAUAAAUAUCGACCCCGACGCUUCCCCCCGAUAACAUCGAUUUGGCUCCCAUCUCAUUUUUCCUCUUCCUCUCAUCGGCGUAACCACUUUGUUAUGGCUUCGUCAUCGUCCUCUUCCGUCAACCAGGUGACGCUUCGCCUUCUCCUUCCAGAUCUUAGGAAAUGAAUGCGCCAACUUAUUUUCUCUCUGUUUCAGCCUCAACGCCUUAGUUCGGAGCUUGUGCGCGCUAUCGAGCGCCUACAUUCUGAGGACCCUCUGACCCCGGAGGACAAAGUUCUGAUUUUAGCUCAUCGGGCGGAGCUCCAAGACCAUAUCACCGCAGAUGCUCGAGUAGUCCUGGACGCCGUGGUGAACGAACACCGCCAUAUGUCCCGAGCCACGAGGGGUCAUCGCCGCAACGUUCCUGGUGGUGACAUCACUUCGUCGACCUGCACGAUCCUGGAUUUCCUGGAAAGGAACGGCAACUCGCAGCUUCCUGCCGAUAGGGCUCGUCCGCUUCUUCGGAACCUGCGGCCUUCCACUGAUGGGGUCCGCAUGCUUCCUCGGCCCGUCAUUCUGGCGGCGGCGGAGGCCUCGCGCCUUCCCGUAGAUCUCCCCCGUCAAGUCGAAGCGGAGAGCUCAAUGAAGGCCAUAGAAGAAGAAUACGUUCGACUCAUGAUAGAGUUAGGUCGGGCUGAGAGGGAGCGUAAGAAAAAGAAUAAUUAGUUGCUGUAUUUUUUAUUCUAAGGGCGACUUAGUGUUUUGUCGGCCAUGUAAUCGGUCGCCCGUACCGAACGAAUGUAAUCGGCCCGAAUAAAUGUAAUCGGCCAUGAUAAAUAUAAUCGGCCGUUCCGGUCGAUUUCAUAUGUGUCUUGAAACCGAGUCGUGUCGGUCAUUUUUGACUGUGUUUAUCCCUUUAGGCCCCGACCCAUAUACUCGGGUAGUAUCUUUUUAAGUAUCUCCCAUUCAGAGCCCUAGUGAAUUCUUCUCCCUCUGUUGUUUCCAAAAUAUACGCAUUCCCUGGAGCGCAUCUGCCGAUUUUAUACGGCCCUUCCCAGGUAGGAGACCAUUUGCCGAAUUUAGGAUCUUUCGACCCGAUCGGUAGUACCAACUUCCAUACCAAAUCUCCAGGGGAGAACUGUUUGACUUUGACCUUUUUAUCGUACCACCUGGCUACUCUCUCUUUAUUUUCUUCGAUGCUUAUUAGAGCUCUCAGUCGUUGGCCGGCCAAGUCAUCAAGUUCUUCCUUCAUCAGAGCCGAGUAGUCAUCGGCCGACAACUGAUCCUGAAGUGAAAUGCGCCUUGAUCCUGCCCUUGACUCCCAUGGAAGUACUGCAUCGUGAUCGUAUACCAACUGAUAGGGGGAUAACUUGGUUGCCCCAUGACAGGCCAUUCUGUAUGCCCACAGGGCUUCGGUCAAACAUAGGUGCCAUUUCUUCGGGCAUUCUUCAAUCUUCCUUUUGAUCAACUUGAUUAUUCCUUUGUUGGAGGAUUCUGCUUGCCCAUUGGCUUGAGCGUAAUACGGAGAAGAAUUUAGCAAUUUGAUGCCCAUAUCGGUCGUGAAUUCCUCAAAUUCUCCCGAUGUGAACAUUGUUCCUUGAUCGGUUGUUAUAGUUUGAGGGAUACCGAAUCGGUAGACGAUGUGAUCCCUUACGAAAUCGGCCAUGAUAGCCGACGUCACGGUCCUUAGUGGGAUUGCCUCCACCCAUUUGGUGAAAUAAUCAGUGGCAACCAGGAUAAACUUGUGCCCCUUGCUUGAUGGUGGAUAAAUUUGGCCGAUGAGGUCUAUUCCCCACCCUCUAAACGGCCAUGGUUUGAUGAUGGGAUUCAUGGCCGAUGCGGGUGCACGCUGGAUAUUCCCAAACUUUUGACAUUCCUGACACCCCUUAUAAUAUUUGAAACAAUCCUCGAGGAUCGUAGGCCAAUAGUACCCGUUGUUUCUGAUCAUCCACUUCAUCUUGUGUGCUGAUUGGUGAGCUCCGCAUACCCCUUCAUGGAUUUCUCCCAUCAGAGUCUUGGCUUCUUCUGUCCCAAGGCAUUUAAGAAGAACACCAUCGAUCGUUCGGUAGAACAGAUCAUCUUCGAGCAACACGUACUUGGUAGCAUGAAAACGCACUCGUCGCUCAACCUUUUUGGACGGAUCUUUUAGGUAAUCGGCAAUUUCCUUACGCCAAUCAUCAGCUGCAAGCUCUAAGGCCAUGGCGCCCGGAAUCGGCCGAUACCCAGAUGCGUGUUGAGCGAGCUUGUUUGCUUCCUCGUUGUCGUCUCUUGGGACGUGCUCGAUUACUGCCGAUCUGAAUUCUUUCAAAAGCUGUAAGCAAUCUUCGUGAUGGAUUCGCAAUAUGUCAUCUUUGCACUCAGCUCUUCCGGUUAGUUGAUCCACAAUCAGCAUCGAAUCUCCGAAGACCUCAACAGAAUCGGCCUUGACUUCCCUCAAUAAUCGUAAGCCUUUUACAGCUCUGUAUUCUGCUUGAUUGUUUGUGGCGGCGUUUUCUAUCGGCAGAGAAAAAUCAUAUCUUGCCCCCCGAGGCGAUAUGAGGACGAUGCCGAUUCCCGAUCCGACUCCGCAUGAGGACCCAUCAAAAAAUAACUGCCAAGGCGCUAGUUCCAAGAAGGCGAUCUCCGGCCCACAGUGCUGUGCGACGAAAUCGGCCAUGACUUGGCCUUUGACGGCUUUUGCCGAUUCGUAACGCAGAUCAAAUUCUGAUAAAGCUAAAAUCCAUUUACCGAUUCGUCCUUUCAAUAUCGGCAAUGACAGCAUGUAUUUUACCACAUCAUCUUUGCAUACGACUAUACAUUCUGCCGACAGUAGAUAGUGUCUGAGUUUGGUGCACGAGAAGUAAAGACACAAACACAAACGCUCUACUGGAGGAUAUCUUGUUUCGGCAUCCAGGAGUCUUCUACUAACGUAAUAAAUCACCCGUUCUUUGCCUUCAAACUCUUGGACUAGAGCCGACCCAAUAGCUUUUUCAUCGGCUGAUAAAUAUAGUUUAAACGGCUUACCCGUUUGAGGGGGAACCAGGACUGGGGGUGAGACCAAGUAUCGCUUGAUAUCCUCUAACGCCUUGCGUUGUUCUUCUCCCCAUAUAAAUUCCUGGUCUGGCUUCAACUUCAGAAGUGGUGUGAACGCCUGAAUCCGUCCAGAUAGAUUAGAUAUAAACCUUCUGAUGAAGUUUACCUUGCCGAUUAGAGACUGUAAUUCAGUUUUGUUCUGUGGAGCGACGACUUUGUUGAUGGCUGCUAUGGUCUUCUGAUUGACUUCAAUGCCUCGUUCGUGCACCAUGAAUCCUAGGAACUGUCCGGCGGAGACGCCGAAAGCGCAUUUGUUGGGAUUCAUCUUAAGACCAUGUUUCUUGGUACACUCUAGGACCUUUCGCAAAUCGGCUAGGUGUUCCUCGUGGCUUUUGGAUUUGACCACAACGUCGUCGAUGUAGAUCUCCACCAGGAGGCCGAUGAGUUUGUGGAAAAUAUAGUUCAUGGUCCUCUGAUACGUAGCGCCAGCAUUCUUCAAACCGAAAGUCAUCACCACCCACUCGAAUAGACCAAGAUGGCCUGGACAUCUGAAAGCCGUUUUGGGUAUGUCCUCUUCGGCCAUAAGUAUUUGAUUGUAUCCGGCGUUCCCAUCCAUGAAGCUAAUAAUUUUGUGCCCCGCGGCAGCGUCGAUCAGUACAUCGGCCGUAGGCAUGGGGUAACCAUCCAUCGGUGUGGCCUGAUUGAGAUUUCUGAAAUCAACGCAGACGCGCAGCUUCCCGUUUUUCUUGUACACCGGUACGAUAUUAGAAAUCCACUCGGCAUAACGACAUUGCCGAAUAAAUUUUGCUUCAAUUAGCCGAGUUAUUUCGGCUUUUAUGUCUGGUAAAAUUUUAGGAUUGCAUCGCCGUGCGGGUUGUUGGUACGGCCGAUACCCUGGCUUUAUGGGUAGCCGAUGUUCAACAAUAGACCGAUCUAAUCCGGGCAUCUCGUGAUACUCCCAAGCAAAACAAUCCUUGAAUUCUCUUAAUAAAUUUGUCAAUUUACACUUGUACUCCGGAUCUAAAGUUGCACUAAUAAAAGUCGGCCUUGGUUUGGUCCCGUCACCUAAAUCUACCAUCUCCAAUGAAUCGGCCGACGUGAAUCCGUGUCCCAGCUUCCCGUCUUCUCGGGCGAACUGAUCCAUUUAUUGCGCUUCUUCGGAGCCGACUGCUCGGAUCGGCUGUAGGCCAAAAUCGGUGACCUUUAGGAAAUCGGUUUCCCACGCCCUACCUGAUAUGCACCUAACGGUUUCGCAGCUCCACUGCUGUGCGUCGGCUGCUGCGAUGCUGUACGCGGAGUCGGCUUUGACCACCUCGAUGUUAUCACCGACCCAUUGCACAAGGCAUUGAUGCAUAGUUGACGGGAUGCAGCAGUUUGCGUGUAUCCAGUCUCGGCCAAGAAGCAUAUUAUAGGACCCUUUGCCAUUGAUGACGAAAAAUGUGGUAGGAAGGGUCUUACUGCCGAUAGUGAGGUCGACGCAGAGAGCACCGCGAGCGUUUGACACCUUGCCUUCGAAGUCCUUGAGCAUCAUGUCCGUCCUGGUCAGGUCGUCGUCGCUCUUUCCCAGCUUUCGGAGUACGGCAUACGGCAUGAUAUUGACGGCAGCUCCCCCGUCGACCAUCAAUCUGGUGAGGGGGCGACCGUCAACAUGCCCUUUAAGGAACAGUGCCUUCAUAUGUUGACGUUCGUCGUCUUCGGGCUUUUCGAACGUGGCCAUCAUUGGUUCUAAAACCAAUCGUGCUGUUCGUUCCUCUAUCGCCGACACGUCCUGUUGAUCGGCAGGGGUCAUGAAUUCCAUCGGCAAUAUGAAAACCAUACCGAUUUCGGCUGCCGAUUCAUCGCCCACCGACUCAUCGUUGCCGUUGUUGUUUCCUUUGGGGCGCCAUACCCGAGGCCUUCCUUCCUUCUUGUCCAUCGCGCUCUCUUCUUCUUGCUGCUCCCAUUGGCGAAGGCGUUGGACUCUUCGUUUUUGUGAUUUGGUUAAACCAUCGGGACACCACCUGGGGUUUAUUGGCCUCCCUUCUUUCCUGGCGCGUUCCCAUUCUGGCUCGCGUCCUAACGGGUUCUCGUCUGUUACCCGAGCAUCGGCCAUGUCUUGGAGCCGACUGUGAACGCUGGCUUUGCUAUUUGAUUGAUCGUGUCGGUCGGUCCUGCCCCCCUGCCUAUUAUGGCUUCCACUUUCUGACCGGUCAUAUCGGUCACUUCUGCCCCCCAGCCGAUCACGCAUGGAAGGGCGCUGAUCAUCUGGGUUGCGCCGAUUCCUGCUGAUCGAUUCUGGCCUCCCAUCUCUGGAGCGAGACCUGGUGAACGGCCGAUUGCUUCGAUAGGGACCGUUACACUCUGGGCAAGUAUCGGCCGAUGGUAGUCUGAGGUUAUUUUCCCAACAAUGGAUGAAGAAUGGGCAUCUCCAGUGUUCCUCGUGCCGCCGCAUCGCUUCCUCUCGGGACCUCGAACGUUCAUGUUGGCGUUGGUACUUUUGGAGCAGGAACUGGGAAGUAAUGCGUGGUCCUUCUGACUCACCAUCAUCGGUCUCCAUUCGUCGUUUUCCCUUGACAUCCUCAGACGUGACUUGAUUUCUGGGAUCGACGGCACCACUCCUUUUUGCCGAUUCGGAUGUCAGCACUUUUGUCUGGGGGGGAUUUUUACCCGUAUCCACCAUGUUGGUAGGAAAAGGAUGCUGAUCAAUCUUCAUUGGUUUGGCCGGUUUUGCCGGCACUUCAAAUUUAAGUCUGCCCUGCUCAAUGGCCGACUGUAUUUGUUGCCUGAAGAUUUUGCACUCGUUGGUAUCGUGUGACGUGGCAUUGUGCCACUUGCAAUACUUCAUCUUCUUCAAUUGUUCGGCAGAAGGUAUCGUGUGGUAAGGCGAGAGUUUAAUCUGCCCUUCCUGGAGUAGAAGAUCGAAGAUUUUGUCCGCUUUAGUUGUAUCGAAACCAAAUGCUUCCGGCUCCUUCUUGCCGAACGGGCAAGAUAUCGGCUUCUUUCCCUUAAUCCACUCUGCAAGUCCGAUGUCGGCAUCUUCCUCAUCCUCUACUUCUUCCAAGAAUGCCACUUUCUUCUGGAAAUUCCUUCUUGGAUCAAAUGUACGCACCUCUUGCCCGGACAAUCGGUGUACGAUCUGGCUCAGGCUCUCGAACUCUUGUGAAGCAUAUUUUUCUUUAAUGUGUGGCAGCAGGCCUUGAAAAGCUAUAUCGGCCAACUGUGCAUCGGUUAGAGCCAGGGAGUAGCAUUUGUUUCUGAUUUCCCGAAACCUCUGUAUGUACGAGGGUAUCGGCUCAUCACUUCGUUGCCGGAGGCUAGUCAAAUCAGACAGCUUCAUUUCAUGGACUCCAGCAUAGAAGUAUUUGUGGAACUGCCUUUCUAGAUCGGCCCAUGUGAUAAUCGAGUUUGGUGGCAAAGUGGUGAACCAUUGGAAGGCCGAUCCAGACAAAGAUGACGAGAACAACCGUACCCGUAAUGCAUCUUGAGUAGCUGCCUCUCCGCAUUGGAUGAUGAAUCUAUUCACAUGUUCCACAGUAGAGGUAUCAUCCAUCCCCGAAAAUUUGGUAAAAUCAGGAACUUUGUACCGAUGGGGAAACGGCAACAAGUCAUACGUAGAUGGAUAUGGCGUCCUGUAGGUAUAAGUUUGUACUUUCGGCUUCAGGCCGAAUUGUUCUUGCAUUACCUCCGCGAUUUGCGCCGUCCAAUCCGGUUGUUGUUGGGGAAUAAUUGGCGGUGGAAUCGGCACAUGUGGAUAAAUCGGAGGUUGAAUAAAAGGAGGUUGAUGAAAAGGUGGUAUCUGAGUAUAAGCCGGCGGUGUAGUAAAGGACGGCUGCUUGUAGGCGCCACUCGUUUCAUCAUAUAGCGUGAGCUCUGACGUCUUGUUGACCUCCGGAGCGAUAGGCUGGUAUGGUGGUAUGAUCGGCCGUGUGGCCGUUUGUGAGGGUGUCUGGAACGGAGGAUUUCCUUGGCUGACCGAUUGAUUCAAACCGGUCGUAUUUAAGGGUGCCCCCCAGGGUAAAGGGAUGACUGGAGGGAGUGGUGCAGUGGACGGCUGGAUGGGGCCGUAUCCCAAAGGAGUUGAUGACGUGGAAGCACCGGACCCUCCGACAGAGGAUUGGAUCGGCUGUGAAGUCUGAUAAGCCUGAUUUGGUGGAAUCGGCUGAAAAUACGUAGGCCCCCUGUACCCCUGUGGUAUACCUCCGGCGAAGGAGUUGACAACAGCAUUGUGCACCAUGUUUGAAAGUACCGGGGAUUGGUUGAUGAAGGCGUGAUGAAGAGAUUGUUGAAUCAUAUCGGACAUUUUGUCCGAAUCUUCUGAAAUCGUGAUCUGGCGGGGAGUAGGGAAAGGAGACUUUUUAACAGUUUCCCCGCUCCUGGAACGACUGAAGGAUUUCAAGCAAGUUUUCCAGACUUGCUCCAAAUACUGAUUCAGAUCUUCUUUUUGGUCGUCCUUUAGAUCUGCUUCCGUCACUUCGAUGACGUUAUCUUCGGAGACUUCAGCAGCUUUCGACAUUGCGGCGGUUGUAAUGGUCCCACUGGGCGUGCCAAAAGUGUGUUGGCGCUAGAAAUCGGUCAACCGAACCCCAGCGACCGACACACGACCCGGGAGAAUCUGCUUAGCUCCUGUUCGGGUGAAUGCCCUGGUGCGGUUCGCGCGGCGUGCCAGCCAAUCUGACCUGUUGAUUGGCAAGGAAUAACACGUGUCAAAUUCAGUAACCACGAUCGGCUAAGUUUCCGAUCGAGAUAGCUUAUCGGCAGAUCGGCCGAUUUACUGUGAUGAUGAAAUCGGCUAUAAGACAGCACGAUCCCCGUAGCUUCGUAAACAGAUAAAUACUGAAGCAAUCGGUACAAAGCUUAUGAAAACAGUACUAGGAAAAGAUCUAAUCGGCAACGAAUGGAUCUGACUACAGAAAGCAACGAAAGCCGAUACUACCGAUUCCUAGCAGGAUAACUGAUGAUAAAAACUAGAAAAACAGGUAAAAACCUAUGAAUCUAAUUGAUAUCGAUAACUGAUGAAUAAAUCUAAACGAAACGACAGCGAUGCGCCAGAAGUUAAAGCUUAGAUAUUACUCGAUAAACGGAACUUACAGAAUCGGCCGGAUAUCAAGAUGAUGCAGCCCUGCCAACCCGCACGAACUCGUGAGAAGGAAAAGUAAUGGCGAAGUCGCCUGCUUGACAGUAAGUACGAAGAAUAAAGUAACUUGUUGUAUUGAUUGAUUGUUGUGUUUACAGAUUUACAAAGGUAGCUAUUUAUAGCCCCGUACACAUAAUCUUCUUAACCGACUAGAACUCUAUCUCUAAUUCAAACAGAAAACAAACAUCUACCAGCACAAUCCGUGCUAAACCAACUACCCCACACUUCGUGGGCUGAACUCCACCUUAUCCCUCCAUUUUUCCAAGCCCAUACAGGCCCACCUUAAUCCACCUUCCUGAUCGGCCGAUUUCUUAUCAGCAAAGGAUUGCCGAUUGGGAACCCGGCGUAUUCACUCUGAAGCGAGUAAAAGCCACUUGACCGAUUCCGCACUGUAGCACCUUUUGGCCGAUUCCCAUCCGAACCCCUUCAAUCUCUUUCUUCUUUGGCGCCGAUUCUACUGAUGACGAAAUCCGGCGUCAACAAUAUGAUUCCAAAUUACCUAUUUAUGUCAUUGUUAAUAUAAAAAUACUAAGUUAAAGUAUAUACAUAUGAUGAGUGCCACCAUUUAGACCAUUUAUGCAUAUACAUGCGAAAUCGAUGAAAAACAUUGAUUUGUAUGCUAAACAUAAUGUAUGGAGGAUUGGAGGUGUGAUACAAAAUGGAAAAAGUAUGAAUAUGGAUGAAAAAGUGCAUAGAGUAAUUAUUAAUUAAAAAUCAAUCACGACUGGACAAAGAUAGGUAUAUAAGUAUUAUGUUGAAGUAUUGAAAAAAUAAGAGAGCAGUAGGUAAACAAUUUUGAUUAUUAGCUAAGAGUUUAAUUUCUAAAUAAUUUUCAAUAAAAUAGCUUCUAAAAAUAUUAGCCCGUGCGGGAGCACGGGUUGAUGAACUAGUUAAAAUAAAAGAGAAUAGCUCAUUUUUCCUCAUUAUUAUCACCCUAUGUUGAUUCAGAGCGAGUUGCUAAGCUCUUGAGAUGACUUCGUAGAGCCUCUCAAUUGACAGAGGCAUCGCAUCUGUUCAUCCGUGUACAUAUAUAUAUGCAACUCACAGUCACAGCACAGCAUACAUGUAACCGGUGACUACCGACGCAUGAUCAGUUGAUCCCUGCGCACUCUCGGUCAAGACCUGCGAAAGCGCGUAUCAAACGACUCAGAGCCACCUGUUGAGGUACUCGUCGACCGUGGUGUACUUGACGUCGGGGUACAGCUCGCUUGCGUCCACCCCUGACGAUGGGUCGAUCUCGAACUCGUGUUCCCCCUUGAUGUGCACCGCGUGCCCGAUUGACAGUAGGAUGCUGUUCAGCGGGAUUGGAUCUUCUGCAGAAUUCAUAACCCCAUUCAUAUCAUAUAACAGUUCAUCUUCCACAGUUAUAUACAUACAAAAAACUAGUCUAUAGCCGGAGGAAUCCGGUCAGGUGGCAAGCAAGGUGUCUGACCUUGGAUCUGCUUGAGCACGGCGUCCUCGUCGAGAUGCACCCGCUCGAACGCCCUGCCGGUCUUCCUCUCCCAGACCGCCAGGAGCUCGUUGUGCGACAGCGUGUUGGCCGGCGGCCUGAUGUACAGCGUCCUGUUCUCGGCGCGCGGGUCGUCGGCGGCCAUCACCGUGUACGUCCCGAUGUCCCCCUCGUCGACGUAGGACACCUUGCUGCCGCCUUCCCCGAGGACGACGGCGGGCUUGUCGACGGGGGGUGACUGGGACAGGACCUGCCCGAUGCCGGGCAGCCCGUAGCCGAAGAAGUAGCCCGUCCACGCGUACGUGUAGGGGACGCCGGCGGCCUCGACGGCGCGGCGGACCGCCGCCUUGGGGUUGAUGAUCAGGGACCUGAUCGGCUCCACGGCGCCCGAGCGGUCGGCGUCCAGGCCGAACUCCGAUGGGAAGAACCUCUGCAUAUGUAGUGUACACAUAGCCGUGUGUAUGAAGAAUCCAUCGAUCAGACUAACAACAAACUAAGAUGUUGCUAGAAGUUAGUGUGGUUGAUUUCUCUUUAUCACCGUCGAAAACACUGAAUUUCGCCAAAUCAUCUGAAAUUUUGGGGAAUUUUCGUAUUUUCCGAGGGAUGAAUGAUAUCUUCCAUCCAAUACCCAAAAAAAAGUGUGAAAUUUUAAACCCUGAAUACGUCCGCAAGAACACACCGCUAGCGAAUUUUCCAAUCGACGUACCUUGACGUUGCCGGUCUCCUUGAUGGCGUUGAUGAGCCUGGUCUGGUCGGCGAUCUGCCGUACCCCGACCGUGGAGAUGACCACGUCCGCGGCCUUGACGGCGCUCACCAAGCUGGCGUGGUCGCCCAGGUCGCCCUUGAGGAGCGUGACGCCGGCGUCCUGGAAGCUCUUGAGCAGCGCCGCCUUGGCCGCGUCGGAGGGCGCCGUGUCCCUGACGAGCGCCAAGGUCGGGUGCCCCAGCCGCGCGCUCGCCGCGACGACGUGCCUGCCCAGGUACCCCGUGGCGCCGACCACCAGGAUCUUACUCUUCUCCGACGCCAUCCUGGCUCGUGAACUGGAUGCCUCGAUUGGUUAAUGGCAGUCGUGGUCUGGCGAGGUGGAGCCGUGGAGGAAGAAGAUUGCAGGAGCGAGAGUGCGAGACUGGUCACCUCACUUGUGGCAGUCUUGCUCUGCGUCACUCGUGGCUUCGUGAGAUCAGAUGGCGACAGACAGAGCAGGCCAGUGCAGGCCCAGGGCGAAUGCCUGCGAUUUUUUUUUAUUGACGCCUUCAUUUUUCUGUACUUGUCGUUUUUCUAGUGCGCCUGGACCGCUAGACGGUAGUCUUGUAGAGGCGAAGGUCGUUUUCUGCUCAUGAAGUCAUGGGUGAUUAGUUGAUGUUUACGACAGCAGGACAUAAGAUGCCCGUCAAUUUGACUGUCCAAAAGGUCAGCUAAUAAUUCCGACCAAGGGGUUCAGUAUUUUGUUUGGUCAAAGGAGUUGAAGGAGUUCAAGGUUUUAGCUUUUAACUGAUGGGAGCAUCCGUUAGUUAGAGCAAGUACGUUGGUGUCGUCUAAUAGGUGGUCUCAUGCAUUGACACGUAAUCUUGAGACGAUUCAACAGGCAACCCGUACAAUGGGUUGUCCUAUAAGUUGUCUGGUAGUGGUAUAUAAUUCCUUAAUUUGUGCAUAAGAAAAAUAAAAUAUUAUGAGUUGCAUGGCAACAAUAACUCGUACAAUGGUUGUUAAGUUGUCUCGUAGUCCUACAAUUUAGCUCAUGAGGUGGUUGUUUCGCGAAGCAACGACCUCUUUCUCUCUCCUCGCUCUUCUCCUCCACAUCAUCAAAAAUCCUACGUGGCACUGCAUGAGAUGACCUAUAAGACCGUUGACGUGUAGCAAUGUACUUGCCCUUAGGCCCUCCUCUAGUCCAUGGACUAAAGUUUAAUCCAUUAACUAAAUUUUAGUCACACCCUUGUUCGGUUCCAUGGACUAAAAUGGACUGAAGUCCAUAAAUGCUGUUAAACAAAGAUCCUUUUACCCUUCUUCCCUACUCCUUGGUACCCCUACGCCUACUCAUUCCUGGCACAAAACCAACCCAAAGCGUCCGAUUUAGAAGCGGCCGGAGCCGGAGAUGUGGGCCGUCGCUGGAUCUGCGGGUGCCUUCUCCUCCAUCCCCGUGGCCGGCAGCAUCGUCCCCCAAUCAAUCCGGCCCCCGACGAGCUACCACCACCACCGAUGAUGGCAGGCGAGCACAGCAAUCAGCAGCGGCUGGGGUCGCCACCGGUGGUGGCACGCUCCUCAACCCAUCGCGGUCGGGCCCCACCAUUAUCUGCACCUAAUCUAUUCGGGGGCGACAGCGGCGACUGGCGAUGGCGUCCGCUCUCUCCUCCUCUGCUGUUGUGGGGUGCUGCGCUGGAAGGGAGGGCGGCGGGUGGUGACAGGCGGCGGGAUGGAGGGUGGCGGGUGGUGACGGCGGUGGGUGGGAGGGAGGCCGGGUGGGAGGGAGGCGGUAGGCGGCGACAGGUGACAAGAGGGAGGGCAGCGGGCGGGAGGGACGGCGGCGGGCGGUGACGGCGACGGGCGGGAGGGAGGCCAGGUGGGAGGGAGGCGGCGGGCGGGAGGGAGUUGGGUGGGAGGGGCCAGUAAAUGAGGGGUAGGGGUGUCCCUAACACUCUUUAGUCCAUUUUAGUCCAGUUUUGUGGACUAAAGGACUAAAGGCUUUAGUCCUACUUUUAGUCCAAGUGUUUGGGUGUUUAGUCCAACUAAAGUGCACAUUUUAGUCCAAAUUUUAGUUCAUGGUGGGAACCAAACACCUGAACAUACUAGAAUCUGUUAAACUAACAACUCACUGGCUGCAGCGUAUAUAGACAAUCACAAUACCUUAGUUUUCUCACACACUUUCAGUAAAAUCAAUAGUAGUUCAGCAGGCAAGAAUAAGCGUGUGUUUGGAUUGAGGGUCGAAGUAGGUUGGGAUAGGUUCGACCUACUUUGACCCAUGUGUUAGUUGGAAAGUCAUGUGGGUUGGGUCGAACCUAGUAGGGAAUAUUCCUUGUAGAUGCGGGUUCGUCUCGUCCGCCCAGAACGUGCGGACCGCGUCGACCCACUUUGUUCCCCUCGCAUGCCGUCUGACUCCAUUCGUGGGGAUGGGCUCCAAGUGUGGUGGGCUACCGUGCAGACGCAGUGUGGAGGCGAAUCCAGCGGAGCAAGACCGUGCGGGCCCCGUGGCAUGGAAGCGUCGGCCGGCGGAGGAAGGGCCACCCCAGGGAGCUCCGUCGCCGACCGCCCUAGGGAAGCUCCGUGGCCAGCCGUCCCAGGGAGCUUCACCGCCGGCCGGCUGAGGGUUCCGCCCAGGGGAGCUUCGCUCGCUAGCUGGGGCUGGGAGACAGGCGACGGCGGUCGGAGCGAUAGGGAGAGGGUAGGUGAGUGGUGGGCGGCACAACGCAGGGGAAGAGGCUGGCCAGGGCUAAGCGAUGGGCGAGCGGCGAGGAGAGGCUUGGGCGUAGGGAGGCUUCGGGUGCUUGACUGCUUGGCCCAACUAGAGGAAGAAGAUAAGGUGCUGGAAAAAAAUAAAGAAUGACAGAUGGGACCCACAUCUGACAGGUGGGAUCUGCUAGUAACCGAUGCUAACGGUGUUAAAGAGGACAUCUUCCAUCCCUCUCAACCCCUCCAACCAAACAAAAAAUUGGAACGGACCCAUCCCUCCAAACCAAACAAGAUAUAGGAUGAACCCAACCCAGAAAAGUGGGUUGGACCCAAUCUAUUCCAUUUCAUCCUAAAACCAAACACACGCCAAGAUGGUGACUUGAUCAUUUGGAACCACAGUUCAGAAGUCAAGAGUGACAGUGACUUGUGGCAUUGCAGAAUAGUACUCCAUCCGUCCUAAAUUGCAGGUCGUUUUGGCUUUUCUAAUUGCAUAGGUGUUUGUAUGCACCUAAAUAUAGUGUAUGUCUAGAUGCAUACAAACAUCUAUAAACUAAAAAAUUCAAAAUGACCUACAAUUUGAAAUGGAGGGAAUAUGUAUUACUGGUUUCUUUAAUUUUUGAGUGUAACAACAGAGUGAACCUCAGAAAACAAAGCACAAGCACUCCAUCUCAGCCUUCUCAGGUUGAGUAGAUCCAUCGGCUGGAAACUGAUCCUAAUUGGCGUUACAAAUGUCAAUUCUCCUUUUACGGGAUAACUGAAUAAUCCACAUUUGCACACUAUCUUGAGACUUUUUUAACCUAUUGCUUGAUGUAUACAUAUCAACGUAUGUACGUAUAUGAGAAAAUAAAUCUCGAUUUCGACAUGAGUCCUAGCUAGUGCAAUUGAAAAAAAAUAUGGGAAGUGCUAGCGCCCGGACAUCCGAUAAUUUUUUUUAUCGGACGCUCCGUCGCAACAUUAAAAAAUAACUAUCAAAACAUCAAAACUAAAUACUUGCAACAACAAGGAUUGCAACACCUUUAUGUGCAUGAAACAUCACAAACCGCUUCGUGCAACAUUCAAAACAGACAUAUUGCAAUAAAAAAAAGUAUCUCUUACAGCAUUGCAACAACGUAAAGAAGAAGAGACCGAAACAAAGAAAACAACUAUAUGCAACAUCAUGAACAAGUUGGUGCAACAUCCGAUUGCUGGCAAAUCAGACUAUUGCAAAACAGAUGAAACAUCAAAAGCCACCGUUGCAACAUCCAAAAAUAACCAUUGCAACACCAUGAGGUACCUAUUGCAACACUCAGAUCCACGACAAACAGCCUGCCCGUUGUCGGCCGAAGGAGAGGAGAUGCUGCCGGAUCUGAGGAGGCUGCCGCCGGCAGGGGAGGGUCAGGGGCUUGCUCAGAUCUCGCCGGGGUCGGGAAGAGGGCCACUGGAUCCGAGGGCGUUGGGCGCUCCCGGUGGGUUGAGGACGCCAGAGUGGGGGGAGGGGCGCCGCCUGGGUGGGGGACGAGUCCGCCGGGGUGGAAGAGCGCGACGCCGUUGAGGUGGGGAGGAGGACGCCGGCAUGGGGCGCGGGUGGGGGACGAGGCCGCCGGGUGGGGGAGCGCGACGCCGUCGAGGUGGGCAAGGAGGACGCCGGUGUGGGGCACGGGUGGGAGAUAAGGCCGCCGGAGUGGAGGAGGAGGACACCGGGGUGGAAGGUUGAAGAAGAAAGAGGAUGGGGAAGAAAAAGAACUGUGGGAAUGGAUAGGAAGCGGAAGGGAGCGGAACAACGUCCGACACGUCCGGACGCUCGGACGGUAGCGUUUCCGAAAAAAAUAUAUAGCAUCUCUUUAUUCCACGCUUGAGCCCAAUAAAGUUUUCGUGCGAAGGGAAGAAUUGAAUUGUAAGUGACAUGUGCACGUUUCCUCACCAAAGGUCCACAAAAGUAGCUAGGUACCUCGAUCACACACAGACAGCACCCUGAACGCAUGAUCAUCUCCAUAUCAAAGACCGUACACAUCCAUUACAAUCAGAGCAACCUGUUGAGAUAGUCAUCGACGGUGGUGUACUUCACGUCUGGGUAGAGCUCGCUCGCGUCCACCCCUGACGAUGGAUCGACCUCCAGCUUGCUCUGCUCCCCCUGGAUGUGCGUCGCGUGCCCGAUCGACAGUAUGAAGUUCAGUGGAAACGAAGCCUCUGCGGCCGAUCGAAUCGUCAACCACUCAUAUAGGAGUAACACAUAUCAGUUCAAAUUUCAGCACAGAGAAGUGAGAAGCCAUGUUGUUCUAGAAAGAAAGCUUCUUAUUACCUGGGUUCUCCUUGAGCACGGCGUCCUCGGCGACGUGCACCCGCUCGAACGCCCUGCCGGUCUUCCCCUCCCACAUCGGCAGGAGCUCGUCGUGCGACAGCGUGUUGGCCGGCGGCCUGAUGUGCAGCGUCCUGUUCUCGGCGCGGGGGUCGCUGGCGGCGAGCACCGUGUAUGCCGCGAUGUCCGCCUCGUCCACGAACACCACCCCCGUGUCGCCGUCGCCGAGGACGAGGGCCUUGUCGACCGGGGGUGACUGGGACAGGACCUGCCCGAUGCUGGGCAGCCCGUAGCCGAAGAAUUAGCCGGCCAGCACGUGGGGACGCCCGCGGCCUCGACGGCGCGGCGGAUCGCCGCCUUGCUCGCGUUGAUGAGGGACCUCGUCGGCUCCACCGCGUCCGAGCGGUCGGCGUCCAGGCCGAACUCCGACGGGAAGAACCUCUGCGUCUGUGUACGAUCCGAUCGAUCAGACGAGCAGCAAACAUUCAUCUAGCGAAUUUUCCGGCAGGGUCGAUGCGUGUACCUUGACGUUGCCGGCCUCCUUGAUGGCGGCGGCGAGCUUGGUCUGGUCGGGGAUCUGCAUGAUUCCGACCGUGGAGAUGACCACGUCCGCGAGCUUGACGGCGCUUACCAGGCCGGCGUGGUCGUCCAGGUCGCCCUUGAGGAGCGUGACGCCGGCGUCCUGGAAGCUCUUGAGCAGCGCCGCCUUGGCCGCGUCGGACGGCGCCGUGUCCCUGACGAGCGCCAAGGUCGGGUGGCCCAGCCGCGCGCUCGCCGCGACGACGUGCCAGCCCAGGUACCCCGUGCCGCCGACCACCAGGAUCCUGCUCUUCUCGGCAGCCAUGUCGAUCCAUGCUUUGGACACUGAUCGCCCGGCUGCGACGCAGUGUCCCAAACUGGCCUUGUAUAUUCUUCCUCAGUACUCACUGUGUCGGAUAGAAGUUGAAAUAUGCUUGCACAUCGCCUUCGCAGCGUCACUCGUGAGAUCAAAUGGCCAGGCAGCGUCACUCGUGAGGUCAAAGGGCAACAAAGCAAGCCAAUGCAGCGAGCGCCGGCAAUUUUUGUUUUAUUGUAUAUCCCCACUUGAAAUUAUCUAUUCUACCCACUCCAGUCACUGAUAUAAAACGGUUUAGGAAACUUGCAUAGCGCGGUUGAUCAUCGAUUUGCGUAAAAGUUUGUUAUCGUAAACAGAAAGUUUUAUAUGUUAUGAAAUUGCAUUUUAGGAUGAAUCUUGUAGCAUCAAACUUGGGGUAUUUUUAAGUAUUCAUGAUGAAAGCUAAGCAAAACAUACUUAUUUGUGUGAUCGGAUAAAGUAGUAGUUUCAAGUACCUGGUUAGAGAUUGUGAAAAACAGUUUGUAAAUCUUAGAUUGUGGAAAGUCGAGGCUUCAAAAGCUGGCAGUUGUUUGGCAAAAUGGAUUGUAGCUUAUGAUCAUUUUCUUUUCUCUUACUUACAUGUGAGCACAAAUGACACGUUGGGUGAAUAUUUGUGCCAUACUCUAACAAAAGCUGGGGGGGGGGGGGGGGGGGGGGGGGGGGGGAGGGAAUAUAUUAUUGGAUUGCACAAUCCUAUCUAUUGCGCAUUCUAGAAUUAAAUUUUGGUCAUUUUCGUUUAUGUUAGGGCUUAUAAACAAAGCCUUUAGUGGACCUGGACGCCAAACUGGCAAACUGCCAUAGUGCCCUGCCGUCCGGAAUUAACUGCCAUCCUUUCCGGCCAAGUGGAACACAGAAACACGCCCAAGUUCAGGUCAGCAAUUAAGGCGCUUGUGUGAUCAUAGACUUAUUGGUAGUUAGGGCACGUUUGGAUUGCGCCAAUGUCUUCUUUGCCAAAGCGAGGGCUUAUUUGGUGCAGGAAUUCGCCGUCAUCAUUUUGCCGUUGUGAAAUAAAAUUAGCCAUCGAUAAUGGCCUAAUAAACUUCCAUUAAAGAUUGACUUUUUUCCAUUUGAAAUAUGUAGGCGGAGUAUUUGGUUUCAAAACAUAGGUCGUUUUAAUCUUGUAUGAAGUCAAAUUUCUCUAACUGCAUUUAGAAAUAUAUAUAUAUAUAUAUAUAUAUAUAUAUAUUGACAUUUACAAUACUAAAUAAGUGCACUAUCAAGAUAUAUUUCAUUGUGGAUUUAAUUAAACAAAUUUAAAGUUGUAGAUGUUGAUGCAUUAUUAUAAAAAUGGUGAAAUAGAUAAGUAUGAAUAAUUGGGAAUGCAGGGAGUAUUCGACUUGAGCCUAUUAUAGUACUUGAAUUUAUAUUCUGCUUGGAUUUUAAUUGAGAUCAUGAAUGUGAUGCAAUUUUAAAUGGUGGUGAAUAAUGAAUGAGGUACCUACGAACAACUCGGUUGGUUAGGUUCCUUGUGGAGGAACAUGUUCACGUGAGUUCAAUUCUUCGAUUCAACAUGACUACUCGUAUUUUUAUGAAUUUAUAUUAGAAACUAACGGUUGUUCUUUCUCUUUCAAUACUAGAAGACAUGACCGUGGACACUGUCAUGGUGACUUCGUCAUGAUCUAAAUUCUUGGAGGUACUCAAAAUGAUAGGUUUGUCUGCAUGUAUUCUCUAUAAGUGUGCUCAAGAUGUUAAAUUUGAAGUAUUUGUAUGCAUAGUAAUAAGUUCAGGUUUAACCUAUUUAGUCCAUAGGAAGCUCUUGGUGGGGUGCGCGGGAUACUAUUGCUUGUUGGAUUCUGUACACUCACGGCUAGUUGGAAAUUUGAAUUAGUGCAUUAGCUAGAAGCUUGAGUGAUGAAAAUUUUUGAGGCACCGGAGAACUAGGUGGAUUUAAAAUUUGGCGGAUCUUUUCCAACUCUUAGUUUCCACUCAUUCAUUUAAGGUCUCUUAUCACCUGGUUACAUUCAUAGCCAUAUUCUAAGGUCAAAAGAAAGCUUUGCAAUAUGAUAAACAUAUUUAUGUGACCCAUUGUGUCUUCACAUAUCUCUUCACCUCUUUAGUACUUCCAAAAGCCAUCCAUGUCCAUGGUGCCCAUAGACUCCAGGGUUGCAGACACCAUAGACGAUAUAUCCAUGGCAUUGGUCUGGUGAAGGCUCAUCCCAACAUCUUUCUGAGACAAGAUCGAUGAAGCCUCGCUCUGCGGUGCAGCCAUGAAGGUGCUGGCACUUGCUGUUCCUAUGCCCAACUGGUGGGAGAAGGGCAUCGGUGGCGGAACGGCCAUCAUGUUCCCAAACAAAGCACUGUUCAUCUGAAGCAUGUCGUUGCCCGUGCCUGCAGUAAUAGGUGGAAUCACGGGUGACAACGACGAGGAGCUCACACCAGCAAUGGAGUAGUAGGACCCCACCGGGUCCAUGGUGAAGUUCGGUAGCAUAGGAAGUUGCAGCGGUGGGGGCAUGGGGAUGCUGCGUUGAUCAAUCCCACUAUCGACAAUAGCAUGAUUGUAUGGAGGUGGUGUAGGUGCCUUCUUUAUCCCUGUGGCCUUGCGGAACACACGACAAACCACCCACUCAUCCUGUGUAAAUUUCAAAUAUAAACCAGCGGAGAAAUUAGGUUAGGGUAAGCAAAAUAAGUAGUAUUGAUGCAUGUAUGCUAGUGCUACCGUCGCCUCGGAAGCUGAAGAUGAUUUCAUGGUGGUGGAGGUUGAGCUGGAUGAAGGGUGGGGGGACUUGUUGUUGCCUUCGAGCCUAUACUCGUGCAUGACCCAAGUGGUCUUUUGGCCCCUAGGGGCCCGUCCUGUGUAGAAGACGAGCGUCUUCUUCAUACCAAUGAGUACCCCUGUCAUGGCCCUGUAAAUCUCCUUAUCCUUGCCCGUGGCCUUCCAAUAACCGCCCUCUGUGGCACGGUUCAUCCUCAACCCCGUCCGAUACUUACGGUCCUUCUCGUAAAAGAAGUACCAUUCCUUUUCUCCUGUCUUCGCCUUGCCUGUACCAUGUAAUUCAAGGACUCAAUUCGCAACUCAUAAGCUUGUGUCAAUGGACCAAAUAAGAAGUACAGGUGUAAGCAAGCAUACCAGGGAGUUCACAUGGCUCGGUCCUUUUAAGGUCAACCUCUCCGAUGGCGAUGCAGGUGAAGCUCCUUUGCUCCACCUUGGGCUUAAGGUAGAAGGUGACGAUCUCUUCAUCGCUUGGGUAGAAGCGGAACCCCGGAGGCAACUCAAGGUCGUCGCCAACUCCUAUCCCAUGUGGUUGUUGGUGCUGGUCUCCCGUGGUUCCUUGAUCCUUAAGUGAUCAGAAUCACCAGUAUAUAAGCUAACCAAUCGACUAUACAAAGCAAAAUGAAUCUAUAUAGUACUGAAAAAAGAGUAGUAAACCAUACAUGUGCAAACAGUACUCCUUGAUCCGCCAUUCAGUCUCGAUCUGUCAAAACAGAGAUUGAGGCUGAGUUAUUGUGGUGCAAUUAGCUGGGGACUGUGGCAGCUUAAAUAGGCAGGAGGCGUGCGUGACAGCGUGAACAAGGAACUUGCAGCAGAAGCCUCUCUCCCACUCCCUGCUUUUACGGUGAUGUCAGUUUCUACUGGCAAUCGGCGUUUUCCCCUUUCCAUCUGUGCGACGCUUAUCCUCGCGUACCAUACGGUCCCUUUUGCACCGGGCUAGGUCUGCUGGCGACAGGUAUCCAGCAUCUCGAAGCUCUCUGGUUGCGUACCUACUGUGAUCCUCCUCCGGUUUGCCUGCCUCGGUUUGCGAUUUUAGUGAGGUAUGCAUUGCCAAUGCAUGCGAUCUCCGACCAUCGGUUUGCAUUAGUGUUAAAGCUGUAAUGCACAGCCAAGGGCCGGCCACUUGUCAUUAUGCGCGUGCUUUAGCAUGUGUUCAGGGUCUGCAAGGCCUUUGUGAUGCAAAGUAGACAGGCCAACACGAGUUUCUUGUUGUUCUUACAUCGGUUGUGGGCAUCCAUUUGGAAUAAGGCUAGUGACAAGUUGUCAUGAUGGGUAAGCAAUCAUUCCAACUGUCUUGCCGUUCAGUAUUAGAUGUAAAGAGUGUGUGGUGUGUUGGUCCUAUAUCAUUUGGUGCGUGAUUGUUGUUGUUGUUGUUGUGUAUCUAGGCAGUCGAUGCAUCUAUCUGUUGAAUAAUGUUCCGCUUGUGUCUAUCAUCACAUAGAAACCGAGCAUAUAUCGGUGUCAAACUGAGGUCCUCUUUGGCACGGCUUAUUUCGGCUUUGGCUUCAUCUAUUUCACGCAAAUCGAGAUACUGUAGCGUGAAGCCGUUUUGUAAGCCGGGACUAAAAUGAACUAGAAGCCAGAUAAAGCCAGUUUUUUUGACUUCACCGGUGAAGCUGUUUUGGGAUAAGCCGUGCCAAGGGGGUCUGAGUGUUGGAUAGUUGUCAAACUGGCAGGUGUCCCUCUUGCACCGGGCUAGGUCUGCGUGCCAGUUCUGGUAACCAUGGGUAGUUUGCCUAUUAGUAUUGAGCUAGGUUGGGCAAUCGGCGGCUACUCUUGAUUUGUGCAUCCAUAUAUGAGAUUUACUUUCCUUUUUUUCUAUUUUCACCGCCUAUGUGUGCUUUCUAGGCCGAGUGAAAUGGCACGAAGAUGCUAGAUUUACAAUUAAACGUAAAAGUUGUGGUCAUUCACAGUUUGUACAGUUAGGCGUGCACCAUUUAGCCCAUAAAACAUAAGGCAUGAGAAGCAGAUUAAGCCCAAGAUCGGUCGAGCCUCAGCCCAAUUUUGUUCAAGGGCUCCACUGACUUUUUGCGUGGCCAGACCCGCCCACCCCCCCACACCCCCCCCCCCCCCCCCCCCCCCCCCCCCCCACACACACACACACACCAUGCGGCGGGCCCCAGUGGCAGAAACAGCGUUUCUGCCCGCGCCCCCUCGCCGAAAUAUUUGAACGAAGCAAACAGAAAUUCCCCAUUCCCCAAAUCCGAACCCGUCUCCGGCGAGCCCAUCCCUUCGCCGCCUCAGACGCAAUGGGAGCGGAGAUGGAGCGGUCCAUCUUGUCUCUGUGCGCGUCCCUCUCGUCGGUGCUCGACCACGCCGACUCCUCCUCCCGCGAGCUCGCCGACGUCGUCUCCCGCCGCCCCAUCCACCUCGGUAACCACCACGCGCACCUCCCCUCCUUCCCAUACCCGUAUCCGGGGAUCCAGCGCUCCUACUCACGGCGGCGGGACUCGCAGAGUCGACGACGACCGCGUUCCUGCAGAAGCUGGACCGGCUGACGGAAGCGGCGAACGAGGACCUCGCGCACCUCGACUCCAUGACCUUCGGUGCUGUCUCCUUCGAGGAGCUCCUCGGCCACUGCGGCGAGGCGCUCAACGUCUACGCGCGCCACGCCGACGCCAUCGAGUCCCGCCUCGCCUCCUUCGGCUACGAGCCACCCAGUAACAGCGCUGAUCCCAUCGACUUCACUUCGUUUCCCAAGCUCUGCACUAUUUGUUUCGCGAUGUUGAGAACCGAUGUUGGUGCGCUCACGCAGAGGUGGAGCCUGAGGUGGAUACGGAGGUGCAAGAUGGUGAUAUCGGGAAGCUUGGGGACCCUGCGAGUGGCUGCUUCGGUGUGUCCAGUUCAUUGCUGAGGUCCAGUAAGGGGCGGUUCCGCGAUGACGAAGACCCACUGUAUCCUUCUCUUUGGUUUCAUUUGUUUGGAAAACUAUAGUUUCAGGGUGUCGCAUUCAUUUGUUUGGAAAACUAUAGUUUCAAGUGUUGCAUAUGAUAAAAAAAAAUUCGAACUAAUUGAAGGAGUAGCUGCUAGAUUCCAUCCCUAGGAGUUGUUUUGAGUUAUUUCUUUACUACUAAAUUACUAAUUAGAUUUGGUGAGUCACUGAAGAGUCUUGGGUUUUCGGAUGCUUGUCUAGCCACUCUUUCCUCUGAAGGUAUGCAAGGAAAUAUUUUGGUUGUCCCAGCUGGUUAAUUGCAUUAUGCUUGAAUUAGUAUUUCCUGUCAGAUGCUAAUUUUUGGUUUGAACAAUGAUACUUUUUUGGGAUUUUGCAGUCACGGAUAAUGGUGAAAACCUAAAGGAGCUUUACAAAGAUCCUGAAAGGUAAUAGAAAGAAUUACAUUCAUAUAUCUAGUAUAGUAUCUAUAGUUAUCUGCUUUCAGGUUUCCCUGCUGUUCUUUGUUUACAUCUAAUAUUUCUUUACUUAUUUUAAUCUUAUCUUAUAAUGAUGCAAUUUAUUUAUUUAAUGCUCUAUACUGUUCAGUGCUGAUGAGGGUAAAAAGAUCAUGAAGGAAGCUGAACUUAUAGCUCCCCAAAGUAAAAGAGAUAAUCAAGGUGAUCAGCAUGAAUGUCUUGGACAUUUUAAAGACAGGUCAAAUCUUACUCAUUCUGAAUUUUUUUUCCGCUGUUGAUUCCAUGAAGGUAAUUCUUUCAAAGAAAUGAUAAGGGCAUCAAAGGAGGAGUAUGAGCAACUUCCUCCUUACAUGAAGAGUCUAGCAUCAUGGGAGGUCUGAAUUUCUUUAUAACUACUUAACUUUUGUAAUUUUACCCAUAGUCCUUUAUGUGGAUACCGAUGGUUGCAAAAUCACAGCACAUAAUUCUUGAAAUUAGUAUAUUAUUUUACUUCUAAGAAAAUCAAUUGAAGACAAAUACUCUGCAACAUCUUCACUUCCUAUUUCCUCCAAGUUGUUGAUUUUAUUUUUCUGUCGUUGCAUUCUUGAUCAUGAAUGGACCUGUGGUUUUGUAACUCAUGAGCCAUGAAGAUAGUUAUGUUAUCCUAGAUUCCUAGUACCUCAAAGCAAUUUACUAUAUGAUAGCUUCGUCAUCCUAGACUCCUAGUCAUCUACCUCAAAGCAAUUUACUGUGAUGAUUUUUUCCGCUUUCUAUUGCAUCAGGAAUUGCAGGAGGGAAUAUCAAAACUAAAUUCAUACUUCGGUAGUGACGAAGCCAAGGGAAGCGUUUCGUUGAAUCAAGAUGAUGUUGGAGCAAUAGGGUUGGGUAUGUGCAGUUACUUUUCUUAGCCGAUUGAUUUGAAAGAUAUCAAAUGUUAUAGCACUCCGAACAAAAUCUUUUUGUCAGAUUGCUGCUCCAUUGACACAUGCUCUUGAUGAAUUUUCUGUUGUGGCUAACAUCUUUGUGGUGUUUCCAUUCUGCAUUUGUUCCCUCUAGGGCGCAAAGGAAGAGCCUGCUUGCUUAUGCUGCUCCGGCUGAAUCAAUUAACUAUGGAGGCAGUUGAUGGAUCUACCUUUUACACCCUACGCAAGAACAACUCGUAGUCUAUUUUUGGAACUCUGGGAGGUGCAUCGAAUUUGAAUAGUCGAUACUUGAUAGCCUGAUACUAAUAUAAGAGUGUUGUGUAUUAAGUUCUGGUUCAAAUCUUGUGUGUUGUUAAUGCAUACUCAAACUCAGUUGAAAAGGUGAAUUUGAUUGCACGAGCAGAAGCUCUUUGCUCGUGUUAUGUUUACUCUCUUUCUGCAUGCUUGUAUGACAAACAACAUAUGUGGCGGACUAACAUGGUCUUCGAUUUGGCACGGAUUCGUCGAUCCGACGAUAAGGCAUCCAGCGGCCCCGCGGCCUUUGCCAGGUCGAGCUAGAUUUUAUUCCCGCUGCCAAACGCGUAACCUUGCCGGGAACAAUAACGGCACUUGUUUCGUUUGGCCAAAAAGAACAAGGCAAGGUUCUAACUCAACGCAGACCAUAGUUUAUUCACGCUUUCAUUAACAAUAGCAGUUCAGCCAGCAAGACACUGACUCAUCUUGCCAUCACAGAAACGAACAGUGACUUGCGCUGGCUAAUGAUGCGCGUAGCAUACAUACAGCAACAUUCAUCCACACGUGAAGAAUGGUGGGAGGGUCGAAUGCACCAAUCUCGUAACUGAUUAAGGAAGGUGGCCGAGGUAUCAUCAACGGUUGUGUAGACGACAUCAGGAGGUGGCCUCCACACCAACCGCUGGAUCGAUGUCGAAGUUGCUCUGGUCACCCCUGGCGAAGAUUGAGAGCGCGAGGGACAGCAGUAUGUUCAGUGGAAACACAGCCUCUGCAUGAACAGAACAGGCAUCAAUCAUAAGAAAUUAAGAAGUCUCUAGACUGAUGUGUGCAUCAUAGGGCACGCAGGCAGGUAGAAGGUGUGCAGAUGAGAUGGGUGAAUCAAAUUCAAAUGCCCCAUGUGAGCAGUCAGCACCUUCGAUCCACUUCAGAAUUUCCUCCUCUGGGAGAUGCACCUUCUGCAAGGUCCUGCCGGCCUUCUUUUCCCACAUCGAAAUGAGCUCAUUGUGGGACACCACAUUCGUGGGCCGCCUCAUGUACAGGAUCUUGUUCAGGGUCCUCGCAUCAUCAACCACCCUCAUUGUGUAGGUGGCGAUGUCAUCUUUGAACACAAACACAGCUGCAUCAACAUGUGUGCAUCAACAAUCCAGGCAGCAUUGAUAUAUCUGCUCAUUCUAUAGGGAAAAAGGAUACAUCGGUACGCAACUCAUUGGUUCUUAGUUACCUUUGGCAUCACCAUCUCCUAGGAUGGUGAUCUUGCUGGCAGGAGGGCCAGCACCGAUGGCCGUGACAUCGCCGAUGCUUGGGAGGUAGGUCUCUGCGAAGCUGUUGCAGCUGACAUAGGUGUGAGGUAUCCCCUCUGCCUCGAUCACCCGCCGGAAGUUGGCUUUCAAAGCACAUAGUGACACCGCUGGAUCCACCGUGUGGAGUCGGUCCACAUCGGAGCCGAACUCAGAUGGCACAGACCUCUGUACAACAAAGUCUUCAGUGUUUGCAGAGAUCAAUAUAAUACAAAUAAAGGAAGAAACUCCAUUAAAAGUUUAAAACUGACCUUAACACUGCCUGCCUCCUUGAUUGCAGCAACGAUCCUUGUUUGCUCGGCAACCUGAUGAGGCCCCACUGCCGAGAUGACAAUAUCGGCACACUUGAUGGCCUUUACCAGGCUCUCAUGGUCAAACAGAUCUCCCUAGCAUACACAUGUGGGAAAGGUAUGACUCUCAAAAUGAGCAUGAUGUCAGAGCAUCCUUGUGACAGAUAGUGAAUUGGGCAACUCUUAAUGCCCUAAUAAUGUAUAGGAUGCAUCAGGUUUAUUAAAAUCCACUGAAGGAGUCUGUCCGAUAAUAUUUCCAUUGCCAGUUGGCAAUUGAAGGAUCUUGAAUUGACAUGUUGGGACAGCACACCACAUCGGAGGUUAAGAUUAUUCAGAGUAGUUAAGAGUUAAGACUUAUUUUUUUAAAAAAAAUAAGUGCUCAACUUUCAGCAAACAGGGGAACAAAGUAUAUCUAAUACUAGCCCAUUGGAGAUGAUGAUGCAUUGAUGAUUAUUGGUACCUUGAGGAGAGAAGCACCGGAAUUAACCCAACUAUUGAGGAGCUGCACCUUAAUUAUGUCAGAUGGUGCAAAUUCCUUGAUGAGGAUGGCAGUUGGGUGGCCGAGGUGGACACUUGCAGCAACUAUAUGCUUGCCAAUGUCGCCUGCGCCACCAAUGACGAGGACCCUGCUCUUCUCCAUGUCCAUAUCCUCCUUUGGUUCCAUACUCCAGCUCUGAAUUUGAGGGCUUGACCACAUUAUGUAUGCUACAGGAGCUCUUUAGCUGUGGUCUCAGGUUAGGAGAGGUCGUGAAGUUGUGCGAUCAUGUCAAGCUAACCAUUUUCUUACUUCAAAAGAAUCCUUCAGAAAGAAAUGACUAAUAAGUUUCAACAACCCCCACCAAACGUUUACAUUCCCAUUGUCCCUCCAAAUCAUCUUCUUAACUGACUAUUAACAUCGCAACAGAGAUUCAUAGACAUGCCAAUGAUUCUUCUUCAUCCCUGAUUUUCAUCUGCAAAACUGUACGCUGAACCAUGGUGAUUAUCUCAAAACAAUAGUAACAGUAUAAACUAUACCCUGCCAAGUAAGAAAAGAAGAAACCGUACAAAUAGAAAACUCCCUGUCAGCAAGGAGUCUGUUCAGUCAAACUCUGUCCAUUGUAAUUUUCUGUUAAGACAAUAACAGUGAGCCAAGAUUGCCUAUGUUCAAUAAGGAAGAAAGCUACAUUUGCCUCAAUCCAGAUAGCCUUAUAUAUAUGACCACAAUAGCUUCUGCCAAUGACACAAAUUGGCAAAGAGGAGGCUGCACAGACAUUCCAUUUUGACACAAAUAAGAUCACAUGAAUGCAGAAUAGAGUAUGCAAAAUCAUCAAUGUUUAAUACAGUUAAAAUCUCCAUGAUUUAAUACAGCAAUGAGAAGCCAAAAGUACAUUUCAAGUAAAACACACUAAAAUCUCCAUGAUUUAAUAAUACAGUUAAGAGCAUAAGCAACAAUCUUGGUAGACACUACUUCAAAUCGAAAAAGCAUGCACCAUUACAAAUACACAAACUCUAAAGUUGAUUAACAGGUGAAAUUAUUUUAUUUUCUAACCUAAAGAACAUCAGUUCAUACUUAAAAAAUAAAUCAUUUGAGACACAAGAACUGUCAGCAUGACGUUGCUGCCAAGGAAAUCACACAAGAAAACUGCAUGUUUUGUUUACUGUAACGAAACUAUGACACAGAUCUGACAAGCCUCUAGGGACAGAGCACCUCAGAUGCAACCAUAAUAAUCAGUAAGGCAAUGGAAGAAUGGAUCAGAGUUUGUGUAAGGCUCCUACUAAAACUUUCAGAAUUUAUACUCAUAACACAAAAUGGUCAAUUCAAAAGAGAGCAAAUUUACAUCAAAUUGCAACUACCGUAUCUACAAAUAUAGCCAGCAGCAUAAUUCUUCCAGCUUCAAAAUCUGAAAUUAGCAGUCAAUAAAAACAUAAAGAAAUGUUUCAGUUUGCACAUUAUCUAGAAUUCUCAUAUCCUGUUUUCUUUAGAUACCAUCAACAUUUCUCAUAACACAUUGUAACACUAAAUUGAGAGCAUUUCAAGUGACAUUAAAUAUGGAAAUAUCAUUGCUAGAAUCGAAUCGCCAUGGCAUAUGAAUCGGAUGUUACAUAACAAAACUGUGGAGUCUAGCACAGUGGCAAAAAGAGCCCAACCUCACCAACCAAAUGGAGGCCUAAAAUACAACAGCAAGAACAACCUCACCAGUCACAAAAUUCCCGUACAUCUCCAAUCAGUAAGGAUUCCCCUAACUAAUCUUAGGAUUACUUCCGUUGCUUCUUCUUUGUAUGCUCUACUUGCUCCAGAGCAUUAUCGUCAUUGUCACCUCUCCCCCUCUUCUUUUUCCUCUUCUUCUCACUGUCCGGACCACCAUCACUGACCAUUUUCUCCUCCUGCUUCACAUCCUUGAAGUUGACUUCCUCCUCUUCAUGCUUCUUUUUCUUCCUUUUCUUCUCCCCACCAGCAACAUUUUGUUCUAACCCACCAUCGUUGACAAUUUUUCCGCCCACUUUAUUCACAUCCCUCGCUUCAUCUUCUAGUUUUACACGACCCUUCUCCUUUUUCUUCUUGCUCUUCUUCUCACUCAACAAUUCUUCGUCCACUAAAUCAGGCUCCUGCUUCACAUGGACGAUGAUUUCCUUAUUUGAAUGUUUCUCCUUCUUCCUCUUCUCGCUGCCGAUUCCUGCUGAAGAGGGAAUGUGCGAUUCAACGCCAGCAGCAGCUAUGCCCUGCUGCCGAUCCUCUUUAUUCUUCUUCUUCUUGCUCUUCUUCUCACCGGUGGCAACAUCUGGCUCCACCUCCGCGGCGGAAUCGCGCUGGGAACCACCGGUUGGAACAGCCAUGUCCCCUUUCCUCUCCCGGUCUUGGUGCUUUAUCUCGCCCUCAUAGUCAUGGGCCUGGAGAUUGGCGGCGCCCUGCUGCUGAUUACCGCGGAGCCCGCGGCGGAAGAGCUCGUGCUCCCUGGUGGCCUCGGUGGCGGUGCUGAGGUAAGUGGCGCAGUCGGCGGAGGGGAGGUCGGAGGCGGCGGAGUUGUAGAAGAGGUCGAGGAUGCGGAAGGCCUUGGAGAGGGAGCAGGGCUUGGAGGAGACGACGGCGCCUGUGAUCGCCCUCAUCGCCCCCGCCGCCGGCUAGUGAGCUGAGCUGCGCUUUGGGGGUGGGGGUGGGGUUAGGGUUUUAGGAGGAGAACGGGGGAGAGGAGGAGACGAGAGAUUCUAUGAUGGGCUAAAAAGCGUGCCGGGCCAGCCCAGUAGUUAGCCAUAGCGGGCCCAAUGUUAGCACUUGCAUAUUGUGCCCAGCAUCCACUUUAUAAUUUUUUCUGAAAGACACUACUGUAUUAGUAUUACUAUUGAUUUGAUUCGAUUGCUCCAUGUCGAUGAACCUGCAAAUUGAUGUGAUCGCUCGAUUCACAUUUGAUUCCAACUUUACCCUGCGAAUCACGAUUUGUAAAUAAUUGUUCUUUUGCUUAGGUUUUUCUGACUUAAAAAUCUGCUUACUUAGUACUAGUUACGCACCAUUCAGCACUUGUUAUUACGAACUCAGAUCCAUGUACAUGCAUACAUCAUACAUAACGAUGGGCACUGAGCAGGCUCGAGCACUCUGUUUGAAUGCACGCCAAUGGUUGAUUUCCCAAGUUGAUCAGUGAUAGCCAUGGGCAAACUGGAAGCUCAGAUCAUUUCUUUCGCACAGCAGCAGAGGCAGAGCCACUCUUGCCUCCGGCUUCGUCGCCGCCGUCCCCCUUCUUCUUGGCCUUGGUGUACAGCUUGAGGUGCACCCCCGGGUCGCCGCCGUUGCAGGAGCUCUGCAGCAGCAGCGAGUUGUUGAUCACCUGCACGUUGCUGUUCACGAACGCCGUCAGCCCCCUGCUCCCGCCCUGCUCCUUCCCGCCAGCGACGCUGCCGUCGAGCUUCUGGCCGCGGCGCUCCUUCCCGGCCGCCGAGUCCGCCUUGCCGUCGGCCACGGCGGCGCCGUCUAUUUUCAUGGACGCGCCCUUGUUCUCGCCGGCCAGCGUGAUGACGGUCGUCCCUGCCGCGGCCGAGGCAGGGCGCCCGUGGCCGCCGCCGGACGACGGUGCCGAGGCGCUGAGCUUGUGCACCAUGUCCGCGACGCCCUCCUUGAGCUCCUUGUGUAGCUUGCUGCCGUGCUCGCCGGCUACCUCUUUGCCUUUGUGCUUCUUCUCCUUCUCUUUUUCCUUCUCAUUGUGCUCCUUCUCCUUCUUGUCCUUCUCUUUUUCUUUUUCCUUCUCCUUUUCCUUCGUCUCUUUAUCUUUCUCCUUCUCCUUCUCUUUAUCUUUUCCCUUCUCCUUCUCUCCCUCCUUGCCUUUUUCUUUCUCUACGGCCUUGCUGUGUGUCUUGGAGUCUGCAGGCGGUUCAUGGAUGAUUUUCUCCUGCGGGAUGGUAAUGUCUUUUUGCUUAGGAACUUCAUGGGCAAUAGGAUGAGGAGUGGCAGCUGGCUUGGGCUCCUUGGCAACAGGUACAGGAGC
rnacentral:lncRNA from 1 species